UUUACAUCCAGAGCUGGAGUAGGAGGAGGAGCUGGAGGCUCAGUGCCGGGGAAAAGGCUCUGGCAGCCGCGGCGACCUUGCGCCGCGGCCGCUCCUCCUCUCGAGUAAGCCGCGGGGAGAGCCAGGGAGCGCCGCCAUGAAGGUGAGCGGGGCGCGCGCCUCGUCCUCCCGAAGGCGCACGGGGCGGGCUCCCUCCUCUCCCUGGAGCCAGGGCGGGUGGCGAAGAGGGCAGUUUGGGGGGGCAAAGGGUCGGGGCGGCGGCUGGUUUCCCCAAGCAAAGAGUCCCCCCCACUCCCUCCCACCACCACAUAGGGAAUUCCCAUCCCUGUUCCAAAAACAAACCCAAGUUAACCUGUGCGUUAUCCUUGGAAAGGAAGGGUGCUCAGAGGGUGGUACAGUCACUCCCCACCCCCAAGCUCAUGGGACUCCCAUCAAGGGUAUACCUCGGGGCACUGAGAACGACCAUCUCAUCCAGUCAUGAUGAUAUUAAAACGUACACACAACACAUUGCCCGAACUUGGAGGUUUUUAAUCAGAAGUUGGCUAUCUAUUUAUCUAUCUGCCAGGGAUUCUUUAGCUGAAAUCCCUGCACUGCUGGGGGUUGGACUAGAUGACCCUUAGUAUCCCUUCCGAAUCUACAGUUCUAUGAUUCUUUGAAAUAUUCCUGAACUCUGGGCAUAGUCCAGGUUUCUUUUUGAAUUCUUGUGAUAAUAAAUUUAACUGGGUUUGUUUGUUUUUUCUGUUCUCCGCCCCACUGAGUGAACUGUAAGAUGGUGUAAAUUGAGUUUGACCCAGUUCAGUUUGACCCAGGCGGCUGCGAUUCUGUUGCAUUGAGUUAAUUGAUUACAACAUGAGAGACCCAGAAUGAAACCGACCUAGGCUGCAAACAGGAUCUUUGCGCUCUCAUGGUAACCUCAAUAAUAAAACUGAGGACCUUGUUUCAAGGAGUUUGCAAAAGACUGCAGUGUCCGUUGUUCAUUGCCUUUACACCAUGCGUUUGUUUCCCACUGUGUUUUUUGAUAGCUGUUAUGUGAGUUCAUGGGGCUGGAGUGAACUUGGCCAAUGCUGCCUGCUACGUAUCCCGUGGUGAUGGUAAUUUCAUCCUUGGUUGAAUUACUUUGUGGCAGCCUAUGGAGGGCGGUGCCAUACUUUCUAAAACAGACAGGUGUGCUCUUCAAAUACUGUUGGACCCCAACUUCCAUCAGCUCCCAUCAACAUGACAACUGGAAUUGCACAACAUCUGGAGGGACUACAGAUUCUCAGUCCCUGUUCUACAAUCACAUACUUUCUAUCACUUUUCUAUAUUCUAUAUUGGAAGGGGAAAUCAGCAAGGUACUUUUUACAACUAUGUCCUUUUAAAAAUCAUUCUAUCACUUCCCAGUGAUCUAUAUUGCAGGGAAGAUCAGUAAUAGCGGACUAAGGGCUAACAUUUCAGGUAGACCUAUCUGUCAUCUGUCAAGUAACUGCUGCUCAGCUUCCAAGUAACUCCCAAGUUCCUAGGAACACAAUCCAGAUUGGGAAAAACCCCACUGCUCUAGUUUUCUAGGUUGGUUCACGACUGACAAGAAUUGGGAUGGGAGUUGUAAAAGUCAGUGACAUUGUAAAUCACAGUUUAGCGCAGGAAUGGGGGCUCUCUUGAGGCUGUUGGAGUACAACAUUUGUAAAACAUAACAAAAGCUAAAACUAUAGGUGCAAUUAUAUAUGCAUAUAUAAGUUGUGAUUUGUCUCAGUGGAGAAACUGACACUGGUUUUAAUGGGGUGGAUUGCAUCCAACCAAGGAGAGGACUUUGAAUUUGAGGUGAUGGGGAGGUUAAGUAUCCAAGCUAGGACACAGAGAACCUUCUUACCUGACUUCUUAAUGUUGUAGCAGGGAAACUGAUGUGCAUGUAAUAAGCUCCCACAAACUAGGAAUGUUUCCACAGUGUGAAUAUGCAGUGUACCAGAAUUGUUCCAUAAGACACAUUACCUGAAAACUACUGCUGCAUAAGAGCAUCAGGCACAGCAAACAAGGGUGAUAAGCAUGGAGCAGAUUGCUUUCUGGUGUGUGAUGAUGGCUAGCUGAAACGCAGCUGUUUUCUUCUUCCCUCCACCUCCAUUGCUCUUCCUGUCUCUUUACCAGCAUGGAGAUUUUCUAGGCUGAAUAUCACUGUAUUCUGCAGCAAAGGGAGCAGGCAUGCUGUUGCAGGGGUAACAUCAGACUAAUUAGGGCUAUUUUAAUUUUAAUUGAUUAAUGUUGGAGUUCCAGUUAUAUUUUUACCUUGUUUUGAGGGUCAUGAAACACCAGUAAUUAUCACUUGUAAAAUGCUUUACAUGUGUCACAAAGCUAUAUUUUAAUUAAAUGACAGUUUCAUUGUUUUGCAUCACAUUCUAUUUUCAUUUGUCUAGUAUGUAAAGAGUUCUAACUCUAGUGUUCAAAUUCCCUCUGGGCUAAAACCUAGCAACAAAGUUCUCAUUAGAAAACCUGGUUUUGUAAAAUUAAGAACAAAACAUCCAUCAAGAGAUUUGUAAACUCAUUUGAGUACCAAAAACAAAAGAACAAAAAAAACCUCUGCUAAGUGCGUAACGAAUGACUUUCAGUCAUCUCUGUGGAAUAUGAACUUGAUUUUAGGCCAAGAUGCAAAUGUGUGUUUAGUUAGGACUCAUCAUUCUCAAUUUGAAACUGCAGAUUCUGCUUAAUUAGGCAUCCUUUCUGAGCAAGCUGAAAGCCCUCAAUUUUGAUAGAGGUAUAUGUUCACAUAUGCACACAUUUUUCCUUGUUCACACACUUCAAAAUACCAUGAACAUCUGUUAUGGGGAUGUUUGUAACUUUUUUCCUCACUUAAAAGUACACACCUAUAAUACUCCAUCUGAAAGAACAGACUGGAUCUUUUCAUUCAUUUCCAUCCAUUCUGUCCACAUUUACCUUCUGCUCUGUACUUUCUAGGGACAGGUUCAUGCUUUAAAGUGCUGUGUCCAAGAGCUUUCUUUUUGCCCCGGUGCUUUCUCCAUGAAAACCCGCUCUUUAACACUGAAUCAGAACAAAUGACAAUUUGGGUUUCUAUGGAUUGCCAUUUGCUCUGAUUCAGUGGUAAAAAGUAGAUUUUUUUGUGGGGAAAGCGGCAGGGGGGGAAAAGUGCUUGGACAUGGUGCUUUAAAGCACAGAUCUGUGCCUAGAAAAGCAUUACAAAAGGAAGUCUGAAUGAGACCUUAGUUAUGCCACAUCAAUCACACACACCUUUUUUGUGGCUCUGUGACACUUGCUGCUUAAUCAGAAUACUUGCCCAUAAUUGCAAAUUAUGUAUGUAUGUUUGCUUUGAAAACAAAGGUCAUAAGUUUUUACGGCAAUACUUUCCCCAAUAUUGAUGUUGGUGAGGAGCCUUGUUCUUACUAAGCAAAUCACUUUGUUAAUGGCCCUUUGCAUGUGACUUAAAGAAAGAAAAAGCUGAGGAGAUAAUUUUGUCUGUUUCCCCUUCUGCUUAAGGAUCCCUUUCUUCUGUAGCGAUCACUCGUAGCCGAGUAAGAUUGUCUUCCAUGAACAUGGUCUUAACAGUGAGUCCGUAAGUGACUGUAGAAGCCAAUUCUGGAUCCACAUGUCCUUCCACAGUGGGGACAUACGGUAGAUUACCAGGCAGAGUUGAUCACGGUGAGGGUUUGCUAAAUGUGCCUUCCUCUUAGCAUGUUUUUCCCUUUCAUCCUGAGUUUGAGCAUCUUCAAAGUCCACAACACCUUUGGUAAAGGUUGUUCUUCAAUUGGAGUGCUCACAGGCCAAUGUUUCCCAAUUGUCAGUGUUUAUACUACUUUUUUAAAAAAGAUUUGCCUUGAGAGCAUCUUUAAACCUCUUUUGUUGACCACCAGCAUUACGCUUUUCAUUUUUAAGUUUGGAAUAGAAUAGUUGCUUUGGAAGAAGAUAAUCAGGCAUCUGAAUGACAUGACCUGUCCAACAAAGUUGAUGUUGAAGAAUCAUUGCUUCAACACUGGUGAUCUUUGCUUCUUCCAGUACACUGGCAUUAGUUCGCCUGUCUUCCCAAGUGAUAUGUAAACUUUUUUUUUUUUGGAGACACCGUUGAUGGAAUCUUCCGAGGAGUUGGAGAUAGUGUUUAUAAGUGGUCCAUGUUUCACAAGCAUACAGUAAAGUUGGUAGUACAGUAGCUUUGUAAACAAUCAUUUGGUUUCCCAGUGAAUGUCCCGGUCCUCAAACACUUUGCACUUCAUUCGGGAGAAACUGCACUCACAGAGCUCAGGUGAUGCUGGAUUUCGGCAUCAAUGUCGGCCCUUGUGGAAAUACAACUGCCCAGGUAGAACGGAUUGAUCCCAGUGCAAAUGCCACCACCACCUCCCAUCCUGUUCUGCAGGUUCCCCUAGUCUUCCAGAACAGAUUUUCAGGGGCUGCAGGGGGUUGCACCAAGAACAAGGAAUUAGCAAAAUCCUCUCCUCUCCACUUACAUUAGUGAAGACAUCAAAAGCUGCAACUUCAAGUAAACAAUUUGAAGUAAGUUGUGUAUAUUUGAAGUCCUUGUUGUUCCAACUUUGUGUAAACUGGGAGGGUAAACACCAAAAUUCCUGAUUCAAGUAUGCAGUUGAAAAUGGAUGCAGCUGAUGGUUUCACAGAAUCAUAAAAUUGUAGAGUUGGAAGCGACCAUGAGGGUUAUUUCAGGUAUCUCACUUCAGUGUCUUGAGAAUCAUUAGGAAAAUAUGAUGAACUCCUCUUUGUUUGCUUUGGAAUUGCUUUGGAAAUUACACCUAACCUUUGGCAGGAGGAGGAACACCUCUGCUUUGGCGAGGCUCAUUUGACAACAACAACAAGAAGAAACUGAGCCUUUAGUAUCAUCAGCCCAGUAUUGUGAGAUGCUCUGCCAAUAGAGAUUCAGAAGGCACAUUCUAUGCCAACUUUUAAAUGCCUGCUGAAAACUUUUCUAUUCUGCCUGGGCAGACAAUUAGGAGUACAUCCUUCCACAAUGGUUAAUUGAUGUCUGAUUUUAACUUUUUUAUGUAAUUUUUUAUUGUUUGGUUUUAUGUUCUAUUGUUGCAAACUGCUUUGAUUUUUAAAAAAUGAAUUGCAUUCAGUUACACUGAUCCAGAGCUUUCACAGCCUCUUCUGCUUGAGUAGAACUGUGUGUCAUCAGCAAUACUGGUGACACCUUGCUUCAAAGCUCCUAAUGACCACCCACUCCCAAUAAUUUCAUAUAGUUGUUAAAUAUCAUUGGGGGGGAGAUAGACCCUACAGAACCCCAUAGCACAAGUGUCAGGGACCUGAGGAACACCUACCUAAGUGCUGCUUUCUGGUCACAACCCUGAAGAUAUGAACAGAACCACCAUAAUACAGUGCCUCUGAUUCCCAUUCCACUAAGUUGGUCCAGAAAACCAUGCCAUGGUUAAUGGUAUCAAAAGCAAAAUAUAUAGGCAAUAACCACACACUGAAGGGUUGAAACUGAGAAACUGAGCAUAGUUCACUUUUCAGCCAAAGUUGAAAUAGUGGAUCCAUUUUGACAGAGUAUAGUUUAAAAGUCAUCUUGUCAUCCUGUGCCCCAGAUAUGAGGAGGAAGGCAAGAUAUUCUCAGGUUUUUAUGGAGUGUAAUUAUUUUUCCUAAAGAGGUGAUGAGAACAAGUUUAAUCACUCUGGGAGAAAGGAAAGUUACCAGCAUUGAUAUCCUACUAUAUCCGAAUCUGAAAUGGUUCACAUACCAUUUUUUAUAGAUUAGCUGUAGGUCUCCACAAAUCUAGUUGCCAGGGCUGCUCUGUGACCCCUGCUCUGGCCAAGACAACUACAAGGACAUCCUUUCACGAAGUUCCGGGAUCCUCUGUAGGCUCUUCCAGACAUCCUUUUAGUUACAUAUGUCUCUUUGUGGUUUGCAAUGAUGCUUCUUCUAUCUUACAGGGGCCUAGUUCAGAAGCACAGAUGGUGGAAAGCAAUGCAGAGGCAGCUGCUGAAGAACCACCUCCUUAUUUGCAGGAAGAACCUCCUCAAGGUAGAGUGCUUAGACUGCCACUGUGAAUUUCUUAUAACUUUUCAAAGGGAAACAGGCCAUAAGUUUCAAGGUCCAUUCUUGUGAUCCAAGGGAGUAGUAUGUGAUGUAGAAUGCUUCAUGCCAUGAUAGCACUGUUAAUAAUCCUAACUGAGUCCUUUGACUUCUCAAAUACGUAUAAAACAGGAUUGUAAACCAAACUCCGUUGGCAUUCAUUAACAAUAUAGUUCUAGUUUGGCCUAAGCUACUUAUUGGGUGAUGGCAUCUUCCCCCUUUCCACAAAGUUGAAUUAUCUGUAACGUUAAGCAAGUGAUUCCUUUUUGAUUGGAUUGACUUCUGUUGGUGAAAGUGCCCCAACUGAGAGGUUUGGAGGGUGGCAAUACAAGAACAGGUCUUUUGGAUGGUGGGUCCCUGUUGGUGGAAAGCUCUCCACAGAGAGGCUCGCCUGAUGCCAUCAUUACAUGUCUUUAGGUGCCAGGCAAAAACAUUUCUCUUUACCCAGGCCUAUGGCCAUUAAAUAAUCUAUGCCAGACAUAGGCAAACUCCGGCCCUCCAGAUGUUUGGGACUACAAUUCCCAUCAUCCCUGAGCACUGGUCCUGUUAGCUAGGGAUGAUGGGAAUUGUAGUCCCAAACAUAUGGAGGGCCGGAGUUUGCCUAUGCCUGAUCUAUGCCCUGUUAAAGCUGCAGCGGUGCUGGUGGGGCUGUUACUAUGAUUAUUUUUUUAUUAUGCUGCCUAUUAUUAUGCUUUAUAUUAUGUGUUUAUUGUUGUGCUCCAUAAAGUGUGUUCUUAAUGUUGUACACCACCCUGGGAUCUUUUGAUAAAGGGUGGUAUAGAAAUCGAAUAAGUAGUAAAAAUAAUAACUGUGAAGGUAGGCCUGUCAUCUCACUCCUAAGGGCAUGUAUGGGACUUUUAGCAUGGCUGAGCCAAAGCCCAUUCUGAUUCCCUAAGAAACCCAGCUCCCUCUCCUCUUCCCAGUCUGUUGCAUGAUCCCAGGAGAUCAUAGGAUCCUGCAAUUAAUUUUCAUCACCCCCACCUUCAUAGGUGCUCAAAAUCACAAUGGUGACAGAAUGCUAAAGGUGUGGGGUUCCCCUCUCCCCCAUAUGUUUAAGUGGUAAGUGAAGAUUCCCACAACAUUAUGGAUAGAAUUGAAUCAAGUGGUUGCGGUUAUUCUGGAUUAAUUAAACUGUAGUGACAGAAGGGGAAGGUGAUUUGAAUUAAGGACAAGUGCUUAUUUAAAUGGUCAUCCAAGAGUUGGACUUGAGUCACUUCUUUAUUUUAAAUCUGCCGUUUUUAUUUUAUUUUAUUUCUGCUGUGGAAAAGACCUCUUAAUAGCAACUACAUUUCAAAUCCAGAGCUUUCAGACUCUAUUCUACCAGCCCUCUUGGAAAGCUAGUUAAGCAGCCUGAAAUGAGAUUGAAAAAGGGUGUCAGCGGGAGGUUCACAAAUGCCAAUCUUAAUUAAAAACCUGGUUUCCAGUUAAAUGACCCAGAUUACGAUGAGUAUGAAUCUCUUUCUCUCUGUUGCAUGAAUGUUUCUUUAAGUAAACUUGACUACUGUUUUCUUUGGAAGAAGGUCCUCAUAUUCAAAGGACAGAAGAUGCUAAUUGGACCUUUUAUCUCUACAUUCACGGGGACAUGCAAAACUGCUUUCUGGUUCAUCUAGUCCAGGGGCAGCUGAAGUGGUACUAUCCGUAUGUUUUUGGACUACAAUUCCCAGCAGCCCCAGCCAGAAUGACCAAUGGUCAGGUAUAGUGGGAAUUCUAAUCCACAGUAUCUGGAUGUCAGGGACUGGCUGGAUGAUGAAAAAUGGUGGGAGACUCCAGCCAGAGAACCCCCUAGGGAAGCCACAGAAGAGGAAGGCUCAGAGCAAGGGGAGGAGUGGUAGGACAUAGUCAGAGGAUGAAGGGGGGUGGAACAGAAUGGUUGGAUGCUGAACAAGCAGCUGGCUUGAGUGAGAGAGGAGAAGAAGAGACAGAAAACACUGCAGACAUAAGACAGGCAGCUGAGGAAGAGGGAGCCUGCUGGUAUUCACCAUAGGUUUUUCUGUUGGUAUUCUGUUUCCUUGAAUAAAGAAUCAACCUUACUGCUCGUCUCUGUGUCUCUGUGAUGACCUGUGGCUGAACCAGCCCUAACACUGUAGGAUGCUUGUUACCCCUGAUGUAGCCUAUUGCUCCUAACCCAUUUGGCAGCAUCAUGUGCUGUACCACUGAUUCCUCUCCAGCUUUUUCUAUCUCAUCCAUUACUUUUUGGGGGGACAGGCGUGAGAAUACUAUUAAAUUUUUAGAGAAAGCUUUUAGAGAAAGCCAGGUUGCUUUAUUCAUGCUUUAUGGGGGAAACUGGUCUCUGUCGUGUUGGAUUAUGAUUGCAAUAUAACAUUUUUACCUUGGGCUUUUAAUUGGUUGUCUUAAAGGAAAUGAACAUAUCUAAUGCAAACUGUAUAGUGAUACCAUAUAUAUAUAUAUAUAUAUAUAUAUAUAUAUAUAUAUAUAUAUGGUAUAGAGAUGGUUAUACUUGGUACAAUACAAUUUUUAACAUGCUUUUUAACAGAAGGCCGCAGAGCAUUUUGCAGAUAUGAAUAAUGCAAAGCUUCCAUAUAAGAUAAUGUAAAUUUUGUUAAUUAAAAAACGCAUGAGAGUCGUCACAAUGAACAUUAUUGAUUCAAUAGUGUCUUAGGAUGUGUAUAAUUUGGGAUUCAAUGAUAAAAGUGAUCAUGCUGCUUGGUUAAGUGGGUGGUGGGGGCAUCAAAAAGUCCUGAUGAUGUUAAAUUAGUUUUGCUUUCAUUUCUAUGACCCGAGCGAAGGCAAGGCAUCAUUUAAACUACCUUAGAUUCCUUAAAGGUCUGUGAGUGAGAAAGGAGGGUUGGGAAGAGUGUCUUGAAAUGUGUUCCUUAUUUUGUUUAAUUUUCAGCCUGAUGAAGAGCUGUAGAUUACUCAAAAUCUUGUUCAUAACUUUGUGAUGUCUUAGUUGAUCCAUUACUAGGACUUUUAGGGUAUUUUUUGUCUUCUUCCUAAUUUCAGCCUGAUUACCUGUAAUACGCAGUUUACUGAGAAAGUGCCACUGAGUCCAGUGGGAUUUGUUCCCAAGUAAAUGUGCAUAUAGGGACGCGGGUGGCGCUGUGGGUUAAAUCACUGAGCCUAGGACUUGCUGAUCAGAAGGUUGGCGGUUUGAAUCCCCGCGACGGGGUGAGCUCCCGUUGUUCGGUCCCUGCUUCUGCCAACCUAGCAGUUUGAAAGCACGUCAAAGUGCAAGUAGAUAAAUAGGUACUGCUCCGGCGGGGAGGUAAACGGUGUUUCCGUGCGCUGCUCUGUUUGCCAGAAGCGGCUUAGUCAUGCUGGCCACAUGACCUGGAAGCUGUCUUCAGACAAACGGCGGCUCCCUUGGCCAAUAAAGCGAGAUGAGCGCCACAACCCCAGAGUCGGUCACGACUGGACCUAAUGGUCAGGGGUCCCUUUACCUUUACCUUUUUAAAUGUGCAUAUAAUGCUAGCUCUGGGGCUCUGUCAACCAGUAUCACCCAUGAGUUCCACCCACACCACAGACUUGCUUCUGCAAUGCUUUCCCUACAUACCCUACAGAAAUGCAAGCUGAACCUUCUCUUCUUCCAUCUUUCACUCACUGAUUCAUCAAAGUAAUUGAAAUACUUAACACUAGAAAGCUUUGGUCAGCUUUCCCCCUGUUGUUGUUUUUUCUCCAGCAGGAAGCUAGUGCUAGAAUUAACAUUCCCCGUGGAAGUACAUCUUUGGCUUGACUGUCUACAACUGACCCACACCCACCAUUGUGGAAAAAUGCAAGAAAUUUAGAGAGAUGCAAUAAAUUAGUUGAAUAGCUCAGUUGGUUAGAGCGUGGUGCUGAUAAUGCCAAGGUUGCAGGUUCGAUCCCCGUAAGGGACAGUUGCAUAUUCCUGCAUUGUAGAGGGUUGGACUAGAUGAUCUGCAGGGUCCCUUCCAACUCUGAUUCUAAUGCACCAAAGCCAGAAGGAUGCAUGCCAUAGUCCUAGCUAUAUAUGUUUGUUUGGCAUCUGUGCCAGGAUGAAAUGGGGCCGGUCGGACUGUGCAUAUUGUUGGAGCAGAGCGGCGGGGGGCUGCCCUGUUUAUUUCCAGCACACAGCAGUAAGACUUACGAUAGAUCUUCUAGGCUGUGACACCAAAGCCAUUAAAACAAAGUGGCCCGCAAUGAGAAUAGAUUGCUGAAGUUCUUUUAAUAGAAAAAUGCCAUUAUGCACUAUCUCUUUUGUGCCUUCCCUUUUUAUUGCUGCUUGCUCCUCUUAACAGCCCUUUCCCUUGUAAAAAUCAGAAGCUUUUGAAGGAAAGAAAGAAAAAAGCACAUAAAUAAUAAAAUACAGUAAAUUGUAUUGUUCCGACUGUGCUGUGCUUUGGUUUCCUGGGCUGUACGAAUUCGACUGCUGUGUCUGCUCACCUUCCCCUAAUGAGAGCACCAGGGACCUCGGGCUCCCUCUGGAGGCCUCGCUCUUCUGGUUUGUUCCAAUAUUUCGUGAAAUUGCAUCAUGACGAUGGCAGCUUUUCAGGCUGCAAAGCACGUGCCUGCUGCUUCUGGAGGGAGAGAAAUUGGACGUGUAUGACACAUUCUCUGCAGUAAAAUGAAAGGUUUUGCCCUACAGGGGUUACCUUUCCGUUUCAAAGCAAUAAGACUGCAGUCUGCUCCUCUGCGCACGGAGGCCUUGAACUCCAUUUAGAUUUUCCUCUGUGUCUUUAUGGUGUCAUCACUCAUCAGAAUAGAGCUGCCCGGUCGUACAGCACCUUUCCCUAUGCACAUGAAGGCUGUUACUUUAAUGAGCUCAUCAUUGGUAGUGAAUAGCUUGAAGACCGUUCCCAACUAAAGCUAAUCUGGGGAAAGUUUAUCUGAGGCCAAAAGGGUCUUGGAACUUUGCAUUCUGAUGUGCUCCUGAUAGCCUUUCCAAGAGGGCUCCCAGCAGGGCAGGUGAAUUGCACAAGGAAGAAAUUUUCUUGAGGAACAGCAGUGAGAUCUGUGUCUAAAUCAGAAACCAGGAAUAAUUUUGCUUCCCUGCCCACCUCCAGCCCACUUAUUUUUCCUCCCAUCAUCAUCAUCAUCAUCAUCAUCCUCCUGCUAAGAGUUAAUAUUCUAGCACCCUACAUGGCUUUGAUUUUAAUCCCCCUUGAAUCAUAUUGUGAUAGGUGACCCUUAUAGGCUGUCUGUUAGCUCAUGGUGACAAAUGACUCUAUUACCUGCUGUCUUAACACACAGCACCCGUUGAUUCUGAACACAUCAUGGAGAAUGGAGAAAGAAAACCUCAUCAAGGAGAGCAAGGGGGCUGAAAUGAGGUCAGCCCCGAUGGCAGGACAUUUCAACAGAUUAGGUCUGCAAAGGCAAGGCACAAGCUCAAAGGCAAGGCACAAGCGCACUCUUUGAACACCCAGUUUAAAGUAGGCCAUUUUAGACAUCUCUGCAGAGCCACAUGGGGGUGCUACUUGCCUGAUAAUGUAGCAGCUGCCGACUUGCCAGCCAAGCCCACCGCUUCCUAUACUAAUCCCUUUGUUGGAACAUUAUUACAGACUGAGGCUUAUAGGGACGCUGUGUUACUAGAAGCUUUGCAUUAUCUCAGCCACAUCCACGACAAUGAGGAAAAUGGUGUUUAGUCUUCCUAGUUUUUGAAGGUGCAGCUGUUUGCCUCAGCGUGUCUAUUCCCCUUUCCAAUCUCUGCUUGUUCCAUUGUUGCUCUUUAAAAUAUUGUACCAAAACUCUGUUUGGUUGUUCAUGUAGUGUGUUAAUUUUACUGUGAUUGUCCAGGUUCUUGCAAACCAAUCUGUCACUAUCGGGUUUUGUUUUUUGGAACAAUUGUGGGGUUUUUUUAUUACGUUAUGGAGCAAUUAACAACAUGACAACAUGCAGCCAUGACAAAAGCUUUGCUUUGUUGUACAUUUUUCUUUCAGUAUUCUUUAUCCUUUACUUUGUACAAGCUAUCAUUAUUUAUUUUUGUAUUGGGCAAUGUUUUAGUUACCAUGAAAUUGGACUCCUGUGAAAGUACUAUAUAUGGGAAAACUGCAGCCAAACAAAAGGUAGGGGAUUACACAUCAUCUGUAGAGCAUGCCUUACUCCAAAUGAACAAUAGGCACAUGUUAGCAUCAGCACCAUCUUGAAAGAGCAGCAGCCCCGUGGAUAAUUUCUGCUUUAAAAAUCCUGUCUCCACAGCCUCUUUCUCGCUUUGCUUACUUUCUAACUCCGUGGGUGGAAUUCAGUGUCACACCAAUGUGAUGCAAACAUUUCUGCUAGCAAGAUGGUGCAGUCUCAACUCUCCUCCCCCUUGCAUGCUGUUCUGUGGAUUCCCCCGACCCUCUGGAGUGGAUUUGGGGGGGGGGUGCCCAUUGCUCUCGAAGGAGCCCUUCUGCUGACUUUCACUCGUGUACUGAGUUAGUAGAAUCCGAUCCCAUGUUUCUGAAAAUAAAGCCAUGAAGUGGGGCCAUAGGUUAAAAUGGAUGCUAGCUGGACAGUGGAAGGUGUUGUUUGCUUGCUCCACCCUCUGCCUUCACAUCCACUGUGGGAAAGAAACUGUGCCCCUGUAUCUUCUUCCCACGUAUGGAGAAAAGCACUUGGGGGGGCACUUUUCGGGGAAACAAUUUAUUAAAUAUUGCCAAGGGGGUGGUGUCUUCCCAGCAGCCCUUAGAUCACAAGGCGCCUCUAUUGCAGGCAAACUGAACUUACUGCAACACUUUUCUGGGAGACGGUUCCUUAUGAAAAUAGUGGCUGCUCUUAUCCAAUGUACUGUGCAUUGUGUCUCAGGACAUGGCGCCUCAUGCAUUUCACAGCUUGUUUACACAAGCAGAGAGGUAACAGUGGUUAAACACUGACAGAUGAUCACUCUGUACCUUUGCUUGUGCGGGAAAGGAAUCCAUGGGUAUGUUGUUAGCUUUUUUCCUAUUCAGGCAAGUGCUCUUCUGCACAGUAGCUACUGAUAAUAAGGCUUCCUAAAAAGUAGGUUAAGUUAAGUGUUAGAUACUGGAAAGCAAGAAGGAAAGGUAAGUGUGUGAUAACCUAAAUUUGUGAGUAACUAUUAGUCUCCUCCCCCUUGCCUUUAUUCCUUGCCUACAUAUCUUCUUUCUGUUGAGAGAGCUAAUGUUAACCAUUAUAUAUGGGUUUGCUGUUGCCAGUUUGUCUGAUUGGAUCAUGCUAACUGGAUUAGGCUAACUGGCAUCUUAUAAAUCAAGUUAUUUCAUUAUCUGUCUCGGGAGAGAGCCUGUUCAUAAGAUCUGAGCUGCUAUAUCCCAUGUUCACAAACGCUUGAAGGGGCAAUAUAGCUGAAUAACAUUUCCCCCCAGCUUGCUGGAAACUCAUUGCACUCAUUAGAAAAAUCCACAGGGAGUUCUUAGUAAUAUAUAUAUAUAUAUUGACCUCAUGAUACUGUUCUUCAGGAAAGAAAAGAGUUUAUGUACCGUAGUCUGUAAAUCUGGCUUUAAGUGAAAUGUCUUACAUGCCACGCACUAAGUAUUGUGGAGGGUAAGGCAACAGCAUGGCGCUAGACUGAAAAGGAAGGACCCAAGGACCCAACCUCUCUUCAGAUACAGUGGUGCCCCGCAAGACGAAUGCCUCGCAAAACAAAAAACGCACAAGACGAAAGGGUUUUUCGGUUUUUGCGUCGCUUCGCAAGACGAUUUUCCCUAUGGGCUUGCUUCGCAAGACGAAACUUCUUGCGAGUUUUUUUUCCUUUUUCUCAAAGUGACUGCAAAGGUGAGCUCCGGUCGCGCGGCCAAGGGAAGUCCCGCUGUGGGUCGUCCAAAGUCAGCCCGAGCACGCCACUCACCUAAAAGGCAUGGAGAGACGGAGGGAGCGCGCGAGGAUCCCGGUGCAGAGGAGGCUCCUGCAGCAAAAUAAAGGCAGUCGGCAGCCGGAGGGCUCCAGGACCCGGAGCUGCGGCGGGGCCGUCGAUGGCGUUGCCGGAGACUCCUCCCUCUGGGCCUCGCUCUCUCCACCUUCGCCGCCGCUUGCCCUGCCUGCGAUCAGCCGGGCUCAUCGCUCCACUCUGCAGAGCGCUGCGCAAAGGCGCGGUGGGACAGGUGUCCGGGGACGCUUUGGCUGAGCGCGCCCCGGGAUCGGAGGUGCGGGGUGCUUGCUGCAGAUCUUAUCUUCCAGGGUCGCUGGGAUGGCGGCGGUCGGGGCUUGUGUUAUGUAAGCGCAUCAGGAGGGACUGCUUAAGAGGCCGGAUGAGGCUUAUGCAAUGGCCAGAUGCUCCCUAGGGGUCGAGGCUUGCAGUUGCGGGAACGAGUUUAUACCUGUAGCCGCUAAGCCGCGAAUAGCCGUGCUUCGCAAGAUGAAAAAACUGCAAGACGAAGAGACUCGCAGAACGGAUUAAUUUCGUCUUGCGAGGCACCACUAUAACAGUUCCAGACUCUGACUGUAGAUGAUGAAUCAAUUGUUUGCUCAAUGGAUGACGACUUCAGACUUUCUGUGCAUGUUUGUAGGUCAGGGGACAAUUUCUGUUCUCAGUUGUGCCUUUGAAAUUCCAGUGGACUCAAAGGAUGGGUUUGUAUGAGAGAGUGUGAGAGAUGGGCAGGGCCUUAUUUUUUCAUUUAUUUAAUAAAAUGUAUAUACAAUAUUGUUGACAGGGCUCUUUUUUCUAGAAAAAGAGAUGCCGGAACUCAACCUUUUUAAGGGGGAAGCACCCACCCAAAGUGGUUGAGCUCCCCCCCUCCCCCGUUCACUCGCUCGACCCAACGCCGCAGGGAAAAUAUAAAAAUUGAGUGCUGUGCAGGGGGACGCCACCACAACUCUAAAGACCUGCCAGAACGUGCCAGUGAGGUGCUGGAAUGCAACAAAGAGGAGCUGGAACUCAGUUCCUGUGAGAUCCGGCUCAAAAAAAGCCCUGUUGCUUGAUGGCAGAAAACCUCAUAGCGUUUACAAGAAGACUAAAAGAAUAAAAUUUAUUAGUUGAAACAAUUAAACAUUCAAAAAAAUGUCUUUUUUAAAUAUAAUUUUUAUUAAAUUUUCUGUUUUACAAUUUUAAGUACUCAUUUUUACAUCCUUAAAAUAUCAAUGACUUUGCUUCUUCUCUUUCCAUGGUUCAUUUUGCAUAUCAUAAACCCCUGCAUAUUUUACGAAAAACUAUACCAUUCAGUAUUCCAUUAUUGUAUCCAUCAAAACUUAUUUACACUGUUGAAUUUAUCUUAAUGCUGCCAACGUUUGCAGCUGCACACAGUUAUUUCCCAUAUAUUCAAUAAACGUUUUCCAGUCUUCUCUAACCGCACGUUCUUCUUGUUCUCUUAUUCUAACAUAUAGAAUAACAUACUGUAUAGAACAUACAACAUUCAAAAGAUUUAAACCAGCAGUAAACAAAUACAAUGGUACCUCGGGUUACAUACACUUCAGGUUACAUACGCUUCAGGUUACAGACUCCGCUAACCCAGAAAUAGUACCUUGGGUUAAGAACUUUGCUUCAGGAUGAGAACAGAAAUUGUGCGGCGGCGGCGCGUCAGCAGCAGGAGGCCCCAUUAGCUAAAGUGGUGCUUCAGCUUAAGAACAGUUUCAGGUUAAGAACGGACCUCCGGAACGAAUUAAGUACUUAACCAGAGGUACCACUGUAACACAUUGGCAUUCUGAAUAUCUGGAUAGGCUUGCCUAAACAGAAAUGUUUUUAGCAGGUGCCAAAAAGAGUACAUGGAAGGUGCCUGCCUGGUGACAAUAGGUAGGGACUUCUAAAGUGCAGGGGCAGCCACACUAAAAGAUAGAUUCCCUACAAAUGCAGAAUGGAUAUUAUGUGACACCAGUAACAGUGCCAGCUGUGUGUGCUCCAGCUUGACAUGCUAAUGGGACCAUUGCAGACAGCAGUGUAGCUAGUCGCUCGGGUGCCUGGGGUGGCGUGCGCACCCUGCAUCCGGGGGUGGAGUGAGCCAAGGCAGGGUGCGCUGCAUGGAGCCUCUUCGCAGCCUCCCCCUCAGCUGUAGGGUGGCUGAGGUGGUGGGCAGACGCAAGCCCCGCACUGCUCAAAAAAGCAGCGCGGAGCUUGCAGGCAGUCCGCCCGCCACCUCCCCCUCAGAAGAAACACGUGGCUCAGGCAUGCUGCAGGCCCCGUGGUGUGACGCCCAGUGCCCCCAGCCUCACCUAGCUACGCCUCUGCCUUCAUGCUCACCUAAGUGUGGAUCUCCAAACACUUCGCCCUCAAUUCCCCGAGCUCUCCCCCCAUUGCUCUUGCUCCCUACCAUAGGAGAAGAAGAAGAAUUUGGAUUUGCUUUAUCACUACCCUACGGAGUCUCAAAGUGGCUCACAAUCUCCUUUCCCUUCCUCUCCCACAACAAACACUCUGUGAGGUGAGUGGGGCUGAGAGACUUCAGAGAAGUGUGACUGGCCCAAGGUCACCCAGCAGCUGCAUGCGGAGGAGCGGAGACGCGAACCUGGUUCACCAGAUUACGAGACUACCGCUCUUAACCACUACACCACACUGGCUCUCAGCGGCUGGACUGUGGCUGGAUGUAUACUGAUGGUGGCGAGAGGAAUGCAGCCUGCUUAUGGAGAGGGGAAGAAAUGGGUCCGGAUGGUGGGUUUCUGGCUAAUUGCAGAGAUUCAAAAGCCGCUUUUUAGGGCAACGGCUUCCACCAUACAGUCAUAAAAUCCAGAGCAACCCGGACCCAGCAAAAAGUAUUAACUCAUGCCCACACUGCCUCCGGCAAUAUCAGAAAAGCAGCCCUCAUGGAAACCUGUCCCAAGCAACCUCAGCCCAUUUCAACCCGAUCAAGCCUUGGAAACCUUCCAGGCACCUGAAACCUAGCAGGAAAAUCCCCGCCGCCCCACCCCCCGGCUUCCAGGGGGAGCCUCGCUCUCUGCCCAGCUGGCCGCGCCAGGACUCUCCCGGUUCUUGCAGAGGGAAGUGGCUUUCCUCCACGGUGACUUACUGUGCCAAAGCGAGCAGGUGCGAAAGAGGAGGAGGCAGCUUAGGCAGAUUCAUGGAGGAGAGGGCUGUCGAAGGCUACUAGCCAUAAAGGCUGUGCUCUGCCUGCACAGUUGGAGGCUACAAUGCUUCUGGUUUCUGGAAAUCACCCGAGGGGAGAGUGCUCCUGCAGUGGGUGUGGGGGUUAUUUUUUGUCACCCCCUCAGUGAUUACACCCGGGGCGGCCCGUACCCCCUGCACCCCCCUUCCUACGCCACUGAUUCCAGGCACAUGCUCCUCCAGGUGGCUGUUGCAUCCCUCUGCUAGUAUGGUAUUAAUACAGAAAUGGUGCAAUACAUUCCCCACCCUCAUAUACUAUAGGGAAAGAAGACUGGCUUUGCUACGGUAACUGAAAUAUGUAGGAGGAUUGUUACAGUCUCUUGAAACUGAAAGCGACUGGUUUUAAGUCUCCUUUCCUGUGUUACAAAGAGUCAUUAGUAAAAUUCCUGACUUCUGAAGUUCAGCCAGUAAAUUGUGUAUUCUGGCAGGUUUUCUACUGGUCCCAGAGACUAGCAGUUCUUCACAAAUGCUACAAUCAGGAUGAUCUUGCAUACAAUCAGGAUGAUUCACAGGGCUCAUACGGAUGCCCCUGAGCUCUGCAUUGUAUCAUGUUCUCAAAGUACAUGUAUGGCUCUACGAACCAAACAGCAUGGAUAUUGAUGCUUCAUGUAACUGCAAAUAACUCCUGCUUAUGGAAUGUCCUCAGUUCUUAUAGCUUAAGCCUUUACAUGUUUACUCAGAAGUGAAGUCCCACUUAAUUUUGGUGGGACAUGCCCAAAUGCCUUAGGCUUAGCCUUCCAAGUAAAUGAUCUUGCUGAGUACCCUUGCAUAUGUACAGAAAUCUCUCAUGUCUUACUCUGAGCAGUUAUUAUUAUGCAGUGCAUGUGAGCUAUAUGACCAAAGAUUUUAGAAAACGCUCUUCAGUAACUACUCCAUUUAGUUCAAAAGCAAUGUUUUUGUUUUUUUUAUUGUUGUAGCAACCAAUCUGAAUGCAUGCGUGCUUGCUUGCUUAUUUAUAUUAUUUAUAUUCAUAUCUCACUUUUUUAUGUGUGGUACCCAGGAUAUGGGGACGCGGGUGGCGCUGUGGGUUAAACCACAGAGCCUAGGACUUCCCGAUCAGAAGGUCGGCGGUUCGAAUCCCCGUGACGGGGUGAGCUCCUGUUGCUUGGUCCCAGCUCCUGCCAACCUAGCAGUUUGAAAGCACGUCAAAGUAGAUAAAUAGGUACCGCUCAGGCGGGAAGGUAAACGGCGUUUCCGUGCGCUGCUCUGGUUCACCAGAAGCGGCUUAGUCUUGCUGGCCACAUGACCUGGAAGCUGUACGCUGGCUCCCUCGGCCAAUAAAGCAAGAUGAGCGCCGCAACCCCAGAGUCGGCCACGACUGGACCUAAUGGUCAGGGGUCCCUUUACCUUUACCCAGGACAUGCUUGUCUAGGAACUGUAUGCAUUUCACAAUGGGACAUUUUAUUUAAAUCCCCACUGAGUUUAAAUCCCUUUGCCCUCCCCUGCUGUAGAUGGUGGCUAAAUGGAUUCAAGGGAUCAGAGUGUCAGGUUUCAAGGUCCACAUUUUACACUGACUCCUCACACUGACUUGCUUUGCAGGAAUCCAUGGCCUUUUUCCCUUAAGGCCAGCCUUUGGUCUUCCUCUCCCGAAUCUGCAUAAGUAUUAGGCCUGUGCUCUUGGGGACUAGGACUGUGACACUAAUUCAGCCACUUUCCCCAUAGAAAAGCAGCUGUGACAACGUGUUGUAAGAAUCUCCCUUUCCCAGCAGCCCCGGUUAGAAGGCUGAGACAAAUUAUUUACCAGAAAUAAGACAGCUUUUUUGUGGAGAGACAUUGUCUGGGCAGGUGUGGUGGUGUCUGUACCUUCUGUCCUGGGAGGAGGUGUGUCUGAGAAAGCGCUCUGUGUCUGGCUUUUAAACAAAUUAUCUUCUCUAGCAUAAUCCAAGUUUCCCUUCCAUAUGCAAUGAGGUGAUAUUUACAAAUCCCUGGCACUGGAGGCAAAAUGUGUAGUCACAUGUAAUGUGCAAAGAAAAUGAGGUCAGGCACUGGAGACUUCUUCAGAAAUACAACUGCAAAUGAUAUUUUGGGCAACAGAUUUGAUCUGGAUUAAGUUUAUGUGCAAGUUUUAAUUCUCUUAAAAUUUAAUCUGUUGUCAAAGCAUCUCUGAAACAUCUGCUUUAAAAAUUGACAACAUUACUAUUGCUCUUAUUUAUUUCUCUGUUUAAAGUGUGAAUGGGGAACUUGUAGUCUUCAUGCAGCCUUUAUUUCAUGCAACCUGCAGAGAUGUGAUAGCACAGUGUGUGUGUGUGUGUGUGUGUGUGUGAGAGAGAGAGAGAGAGAGAGAGAGAGAGAGAGAGAGAAGGCCCUAUAUCAUCCUGCAAACUCCACCCAUCUUUGGCACUGGUUUCUAAUUGAGUUUUCCCAUAGGUCAAGAGCCCUUCAUGGGGCAGAAAUUUACCCCAACUUUAAUUUAAAGCAUGUGGAGAUCUGCAACUGCCACCUGGCCCAGCCUGAAUGGGAACCCACCAAAAAUGUCCUACAGCCUUUCUGGGCUAGAGAGGCAAGACUGGAAAGGGAAGCGAAGGUGAGGGAAGUAGGUUUCCCUCGUUUUCACUUACUACCUCCCAGGAGAAAGAAAAGACAUUCUGUCCCCUUCUCCCACCAGGUGCAAGUGAAGACAAAACUCUUGAAGUCAGGAAGCGAGAUGGAUUGGCAGUAUGGGUAGCACUUGAUAUCAGAACAUAAAUUAAUUUCAGGAGGAAGAAACCGUUUAAUGUGGGGCUGUCUUUCUGAAGUGGGCCCUCCCUUUUAUUACAUCACUCCGGGUCUUAACUGUCUCUGGAAGCUGGUUGGUGUGAUUCUACAAGAGACCUUUUUUUGUGGGGGGAGCUAUUUUCCUUAAGACUGCAAUUAAAUAGAAAUAGAUUGGGAUUGCUGGAGGUGCGUAGCAAAAUUAAACUUCUCAAACAAACCAAAACAGAAAUCCUAUCACCCAAAAUAGCUGUUAGUGUUGAGCGCCCAGAAAUCCCACCAGGGCAUGGAAAGCAGCAAAGAUGGCAGAUCCUUCUGAAGUGCCAGGUACCUGCUCUUUGGGUGGAGCCUGUGAGUGUAAUUGAGAUAAUUUCUUGGUAUCCAAACAUGGCUAUAGAUGCCUUGUGUUAAACAUCCAAUUAUAAGAUCAGUAAGUGCUUUCCAAACAGAAAUAUGCAGGAUUUGUUCCAGCCGCCAUCUGAAAUGCAGUCACGUUGCAUGUGAAUUAGUGCAGCUGUUUAACAGCUGAAUAGCAGUAACACCCCACCGAGUUUUAUUCUUCAUAUUUCCAUUUUACAUAAUGUAAUCACUUGACUUAGAAUGUUGCCUGGAGUCUAGAAGUAAUGGUUCUGCUUGCUGUGGGGGGAUGUUAAUGACCACAAAUGAACAGUACCUUGAUUCCACAGCCUCCUCCCACCCCUCUUUCGCCUUCCCUUGCUGCAGUGGCUGAAAUUAGUCACCUUUGCCACAGCAUGGUUCUUUCAGAGCAAACUUGGGCAUUACAGGGAAGUGGUAAGGUUUUCCGGAUUAGCUCCUCAGAAACUUCCAUUUGUUGCAUGCUGGCAGAGGUUGCAUCUAAUAUCCACUUGUCGUGACAGCCCAUCAGACAUAUGCAUCCAGUGGUGAGCUUUAUCAGGACAGCUGAAGAAGGGAAGCAUCUUUUGCUCCCUCGGAAGACUGUGUACCUUUCAGGGUGCUUUGCUGUGAAGUAACAGCCCAAGAGCUUACUUAACAGGCCAUUGGACCGAUAAGGCCAUGCCUUUGCAGGCCACAUUGUAAGAUGGAUCAUUGUUCGUUUGCUGUAAAUAGUAUUCUCUCUGGAGGCACAUGUCUCCAGAGAGGGGACACCUCAAAGCCCACCCCCAAUCUCAACAAGAGGUGCUGUUUUCCUGCUCUGUAUAACUCCCAGUCUUGCAUAGUGCAUUUUUAAACAUCUGCCUUUUCCUCCCCUUGUCUAGACAGUAAAAGAUUCAAGUGGAAGUUAUGGGCCACCUGGUCUGCUUGGGGGAGCCAAAGAAAACUCGUCCCUGAUUCUAGUGCAGGAUCAUGUGAGUUCAUAAUAUGGCUUGGAGGUGAGGAUAGCACUUAUUCUUGUGAGUGUUCCUCAGUUCAGAAGCUUUUUUGAGGGAGUGGGAAUCAACAUAUGUUGUUAGCAUUGGUGUUUUGUAAUCUGACUCUAUUUUGGUAUAACUUUCCUUGUAACCCAGCCCAGUCAACCAUCUUCAUCUCUGUAGUCCCAAAGACAGUUUAAGGUAAUGCUGAGUUGUCUUCAGUCGACCAUCAUGAAGCACUCUUUCUACCACCAAUGCCCUUAAUUUUGCUGAUGUUCUCUGAAGCGCUCCAUCUUUCAUUAGAGAAGCUGCAGGUGCUGUAUUCCUUUGGCUUUGGCUUUCCGCUUUGUUAAUAUCCUCUUUGUUCUCCAAAGCAUCCCAAAGCAAAUAAGGAAGAAUGGCUUUUGCUUAGUGGAUAAUGCUGCACAUUUCAUUUCCAAAGCUUUCUAUUGUCCCAUAUCAAUUCUUUUGAGGUCCUAUACCAAGGAUCUGUGGCUUUAAGGCUCAGUAUAACAAAAGAAUAUCAGUUGUAUCUGAACAAAUGAUCGCAAUCAUAAGAGAAUUAGCACUGUGUGAGAAUUAGGAGGUGUGCUGGAGACUGUUUCUGGGAGGAAAGUUAGGAUCCAGGCCACUGCAAAUCUGUUUCUUCCUAAAGAUGCCAAUUCUCUUAUAUAUUACAGGAGCUAUGCAGCUGGAUCACAAUAAAGUUCUGCCAGGGGGCAUUUGUCAGAAAACAGCUCUGGACACUCCUCCUCCUCCUGUGUCUUGUCUCUCAGCAAGGGGAUCAUGAUUUGGGACAUGCUCUCCGCUGCUAGAAUUUAGCUACCUUAAGUUUGGUUAUUCAUAUUUUUAUUAAAUGGCGGCUUCUCUGUUUAUCUAGCAGGGUAGGUACAUUGGCACAUAUACCUAGAAAGAAGCAGGAAAGAAUGCACCUCAGAAUAUUGAACUGGACGGGGUCCAUUAAGCCUUUUCUGUAUCUAAAAUCUGUAAUUUCCUGUUUCAUCUGUUCCCCCGCCCCCUGCACAAAAGCAAUGGAUUUCCACUUAGAAUUCCCUGUGGUUAUACUGAAAUUGGAUUAUGAAAGGGUGGUGCCAAGUGUGUUAUCCUCAUUCGAUUCAGGGCUGUGCCCCCAAACGAUUUUCAGUGGCAAGCCUCUGUUACAUAGCCAUCAUCAUAUAUUCACCAGUUCCUGGCUUGUAUCUAUCUCCUUGUCACACUGGGAUGUAACUGGAAUGGGUGGGUGGGUGGUGGCAUCAAGGCAGUGUUGUUGUUUGGAGAGAGUACAAGGUACCCUGACCAAGCUCUGAGAGGCAGCAGGGCAGGGAGAAGCCUUUCCACCACCCCACCAGGUCAUCGGGACCUCUGGAGACACAUGCCUGGAAAACUGGCCCUUUACACUUCUUUGUCCAGUGACAGUAGCCACUGUGGGAUGGGUGGGUUUGUGCCCAGUCCCUUUUUUCACUGAACCCCAAUGUGGGUUCAACAAGAGUCUACACCCAGUCCCUUCCAUGGUUGGCAACACAUGCUCCUCUUUGUUGCCCCAUCAUCCCCAUUGUGAAAAAGGACUUUUGAGCCAAUUUAACAUGGGGCCCACGAUGUCUCAAAGAACUAGCUGAUGACACAUGAUGCCGUGUGAACUCUUAAGCCUCUGCAUCAGUCAGUUUUGUUUUGAAGUAGCAAGUUGGCUGGAGAGUUUUCAGCCGCAAUAAUUUUCCCCACUCUAAUCCUCCCCUGGCUAUCUUGCUUUUCUCCUUGCUGUUACGGCAGAGUAGCCUGUGGGUGGCGGCAGAGGCCAGAGUAGACAAUUGCCAGGCAAACUAUUAAAGCUGUGCUUAAACCUAUCAUGACAGUUAUGAUUAGAAUAAUAGAUUGGCAUUUUUUCCCCUUAGAUCGUUGAGCUUACAUUUCUCACUUGCCUGAGUUUAAAGCAUUAAAAUGUGUCCUUCCGUUUCAUAAUUAAUUCAUCUCAAAGAGAAAAAUACGAAGGUGGCAAAUGAAUUUCCCACCCCCUGCUUUCUCUCGCCUUGCGCUGGGUGUGAACCAAUUUUCGUAUUAAUGCUGUGGAGGUCUGAAUUCUUAUCAGAAAGAGACGGGCUCCUUUCUUUUCUUUGCAGGGUUGGAUAGGGGCGUGAAACAGGAAGUGUGUGUCAUGUGGUGGUGAUGGGGGGGAACCUCUGUAGGAUGUGCAGAAACACAGAUCUUUCAGGUUUGACACAGCACUAAACGUCAUAAGUCGCCCUAUUCCCCACCUUUCCUUUAUGCUAUCUGGCCCAUAGGAUUCCGCCCAGGCCACACACCCUCUCGCAAGCCACUCCCCCUUUCGCCAGGCCACGCCUCUUCCUGACGUGGCUUCACAUCCUCCUCGAGUGCUUGCCAGGAAUGUGCUCUUGAGCAAAAAUGAAAAGAAAGGAAGAUGUUAAGUGAUUAAGUAAAUUUUAUGAGAAAUUUGUUUUGGAAAAUCGUUACAAUGAUAUAUACUGAAAUUCAGUCAGGGGAAUUUGAGGAAAUCACUUAACAAUGUUAAUAAGAUUGGAUUAAGUACAGUUAUGAUGUAUGUAUGUUUGUUUGUUAGUUUAAAAAUUUGGGAAAAUUAAUUAAAUAAAUUGGGGGGGAAAGGAAUGUGGUCUUGAAAUCUGGUGAUGACUCUUGCCUGUCUGGAUGAAGGAUAGUGAGGGGAGUGUGAGUGCAUAUAUAUCUAGCAUACUGUGCAGAGGAAAAAUAAUAACAAUAACAAUAUAAUAAUAAUAAUAAUAAUACCCUGCCCAUCUGGCUGGGUUUCCUUGCAGCAUCCCCAUUUGCCCACAACUGGCAUGUGGCCCCUAGAAAUUUGUGCAGAGGGGAAUGUGGCCCUUGGGAUGCAAAGGGUACCAGCUCAUAAUUAGAGCCCAUUGGAUCAGGCCAGUGGCCCACCUAGUCCAGCGUCCUGUUCUCAUGGUGUCCAGCCAGAUGCUUGUGGGAAGCCUGCAAGCACCUCUUUAUGCCGUCAAUUUCACCUUCCCUGUUUAUCACACAGCUUUUCAAUUAGGCUCCGACACAGCCCUGUGUUUCUAAAUCAUGAAGUGCCUCUUUGACAAGCCUGUUUUCUAGUAUCGUUCUGAGGAAUUGGGACGUUUGCCACUGGCAGGAACCAUGGUUAUUCAGUGGCAGUUGCUAAGGUCUACAGGCCCCUAUGAGAACAGGAUGAUGGGCUAAAUGGGCCAUUGGCCUGAUCCAGCAGGCUCUUCUUAUGUUCUUAAUGAGUUCAUAUUGCCGUGGUGGUUGCGUGGCAGUGUGGUCAAGGCAUCUGAGGGCAAUGUUUCAACAGCUGUACUUGGAGGGAGGGAAAAUCUCUCCCAGAGCCUUUAGUGGACUGUGGAGGAUUUCCCUGUUUAAUAACCUUCCGCUCCUUAGGCCUCUGUGUUUCUGCUUCUGUACUAAAGAAAUGCGAAAGCAAACAGUUUCUCUGAGGGCAUCUGCUUAUUCCUGUCCUCAAGGAGAACUAAUCCCCUCUGCUUAGCAUGGUCCAUUUCCAGAGCAACAAGUUGUAUAGUAACAAAGGAUUAUGCUACUAAGUAAAGAAUGAGAGGGGAGGGACACUGCUGAAAUAGAUGAAAGUGUUAAGAGGGGCUGCAUAACUGAGAAAAGUUGAAGUUACCCUAAACCAGGGGUCAGCAAACUUCUCCAGCAUGGGGCCGGUCCACUGUCCCUCAGACCUUGUGGGGGGCCAGACUAUGUUUUUUGGGGGGGAAAUGAAUGAAUUCUUAUGCCCCACAAAUAACCCAGAGAUGCAUUUUAAAUAAAAGCACACAUUCUACUCAUGUAAAAACACCGGGCAGGCCCCACAAAUAACCCAGAGAUGCAUUUUAAAUAAAAGGACACAUUCUACGCAUGUAAAAACACGCUGAUUCCCAGACUGUCCGCGGGCUGGAUUUAGAAGGUGAUUGGGCCGGAUCCGGCCCCCGGGCCUUAGUUUGCCUACCCAUGCCCUAAACCUUAGGGGUGAGAUACAAAUAAGGUUUUUUUGUGUGUGCGGAACAAGGUCUUCUGACAAAAUGAGCUUCCUGCCGCCGCACCUCCCUCACGCCCCCUAAAUCUACUCUGGAGGGUUGGGGAAAACAGCAGAAAAGGUUGGGGGAGCUCACAGGAGAAGAGAAUGGUAAAGCCUUGUUGCAUGAAUAGACCUCUCCCCAUGUGCACAUCCCCCACUUAAGAGAGGGAGGAAAACUUUUCUCUGUCCAUCCCAUUUCUCCAUGCCAUGCAUAAUCUGGCAAACCUGUUACUUGCUUUUUCUCUAACCUGAAAAGCCCCAAAGAGGCUCCCUUUCAUUGCAGAGGCUUUCUUCCACCCCCUUGAUAAUUUUGGUCACCCAUUUCCAACUCUGCAAUAUCUUUUUGGAGGUGAAGCAACCAGAACAAUACACAGUAUUCCAAUGCAGUCACACUAUAGAUUUGUAUAAUAGCAUUAUGAUAUCAGCAGUUUUAUUUUCAAUUCCUUUCCUAAUGAUCCCUAGCAUGGAUUUUGCUUUUUCACAAUCUCUGCACACUGGGUCAACAUCUUCAUCGAGCUAAUAUUCCCCUGAUUACUAGUUGCUUGGGGAGAGGGGAGAGAGAAGUUACGUUUCAUUGUGCCCUGACUGUGAGCAUCCUAGGAGAUCUGCUUUGAAGCCAUGAGAGAAGAGGCUUGGAUCCUCAGUUCCCACAAGCAGACCUCCGCUCAAGAAAUGCUCCCAAGACACAAAGGGGCCACACACACAUUUCUUCUCUCUCUCUCUCUCUCUCUCUCUCUCUCUUUUGCAAGUUUGCUCAUCACCUUGUUUCCUGUGUCACCUGAAAAUCUUCUCUGGAGGAUUCGAAGGUUUGGGGAAAGCACAAGUGCUAGAGCUGGGGAGGGGGGGCGAGGAUAGGGGAACCGGCAGAUAUCUCCUCCCUCUGCUUUCCACUGGUGGGAUUCCCCACUCAAUGGAGUCACUUCUGUUAAUCAUAGAAUUGUAGAGUUGGAAGGGAGCCCUGAGGGUCAUCUAGGCCAACCCCCUGCAAUGCAGGAAUCUCAGCUAGAUCAUAUAUGGCAGGUGGUCAUCCAACCUCUGCUUUAAAACUUCCAAGGAAAGAGAGUCCACCACCUCUCUUGGGAGUCUGUUCCACUGUUGAACAGCUUUUACUGUUAGAUGCUUAGUAGGUAUCUCAUUUCUUGUAACUUAAAUUGGGAAGGAUGCCUUCUGUCUGUGAAAGGGCAACUGAAAUGCAGGGCAGAGAAUUAGACUACAUGGUCCCCUGGUCUGACUUAGUAAGGCCCCUGUUAAGAGUUAAUGAUGUAUUUUCUUUCUCGGAGGUUAGCCUUCCUCUUCAAUAUGUGUCUUUAUUCAUAUGCUUUAGUCAUCUGCAUAGAAUCAUAGAAUUGUAGAGCUGGAAGGGACCCUGAUGAUCAUCUAGUCCAGGGUUUCCCAAACUUGGGUCUCCAGUUGUUUUGGGACUACAGUUCCCACCAUCCCUGACCACUGGUCCUGCUACCUGGGCAUGAUGGGAGUUGUAGUCCAAAAACAGCUGGAGACCCAAGUUUGGGAAACCCUGAUCUGACCCAACCUCCUGCAAUUCAGGAAUAGGCAGCUGUCCCAUACGGGAAUUGAACCUGCAACCUUAUCAGCACCACGCUCUAACCAGCUGAGCUAUCCAGGCAUCUACAUGCAUCAUUUGGACAUAGGGACAUAGAAAGCUGCCUUCUAUUGUGUCAGCUCACUGGUCUGUCUAGCUCAAGAUUGUCUACAUGGACUGGCAACAGCUGUCCAGGAUGGUUUCAGGCAGGAAACUCUCCUAUCCCUGUCUGGAGAUGCCAGGGAUUAAAACUAGGGUCUUCUGCAUGGAAAGCAGAUGCUCUCCCAAUGAGCUAUGGCCCUUACUCAUUUGACUACUACUUGGAUCCCCAGAUGUGGUUGUCUACAAUUCUUAUCAACCCUGACCAUGCUUCCUGGAAGAGUGGUCCAGGUUGUGGUCCAGUAACAUCUGGGGAUCCAAAGUGGAGGAAGACUGGCCUAUAUCAUAUGCAGACUUAUCCAGAGCUGGUGAUGUGAACAGAUUCAUGUAUGAUUCGACCUCAUGGGGGCAUUGACUGUGGGAAGGACUUUUGUCUGUUCUAACUCGGGAGUCUACCUUUUGUGUACAUAGAUUCAGGUAGGUAGCUGUGUUGGUCUGAUGCAUUUGAAAUAUAUAUAAAAAAUUUAAAAAAUGCCCCAUGCACACACGAAAGCUUAUACCAAGAAAAAACUUAGUUGGUCUUUAAGGUGCUACUGGACAAUUUAUUUAUUUUUUAUAUAUUUUGUGUACAUAGUUUGAAGAAUAAAAUUUCCUCCCCAAAACAGAAAGCAGUAAAUAGAACUGCUUAGCUGAUUGCAGAAGAUAAGUAGAUAUGUAAAGUGACCCAUUCAGGUUUUUUCCGGGAAUGUAAUAACCUCAAGUGAAGUACUGACUCCAGCAGACACUGAAGACGUUCUCACCUUAUUUAACUCUUAUUUUAUUCAUCAUAGGAAUGGGUUUCAUAUCUCUUUCAAUCUGCCACUGACGGGUAGGAAUAAUUUUUCAGGCAGUGUAGAUGAGUAUGCCGUGGUAGAGUCCAUUUGCCACCUUGACAAGCGCUUAGUGCCAUCAGCCAUGGAGUAAGUUGGAAAAAUGUUUUCCUUUACAGUCUGACUUGAACAUGAGCAUGAUGUAUGUUCAGAUGUGGUGGUGGGGAGGGGGAAAUGACAGAGGAAGGUCGCUGAGUUGUGUGAAGCUGAGCAGUGAAUCCCUGCCACUGAUUUCUGUCCCUCUCAUAGCACAAGCAGAAGCCUGAGACAAUUAACUUCUUGUUUCUUGUGGAUGGAGUGGAAAAUGGGGUUCAAGCUAAUACAGUGAAAUUCAAAUGAGACGAAUGUAAAAUUUUGCAUUUAGGGAGAUUUAAAAAACAACAACGCACAAGUGUAAGAUGGGGGAAAUCUGGCAUGUGAAAAUGGAACUCAGAAUUGCAGCUGAGUGCAAACUGAACUUGAGUCAGCAGUAUGAUGCAGCUGCAGUAAAGGCUAAUAUGAUUAUGAUGCUGCCUUAAUAGAACCACAGUUUGCAAGUCACAAGAAGUAUUCAUGCCAUUGUAUUCUGCCAUAAUCAGACUUCCUCUAGAUAGAGCACUGUGCCCGGUCUUGGGCACCACACUUUGAGAAGGAUGUAGACAAAUUGGUAAUGCAUUAGAAGGUUGGUUAAGGGUAUGGGAAACCAUUCCUAUGAGGAAAAAGUUUCAAUUAAGUGGGCACAGUUAGCCUGGAGAAGAGAAGACAAAGGGGAGAUACUGUAUGCUAGCACUCUUCAAACACCUGAAGGGUUAUAUUAAUGAAGAGUACAUCUCUCAACAUCCAUAACCAUUGUCCCUGCUGACUGAGGCUGAAGGUACUGUAUUUUUCGCUCCAUAAGACGCACUUUUUCCCUCCUAAAAAGUAAGGAGAAAUGUCUGUGCGUCUUAUGGAGUGAAUGUGUGGUCGAUCGCUGGCUCCCUUUCCAGCCCCAGCCCCUUGCCCAGGCCUCCAUUGUUGAAUGUUCUGCAGAUGGAGGCUGUUUGUUUCCCCAGUGACAUGUGACUGGCUGACUAGAUUAUCUGUCUGGAAACUGUAGAAACAGCUCCCUUUCCUUUCCUAAAGAAGCUGCAGAACUGUGAGUUGAGCCCCAUAAAAACAGGAUUUUUUCCCCUUUGCAAAAUAAGCUGCACAACUUUGAGCUGAUCGUCAAAAAACCGGGGCUUUUCCCCUUUGCAAAAGAAGCUGCACAACUGUGCGCUGAUUCCCCCCAAAAACGGGGCAUUCCCCCUCUAAAAACUAGGUGUGUCUUAUGGUCAGGUGCAUCUAAUAAUAAUAAUAAUAAUAAUAAUUUUAUUUAUAUCCCGCCCUCCCCAACCGAAGCCGGGCUCAGGGCGGCUAACAACAAUAAAACAGUACAACAGUACAGCACAACACUCUAAAAUCAUUCAUUGUAAAAUUAAUUCAAAUCAAGCCACUGGCAACCAUUGGGCCAGAGCUCCGCGAAGAUUGCCGAGGGAGGGAGUCAGGCUGUGCCCUGGCCAAAGGCCUGGCGGAACAGCUCUGUCUUGCAGGCCCUGCGGAAAGAUGUCAAGUCCCGCAGGGCGCUAGUCUCUUGUGACAGAGUGUUCCACCAGAUCGGAGCCACAGCCGAAAAAGCCCUGGCUCUAGUUGAGGCCAGCCUAACCUCUCUGUGGCCUGGGACCUUCAAGAUGUUCUUAUUUGAAGACCGUAAGUUUCUCUGUGGGACAUACCAGGAGAGGCAGUCCCGUAGGUACGAGGGCCCUAGGCCGUGUAGGGCUUUAAAGGUUAAAACCAGACCUUAAACCUGAUCCUGUACUCCACCGGGAGCCAGUGCAGCUGGUAUAGCACCGGGUGAAUGUGAUCUCGCAGCGAGGACUCCGUAAGGAGUCUCACUGCAGCAUUCUGCACCCGCUGGAGUUUCUGGGUCAGUCUCAAGGGCAGCCCCACGUAGAGCGAGUUACAAUAAUCCAGUCUAGAGGUGACCGUCGUGUGGAUCACAGUGGCUAGGUCAGGGCGAGAGAGGUAAGGAGCCAACUGCUUAGCUUGGCGGAGAUGGAAAAAUGCCGCCUUUGUUAUAGCUGCAAUCUGCGCCUCCAUGGAAAGGGAGGUAUCGAAGAUUACACCCAAACCCUUAACGGACGGUGCUGGCACUAAUUGCGCCCCCGCAAGAGAUGGGAGUUGCCCCCCCAAUCCCAUAUCAUCCCUUCCCAGCCACAGGACCUCUGUCUUCGAAGGAUUUAGCUUCAACCGGCUCCCACGUAACCAUCCAGCCACAGCUUCCAAACAUCUGGUCAGUGUGUCUGGGGCCGAGUCAGGAUGGCCAUCCAUCAACAGAUAGAGUUGGGUGUCAUCGGCAUACUGAUGGCAACCCAGCCCAAAACUCCGAACAAGCUGGGUGAGGGGGCGCAUAAAGAUGUUGAAAAGCUUCGGGGAGAGUAUCGCACCCUGAGGUACUCCACACACCAAGGAGUGGCGCGAUGACAAUUCCCCCCCAAGCGCUACCCUCUGUCCUCGACCAGAGAGAAACGAGCACAGCCAUUGAAGGACUGUGCCCUGGAUCCCCACGUCGGCAAGGCGGUGGUCCAGGAGUUCAUGAUCGACCAUGUCGAAAGCUGCUGACAGGUCUAGAAGAAUCAGCAGCCCCGACCCGCCUCGAUCCAGCUGUCUACGAAGAUCAUCUGUUAGGGCAACCAGAGCCGUCUCGGUCCCAUGACCAGCGCGGAAGCCGGACUGGAAUGGAUCCAGAGCCGAUGUUUCAUCCAGAAACCCACCAAGCUGUUCAGCAACCGCUCUCUCAAUCACCUUACCCAGGAACAGAAGAUUCGAAACCAGGCGGUAAUUGGAUAGAUCUAAAGGAUCUAAUGAUGUUUUCUUUAAGAGCAGGCGCACCACUGCCUCCUUCAGUUCCCCUGGGAAUGUCCCUGUGCCAAGGGACAAAUUGAUGAUAUCCCCCAGGAGGGCCCGCACCUCAUCUGGACACACUCUAAUCAGCCAAGACGGGCACGGGUCGAGAGGACAGGUGGUGGGCUUUCCAGCUCGGAGGAGUCUGUCCACAUCGGCUGGGGAUAUCCGGUCGAAGUGGUCCAAUACUGGACCUGAGGACAGUCGAGGGGCCUCCACUUCCUUUAUUGUAUCCAAAUUGGCAGGGAGGUCAUGGCGGAGCAACAAGACCUUCUCCUCAAAAAAGCUCGCAAAUGCCUCACAGCUGUGUGUCAAAUUGUUAUUUAAAUUUGGCUGUCCCUCAAGGGACGUUAAAGACCUAAUUAUACUAAAUAAUUGCGCCGGGCGAGAGCUAGCGGAUGCAAUGGAGGCCGAGAAGUAAGACUUCUUAGCAGCCUUCACCGCCAUCUGGUAGGUUUUCAUAAAAGCCCUAUAAGAUGUUCUUGAGGCUCCAUCAUGGGCACCCCGCCAUACUCGCUCUAGCCGUUUGAGGUCCCGCUUCAUUUUCCUGAGCUCCUCGGUAAACCAGGGAGCCCGGUUUCUGCGGGGUCGCAGAGGGCGCUUAGGUGCGAUCUCAUCGAUGGCUGCCAGGAGCUGGAUAUUCCAGCCCUCAACAAGCUCAGUCAAUGAGUCGCCAGGGGGAGCAAGGUCCCGCAAGGCUUGGCGGAAUCUAUCAAGGUCCAUCAGCCUCUGCGGGCGAGCCCAAAUCGGCUCGCCACCUAAGCAGGGUGGGGGUGGAAAGUCAAUCCUGGCUUUCAGAGCGUAGUGAUCAGACCAUGGCACCUUCAUUGAGGAGACAUGAUCACAUCUAUACCUAUGCCAAAGAUCAAAUCCAGCGUGUGGCCUGCUUGAUGUGUGGGGCCCGAAACAAACUGGGAGAGCCCUAGUGUUGCCAUGGAAGACACCAGGUCCAGAGCCUGUGAGGAGGGAGUGGCAUCAGCAUGGAUGUUGAAGUCCCCCAAUACCAAUAGUUAGAGAACUCCAAGGCCCAGCCGGCCACCGCCUCCAGUAGGCCUGACAGGGUGGCUGCUGGUGCGCUAGGUGGCCGGUACACCAGCCAGACAGCCAAGCUCUCCUCGGAGCCCCACACUAGGCCAACACAUUCAAUGCCGGGGAUCGAUGGCGAUGGUAGAGCCCUGAAAGGACAAUCUUCCCAGAUUAAUAAUGCCACCCCUCCCCCCCGGCCCACAGUCCACGACUGGUGGAGGAUGGAGAAACCCGGGGGCGCCAUCUCUCGUAAGGUAACUGUUUCCCCUUCACGCACCCAGGUCUCCGUCACACAAGCCAGGUCGACCCCCUGUGAGGUAAAGAAAUCUCGCAGGGUGGCGGUUUUGUUGCCUAUAGACCUGGCAUUGCACAGCACCAGUGACGGAGGUGGGUAAUCCUUGCUCACCCUACCCUCGUCCCUUGGGAUGAGGCGCAGAUUGGAAGGGGUACGAGCAUAUCCAUAUCUCGAUCCCCUUCGCCUAUAACAUCUGCCCCCACUGCCAUACCUCCCUCGCCCCUCCACGGUAGGAAUCCCAAGCCUCAUAUUAGCCUCCAUUGAUGGCAAUUAAUGUUAUUCUUUCGCAGCCUAAAACAAUAAAACCUUAAAACAAUUUUAAAAAACCCGAGAAAACAAUAAAACAAUACAAAUAAAAAUUGCAAAAAUUACAAAUCCAUCAAAAUCCAACAAAUUCCCAAGCCCACCCAAACAUCCAUCCCACCCCCAUAUAUAAAAGAUCUAAAGGGAAAGGGAAAUUUUAAAACAUGUUAAAAAGAACUCUGCACCCCUCCGGAUCCUCCUGGGCAGUAGCAGCACCAGUGGCAACAACCGUCCUUGUGAGGCCCCACCCUGGGCCUGGGCCUGGAGCGAAAAAUACGGUAAUUGGGGUUCACCUGUCCUGUACUGAAUGAGGUGCAAGGCCAGUGACUGUGGGAGAGAGGGCCUUUUCCAUGGUGAUGCUCCUGCUAUGAAAUGCCUUCAGAGAUAUUUGCCUUGUGCCUACUUCAGCACCAGGCAAAGAAAGCCCUUAUUCAUUUCCCCCGACCAUUCAAUCCGCUUUAGAUUUAAUCUGUCCUUACUCUCAGAUACUGCUUUUGUAUUGUAUUUAUGAUUUCAUUGUUUUUGUUAUUACUGGACUUUGCAUAGGGCAGCUUAUAAAUUUUGUAAUUAGAUGCACUUGUCUCAUAUGGUUUUUAAGGACUGGUCCUGAUAUUGUGUGUGUGUGUGUGUGUGUUUUAAUCUGCUGCUGUUGUAUUUUGCUGUAGCUUAAUUCGUUUUUUAAAUUAUAUAUUGUUUUAAAAUAAUGUGCCCAGUCUGGAGUGCUGGGAGGGUGGUGUAUAAAUGCUUUUAAAUAGAUGCACGUUUAUUUUCCUUGUAUGUGUAUGUGUGCUCAGAGUUUCUCCACUUUAGGAUAAGUUGCUCUUCUUGAAUCACAUCAUUAAAAGUUGAUCUCUUUUUCUUUGCACAGUAUUGUAAUUUCCAGCUUCUGCAUUUGGCCAUACGUUCCCCCACCUCCCCCAACUCUAGGCUUGCACUGCAAGUACUUCUCUCUGUACUUCUCUCUGAUUUCAAAUCAUUGAGACUAGAGAGGGUCCAUAGUACUUGCAGUGCAAGCCUAGAGUUGCCUACUGAAUUCAGUGGGACUUACUGCCUUAUCCUUAUGCUUCAACCCUCUACCCAUUGGCUUGUGACUAAGACUCUUUGAACUCAAGAAGCCUUAAUCCUGUGUCGGCUUCUAUAUGACUGCACUGUUUUUGAUGAUUGCAGUGGAAGGAGAACCAGGAUAAAUAGGGCCUUUCUUGUGGUAGUGCCUGCUAUUUAGAACACUCUUCCACUGGAAAUAAAGCAUGUGCUGAUUUUCUUUUCACCCAGAGUUUUAUUUUAUUUCAUUUUUUUGUUGCCCAAGUAUGUGGCUGGUUACUGUUAAUGUGUGGCAUCAUUAUAUUUUAUAUCAACUUUAUGUAUCUCUUUUGUUGUUGUUGUUGUUGUUGUUGUUGUUGUUGUUGUUGUUGUACAUACAAGUAUUACAAUAAAAUAGUUCUGUAAACCACACUGGAAAAUUAAUUGCCCAGGAACAAGAGGAGGCUCCUGGAAUGACAGGAGCUACUGGGGCAUAACCAGGAACAUUAAAGAAAAGCCAAUCUCAAAAUGGCUUCCCUGAGUGUCAGAAGUUGCCACACACCCCUUUUAUUUGAUAAUAGGAAAUUCCUCCUUUCUUCUCUGUUAUGCAUUAUCAGUAGAAAUUGCCUGGUGCAUGAAAAGUAGAGAAACUGCUUAAAAUAGACUGAAUUUCACUGGGGGAGAAGAAGAAGAAAAGAUUGCUGAGUUCCCUGUAUCAUUCAUUAUUUCAUCUUUAAUUCAGUGAUAACCUCAUUUGAAUAGCUGGAGGCUUAUCACAGAAUUUCCAUUUGAGCCCUUCCAAAGCCAGGAGCUCUGCACAAUUUAGGGUCCAUUUUGUGUACUUGGCCACUCUUUGAAGGUUGCUCACAAAUGGACUGCAGCUGUCAGUGGAAGCUAGGCUAGGCAGAUGCAUGGACCUAGUCCAAACAACACAUGACUUAAAAUGUUUGUGAUCACUGCCAGGGGUUGCUGUUAACUGAACUCAGCCAUUUAAAAAGAAUAAUAAUAAUAAUCUGUGCCUACAUCUAAAAACAUUUAGCUAUCCACUAAUGAUUAGCAUUUAUAGCAGGGAGUACUGUAGCUCAUCCUAUGUAUGGGUUGCUGUAGAUGGAAGCAUGUCUUGGUGCUGCUAGAGCAAGACCAGGGAAAGGUUGGUAGCUGUGGGGACUGGGGCAUGUCCAAUGCAGAAUGCAGGUGGUCCAACAGUAGGCGGAGCCAAAAGCCAUCGACAGGCAGAGACAACUAAUUCUCGUUCCCCCACUGCAUCCUCACCCCUACUGAGACUAAAGAGGAGGAAGCCGACAGCCGUUGCCACCCUCUGAACCAGAUGGAAGAAAGAAGGCAGACAGGGAGCUGGCUGGCUAAUGAUGCUCCAUUUUGUCCUAAUAGGCCAGAAUCCUCCAGUUGGCCGUCAGUUUCUAGGUGUAAAUGCAUGUUCAUCAACAGAGAGGGAAAGAGGAGGCCCUUGCAGUUUAGGGAGAUGCGACUUGAACUUUGGGAAUUGCUAGUAUAUCAUAACUUUCCUACCAUAGCUGCUCUGAACCUCCCCUCUCCCACAUUGUCGUUAAUUAUCCCACAUCUCUCCUCACGAGCUUUUGGACCUUGUUACUGAGUCGGAGUGGUUCGUCUGGUCUGCAUUGAUUUCCCCCACUCCCUGCCCCUCCAUCAAUCAUCCAUCAAUAAGAAGUGCUGUGUACGGCCGUGCGAUACAUUGCUAGACAUUAAAGAGGUUCUUUCUCUCUUAACGCAUUUAAUACAUUUGGGUAUUUAAUUUCAAGCUUGAUGUUAAAUUUAAUAAGUUCAAUAAUUCUUUUGGAAAAUGUUCCUGAUGAAAAGGUUUUACAACGCUCCUCAAACAGAUUUCCACUCUCUUUCUGAAAUGUUGUAAUGCCUCUGCUUAGCUUGAGCAUUAAAGCUGUAAUGGCCUAUGAGGCGGAGGCUGGCACCGUGUGACAUUCCCAGUGCUUAACAUUCAGAGUUCUUUUUUGAGGGCGAAAUUCUAUUUGUAAACAAAUGAGUGACUUGUAUAUUAAUGAGCCGCUGAGCUCAGUAGUGCUUUUCCUUCUGACAUGGGUAAUGAAUGUAUUGUUAAUGGGAUGCUGAUUCCCCGCCCGUCCCUCCUGCUUCUCCGAGGCCCUAAACGAUCUUUCGAAAUCACCUCAGGAAUUCCUAAAUCUUCAGUAAGCACAACAAUUAUUCAUUGGAUUACUGGUUUGUAUACAAUUCUUCAAUAUUAUUGCAUCUGAGAUCAGGCCCAGGCAUCUGGUACAUGCACUGGCUCUUUUGAUCCUAAUAUCCUGAAGCUGUUUUUCAUUAAAGGGAGAAGGAAAAUCUAUUUGGCUUUCAAGAACUAAGCACGGCGGUAAAGCCCAAGUGUUCAUUGGGGGUGGGGGGGAUCCAACUCUCAAAGACAAUUUCCAUCCCUCCUUUAUAGGGGUGUAUGCCAGACCUGUCACUUUCUGGGCCUGAAUGUUUUUGGACUGGUCAGGACUUGCAGUGUCUCUGAUACCUGUGUGGUUGCCAUUAUCUCCAGCAUUUCCAGUGCUGCCGUAUUUGGGUGCAGUUUGCACUGGCCUCUCAUGCAUGUGCCGCUGUCCACCUUGACUCCCAGCUUUCUUUCCAUUAUAAUCAUUACUUCCUCUCUUCUCAUGCACUCACACCUCCCUAAGGACUCUGGCUGUCAAAGCUGGGAGAGUGGUUCUGUAACAAAAGAGCCAACCCUAUCAGGUAGCCUAGUAGCCUGGUCUGUCCUGUUCCUUUCUGCCUGUAGCUUCCGCCAACUGAUGUGUCACUUAGGGCCAAGGCUGAGAUAUUUCCACUGGGCUUAUGGUGGUCUCCUUGGGAGUAGGGAAACAGCCAGCUGAAUUAAAAAUCUCUUGCUUGGCAAAUUCAGUCUGCUCUCCCCAACAAUUAACAACCAGUAGCAUAUUCCAAGCAUGGGAGGACAACCAGCCAUUGAGUUUGAUCAGAAACCAGUACAGUGGUACCUCAGGUUAAGAACUUAAUUCAUUUUGGAGGUCUGUUCUUAACCUGAAACUGUUCUUAACCUGAGGUACCACUUUAGCUAAUGGGGCCUCCCACUGCUGCCAUGCCACUGCUGCUGCGCGAUUUCUGUUCUCAUCCUGAAGCAAAGUUCUUAACCUGCGGUAAUAUUUCUGGGUUAGUGGAGUCUGUAACCUGAAGCGUCUGUAACCUGAAGUGUCUGUAACCCGAGGUCCCACUGUACAGCCAGAAAUCCAAUUCAGCCAUUUCUUCAAAAAGAGUAUGUGUAGGAAAGAAGAGGCAGAGGAACGGCAACUAUGCUGAUCAAAACUGAAACAGACAGAACACUAUACCAUAAUAUUGGUCUAAUUGUUCCUAUGACAUGGUGUCUGUGUUGAAUUUUGGAAGUCCUGUGUUCCUCACCCUUGUUGAGCCCACCUGCAUCCUAAACAGGAGAUGCCUCCCCUCUUCCUCCUCUCUCAUCCUCCCUUCCCCAAGUUUGCAUUUCUUAGGGAGACCACACUUGGUUUGCGCAACAGAGAGGACCCACCAAGAAGCUGAUGUUCCAGGGUUCUGGGUGCUGCCACUGAUUUGUCAAAGUAUACAGGACAGGAGAGGUUUUCUCAGCAGAGCUGCCUGCAAAUGGUUGUUUGUAUUUUUGCUGGGCGGUAGAGGAAAGUAGUAGAAGGCAAAUGCAAAGAAUUAUUUGGUCUAUUUCAGUCAUAUAUUUAUUUGCAUAUCAAUAGACCACUUCUAAACAGAAACAUAUCAAGACAGGACACAUAAAAAUUGAACAUCACAAUAAGAUCAAAUACUUGUUGGUAAAGGAAUUAUUGCUGCUGAAGCUUUACUGGCAGGGAGUUCCACUGGACAGGGUCUGCUACCCCAAAGGCUCAAUCCUUAGUGAUUGUCCAUUUGUCUUUGCAUGUUGCUCCAGCCACUUUUGCCUCUGCCCCACUGGCCUGUGGCCCCACAGGAGGUUGUUCAGGAUGGAAUGUGGCCCUUGGAUUGUAAAAAAGAUUCCCCACUCUGGUUUAAGUGGACCAUGGGUGCUGCUGCUGCGGGAAUAAGAAAAGUCCCCCACCCCACCCUAUCCAUGUGUGUGUGUUGGGGAAGUGAGUGUAGAGUGGGAGAACAAGUGAUUCACCCCUUAAACCACUUUAAAUGCAAGUGGUUGGAUGCUGAUAUUUUCAAGGCCCACCUCUCUUGGAGAACAGGAGGAGGAACCUAAAGUGUCUCUCCUGCCCAUAUCCCUGCUCAGAAAAGAAGACUUUGAAAAAUAGAGAGAGGCAAUGGUUCAUGUUCUCAAACGCGGAUACCAAACUGAUAAUCUGCCCUCCCAGUGUUGUGCUGGCUGGCUGUUUCAAUCUGUAUUCCUUUUACUACCUCAAAUACCAGAGCAGAGGUGGAUAUCACAAUAGUUGCAAAAAGUGGGAACACCUCAAUUUUGUUCAUUUCCUUGCUUUUUGGCAUUUAAAUUGCCUUCACAUCUCUGCACCUAAUGGGGGUUUCUUUUGCCAUUGAAUGUGAUUGUUUGAAUAUGUGCGGAGCUGACAGUGGAGUCAGUGAAGUGAGGCUUCCCUUCCUGCAGUCAGAAAUUGCAAUCAGGGGUGAUGGACUGGGUCAGAAAUGAAUCUGUAUGUGUCACUGAACUGUCAGCUGUCAGCCCAAAUUCCCGUCUUUCCAUUAACCUAUGCAAUGCUGUGAACGUGGAUAUCUUUUUCUUCAUCCCAGAAGCAUCAUUAUAGAGCUGUUCAGUACAAACAAGCCACACACACACACACACACCUCAUUUUUAUCAUCGACAUCAGCCUGCUUACUCUGAAACUGGCCCUACUUUCUUAAUUCAGUUCAUUAAAGAAAGAGAGAGAAAGAAAUUAUCAGCAUCUUAUUUUAUGCAGCAAAUACAUUUUUGCUCUUGUUUUAAGGAUGCUGAGAAUCUGGAACAAAGUAUAUGGAGGGCUAAAAGAAAAUGUAAGGCAUUCAUUUAAAGAUUAAAUUACUCCAUACCGUUUUAUGGCUUUCCUAUUAAAACGAUUCCGCCCUGGAUCACUUUAUUAAAACAAAAAUAGCACAGCAUUUAAGCUUUCGGUUUCAGGCAUCUAGCAUUUCCGCUUGCAUCCACCCUCCCCUCUUGGACUUCUUUGAAAGCAGCAAAGAAGCAGAAUGGUACAAGAUUCUGUUUAGUGCAGGGGUGGGCAGCAUUUUGUCCCAAGGGCCACAGUGGUACAUAGUGGUGGGCAGAUGGUUGGGGGCCGCAUGCCCAGGAGUAGGCACUGUGUGUCCUCCCCAUCUUUUUAGGGAUGGGCACCUGAGAGCCCAUCUUUCUCAUUUCCACGUGGAUCUUUUUAAGGAUAAUUUUAGUCAAUCUUUAAAAAUCCACAUGGAAAACAUGUGAAUUAAAUAUGUUUUAAAAUGCAAACUAAGCCACAUAUCUAUGUUCCAUUCCAAGUACUGGUUCAAGGGUUAUGACCCAGGGUACAGUAGCUCCGAAAUUUCAGAGUGAACAAAAUCCUCCACCAUCCCCACAUCCUUCCCCACAACCUCUCCGCUGCUCAUUCAUUGGCUCACACACAUGGAUACCACCUCCUGCUCACACAUACAUAGAUACACAUGUGCACACAUGCACACCAUUCCCCACUAUUUGUCUUUCAAAGCUGACAUCACACCAUCAAUCCUCAGCUGCAUCAGGGUUUCUCAGGAGUGCAGACUUUCGCAUAAAAAACAUAAGCAUACUCACCAACGGCACCAAAUGCAGCACUAGCAACCCUGCUGUGUGCUGCGCUUGCAAUAACUAGCUGUAAUGCCCCAUGGGUUAGCAUGCCAUGUUCCUGAAGUAUCUUCUUUAUUUGUAAGGACUGUUAAAUACCUUGUCACUACUCUGUACACCAACCCAGGGUGCAUAUUUUGAUCUGGAUAAAUGUAUCUGAGCUCAGUGACAUGCACAUUACUAGUGCUAUAUAAAUAACAACAAUAAUGAAUUAAAAUGUACUGGGCUGCCCAGCCUGUAAGCUUUGUACCUGAAGAAGCAAUCUAUAUUUAAUCACAUUAAUCUUACAUAUUUUGAAACCUUAGGUGUUUAGUGGGAUAUAGGUGGCUUUGAGUGUGAAAUAAAUGCAAUUCUAAAGAUGUUUUCUUCAGUGCAAUUCCAUUAGCACACAUCCUUUGGCUCAUGAAGCCCUUUCUUGGAUGGAGCCUAGAUUAUCUUUGCUGUCUGAGUUCCUGGCUAAAAUCAAUGAGAUCAAGUCCCAUAAAAGUCCUUUCAACUUACAAGUUGGGUUAGCAAAUAAUGGAAGGAACCCAUAAUUGCAGAAGACAAAUGUUUGCAUUAUGAACUCUGAAUUGGUAGCUCAGAGAAGGCAGCCAGCUGGCUACAAGGGUGGUAACUGGUGGUCCUCCAAAGGUUGCAGUGGCAGGCAGUGUUCCCAGCACAGCAGCUACUAUAAAUUAAGAUGCAGUAGUCACGUGGUUUUCUAGCCAGCUUCAUGCUGAGCUCAGCAUGGAAGAGGGAAAUGGAGAGAAUCCUGUGUAGUUGCUGAGCAACUAUGCAAAAACAGUUGCUUCCGUGCUUUUCCUAUUAUUUCCUCUUUUCCAACUUAAACUGUGAUUUUACUGACAGCAAGCAUGAACUUGCCUGGGAAGUUAUGCUUAAUGUUUCAUUAAAAAUGGCUGUUGGUUUGGCAACCUCAUUAGGGGCAUUGCUCCUCCCCACACUAUCCACUCCAAGAGCACCAUUGUUUUGUACUAAGGUGAGGUGGAGUGAGUGGAAGGUUGUGAAAUGUCAGGAAGUGAAGAAGAUGAUCCAUUGAUUCAGUAUUUGGCUCCAGAUUGGCCAGGCUAACUGAAAGCCAUGGAUCAUGCAGAAGUCAGUUUCAUUCUGUGCACAGAUCAUAAAGAGAUGAGACACUGAUAUUUAUGUUAGUGCAGGAUUACUUGUACAUCGUUGCAAACUGCAGGUGAUGUACUAUUUCCUUUCUUUCUCUUUUUAGAAGGUUGCUUCUGUUUAUGGAACAUUCAUCCUGAUUUGUUUGCACAAAGUUUGCAGGGAGGUUAUACCAUGUCGGCUGUGUAUCAAGGGUUCAUUCCGAUGUGUUUGUGGGGAGGUUGAGUGGUGUUGUGUCAAGCAAUUGUUAGCCAACACUUUCCACUGCACUUUUCCAUACUGCUGCAAGUCUGGGGUGGGCUUUGGCAGUGGAGCUCUUGCACUAGAGUGCCACAUCCACUUCAACUGUGAAAAUUAAAUUUGCCAGUAUGCACGUGAAUCCCGCCUGGAAAAAUAGCAACAGCUUGAGAGUACCUAAAAGACAUGUCUUCGGCAGCAGAGAACAAAGGCUGGUGUGCCAUUUUUGAGGCUAACAGGUUUGUUGUGGUGUGAGCGUUCAUAAACACAACCACUCCAUCCAUCUGGAAAACAGACUGUAACCUAUGAAAGCUCCUGAUGCAAUAAAUCAGUCAGUCACCAGGGUGCUACAGCCUUUUAAUUUUUUUUGUCUUUUGUUGCUAGAUUAUAUUUCAUUAAAAGGCAUUUGACUGUCAAGCCUGACCCACAGAUUUAUCAUCCUUCAUCAGCCCAUGUUUUUGCUAUUCCAAGCAGGUUUGUUACUGUUUGCAAAGUUGGGAGUGUACAAACAUUGACUGAUGCAUAUAGAAACCAAGUAACUGCAGUGCUGCAAUGUUACAUUUUAAUUGGACUAUUGUAUAGCUUAGGGGAUGAGCCGCAAGAGAGUAGCCAAUUACUCUGUAUAUCUGUCUGAAAGCCUUUCCAUUAUAGAAUGCUGAUUGAGAUUAUAUAGCUCUAUAUUGUUCCAUGUUAUUGAUUUCUACACCCUCUCCCUCCCACACACGUGAAUGGUCUCGUUAAUUGACAAUUACCUUUUCCCUGUGCUUGAGAAAAUUGACGUGAGCAAGCCGAGGUGUUAAGUUUAAUUUGGACCAGGCAUCUUCACGUCUGUUUAAUCUUUAACAAGAUCCAUUAGAUUUCCUGCUUUUAAUUUGACAUGGGCCAUAAAUGCAUCAUGGCAGGGAAGCUGUGACCCAUUCAGUGUGAGAAGUGGAAGAUCUAUGCAGAAAUAAUGGGCUAUAUCUGUGGUUGGGGUUUUUUGGCUCUUUUGUUAUGACUGGCGGACGGAAUCAGCAGGCAGAGCAUUAGCUGUUAAGUAGGGUUUCGGUCUGUUAGGUGGCCUCCGUUCUUGCCUUACACGAAGAACGCACAUCAGUGGCUCCUCAUCACAGCGGAGGGAGGUUUUGACCAGGUUCCUGCACUGGAUAUGGCAUUCUUCAACAUUGUUAUUAAUGACUUGGAUCGGGGUGGGCAACCUUCAGGCUUUGGCUUCCUCUCAUGUGUCCCUUUGUAUUAAUUUCACGCCAGCGGCAAUCGGAGGGAGAUGGGGAGAAGAGGUGGCAGGAAGGGAGAGGAAAAUGGGAACCAUCGUUGAAGGGGUGGUGGGAAUCCAGAUUUGCAGUUAACAGAAAAGCGGGAGGCAUAGCUAACACCUCAGAAAACAUGAAUAAAAUUGGGGAAGGGCCACAGCUCUGCCACAGGCCAGGGCUAAAUGUCAUGUGUUUAAGCCAUGAGUAAGAGCAGUUCAACAGUGGAAGUGAUUAUGUCGGGAGAGGAGUGGACUUUCUCUUGCUAGAGUUCUUCAGGCAGAGGCCAGACUGCCAUCUGUUGGGGUGUCUCAAGCUCUGGAUUUCCUGCAUUGAGCAUGGGAUGGACUGAAUGGCAUACAAGGCUCCCAAUCACCCUGCAAAUUUAUCAUUUUCAGCUGCAGCACUCUUGAACAUUGGGCACCUCAUCUAGUGUUCUGUCAUGUUUUUGCACAGCUGUAUCCAUAUUCUCAGGCAGCCCUUCCUUUUGCACAGAAGAACCCAGGCCGCUCUAGCCUGUGAGCCACUGAGUUUGGGAAAUUGCUGGUCUUAUUCCUAACACUAUUUCCCAUAUAAAUUCCAUAUAUAAGUUCAGUAUGUUGCCAGACCACAUUACAGCCCUAUUUUCUGUACUCACAGCUGCUGCUGCUGCUGUUGCUUCUAUUCCUCCAUCAGGCCAGGCAAUCACUGCAGUGAUAGCCAACCUUUUAAGACUUGAUUUGUGAGACACUUCCCAAAACAUGAGAUGCUGCUAUUUUGAGGAUGGCAAAGUACAUCUGCAGCUGGACCUCCUCACUGUGUCUCUUUCUUGCUGUAUUUCUGGCUGAGGAGGGCAUCCAGUCUCCAGUUCGGCACUGCUUUUUCAGUUAAAGCCGACCUACUCUUCGGUGCUUGAAUUAUUGAGGGAAGACAGAGGGUGCUUAGCUGACCCCCUGACUUUUUGUGAUACUGCCCUUUGCUUCCAUUUUGGGAAUGCUUUAAGGGGUUCCUAUGAUUGGUUAAAAUUGAGGGGAUGGGGCGGCUUUUUGGAUAUCAUUAAGGGCUCUUUCCCCUUCUCAUGAUAGCAUGACUGUUUCAGGGAGUCAGUCAACUGACCUUCCUCUUCCUGUCCAGGUUCGCCCUGUGCCAUCAGUCGUUUUCCAUUUCUUCCUUUCCUGCCAAAGGAGUCUUAUGACCCUUUGAGGGGGGAAAAUACACUUUCCCCCUACCACCUUCUUAACCUACUUCCCAUUUUGGAAUCAAAUCUACAUAGUCAAUCAAAUUGUUCUUCGCAUAUGAAGCGUAACUGAAACCUUUUUGAUUGGCUCUAAAUCACAUGGUUUUGUAAAGUCUUCCUAAACUAAAUCUCAGCAGGACUUUGUGUUUAAUGAAAUAAUGUUUUGCCUCUGCCUACAGCAGAGAAGCUUUGAGUCUUCCCCCAUCUGCCUAUAGGAUUACUGAGCACCACCUGCUGCAAAGACAGACCCCGGCUCAUUUUAUCUGACUGAAGAAACAGUUCCGUGCUCCUUUAAUCAAGCCCUAAUAUUAGAAAAUAUAUUGUGCCCAUGGGAACUAGAUCCCUGCGGCUCUUUAUUGAUCUUCCGGGCAGAUUGUAUUGCCAAUCAUCUUACGCUGUAACGAUGGAAGGAUCCGAAUGCACCAGCCAAUGGAGGGGGUGCUGAAAAAGGAUGGGCAAUUGAAAGAGGAAUAUAGAAGACUAGAGGGAGGGGAGAAUGGGCACUUUAGUAGAGGUUUGGUCACAUUCCUCAAUGGCUGUGAUUGGAGGAUAUUUCAGUUAGUUUUGGGUCACUCCUCUCCCCCCACCCAUUUUGUCCCUUUAGCUGCACGUUUAUUUUAUUGGUUGUGGGUCAUAUGCCAGAUAAAAAUUGCAUAUCUUGAGCUCUAAGCAGUCAGCUCUAAAUUUGGCAUGUCUAGAAGGAAAGUGGGUGUUUGAAGGUACGACACCUGGAUGCUAGAAAAGUAUGGAAAAGCAAUUAAACAUGUUUUUUGUUACAAUAUUUAGGUGGAUAUGUGGUGAUGCUGAAUAGUCUGUUCAGCAUAUCAUCUCAUCCAGGAAUUCUUCCAGCUGUAUGCAGACAUUUGGGGUGACCUUGUGUGAGUUUACAGUGGGGAGGGGCACACAUGCAACCCCACAUGUGUUAGCUCUGCUUGAGAUCUGAAGGUGGCUGGCCUCAAAGUGCCUUCAGUUAAUCAAACUUUGAGGCUUCCUGUGGCAUGGCAGAGAGCCAGACUUUUUUUUUUAAAGUUACUCGAACUUCGUUUUAGCUUUCAAAAAUUGCAUGGCCCUAAUGGCAUUCCACAGCACCCUCCCAGGUUGUAUUGCUUGCUGGGGUGUCAGGGAAGCUGUGGAGCAUCACAGAGUGGCAUGAAUGUGUGCUUUUUAAGAGUUGUGCUGGCCCUCCAAGUCUCUAUCUGGCCCUUGAGCCUCUCUCUCAAGCCACUCUCUUCCCCCCCUCCCAAGCCACACCACUUACCUUGUUUCGCAACCAUCCUGAGUGUUUUUGUCUGGCUGGAAUGUUCCUUUGCAUUCAGAUGAUGACUCUGGCUUGCCUGGACAGAGAGCAGAGAGGGUUGUGUAGAAAAAACAGCCUUGCGGUAGAAAGGCAAACUUUACAUUUGUUGCUCCUUUCACUUUUGCAUCUGACUGCUCCAUCACUGGUAUGUGGUCCCAGAAAGGUGCCCAGAGGGUAAUUUAGGGGAAGGGCCUGUUAAGUUGUGGGUGAACAUAUCAGACGACACAGCGAUACCUCAAACAGCUCUUGUUUAUUCACAGGCCAGAACAGAACUGAACUGAAAGGUUCAGCCAGCCUGCUUAUAUAGAGCUCCACUAGAACGCAACAGUAACCAUUUUCUGUAACUAUCCAAUCACUGAAUGUCACUUUCAAUCUCUUAUUUGCAUAUGUGGACCUGAGUGAAAACCAUCUACAGUAUCCCCCUGCUGGCCCAGGGUGAGAACUUCAGUACAUAACAGGGCCCUAGCUCAGUGGUAGAGCACUUGCCUUGUAUGCAGAGGGUACCAGGGUCAAUCCAUAGCAUCUUCAGGUAGGGCUAAGAAGGACUCCUGCCUGAAACCCUGGAGAGCUGCUGCCUGUCAGUGUAGACAGUACUGAGCUAUGUGGACCGAUGUUCUGACUUGGGAUAAGGCAGCUUCCUGUGUGUUCCCAUGUUCCCUUGGCCUGAAAAAAGUUUUAUCCCCCCCAGCUGCCUUGUACGUUUAACGUUAAGGUACGUAUGCACUGGCUCCGCGCCUUGAAAUUAUUUAGGAGAAUAACACCUUGCUCACCUCUUGAGGGGGGGUUUUCACCCUUAACCCCCACAAAUGGCCCCAAAUCAACAUUUCUAAAUGAUCAGAACAGCCAUAAAUCAGAUUAUUAAGCAGAUUAGGCCCAAGCCUAGAAGGUUUCCCAGUGAUGACCUAUUCUUUAAGGAAUCUCCAAGAGAAAGGGGUUUCAUUUUAUUUCUUUGAGAAAAUGUCAGAUAAGGUUCACCGUUAAGUGCAAAGAAGUGUGCACUGUGAAGGCACACAGUGUGCAUAACCAAUCAGUUAUCGCUGCUCAAGAAUAAUAUCUCUCUGAUCAUUAUGGCUUCUUUUUCUGAAAAUACCAGUUUAUUGUUCCUACAGUCAUUUGAAGAGCAAAUAGGGUGUUGGAAAUAUUAGGGGGAAACCUUUCUGUUUUACCAAGCUAAAAAAUCAUCACUUAAAGGGGUAGAAAGCAUAAAAAUACCUUAAGAACUUUGUAGAAAUUAUAACCUGAGCACUGUGUAUAUACAAUCUCCAGAAAGAUAUCCAGGAACUGCAAAAACCUAGGAUCAACAUAAGUAGUGUGGGGAACUGUACACUGAAAUAAAAUAACACAUUAAAAUAUGCUCCCUUUUUAGAUGGAAAAAGACAUCAAAGAAGGGGUAAGUUCAUAGUAAAUGCAAAUGUACUUUGAGGACAAAACAAGCAGCAAACUAUUGCACCAUGUAAUGCUAGAGUAUAUCCUGUAAAACUUAAUUUUAUUUAUAUUUUUAACGUGCUCAUCCCACAGUUUUUGAUAGGUCACUACAUUUAUAAAACCAAAGUAAUAAAAAAAUUGCCUGAGCUAUAAAAACACCCAGAGUAAAACUCUGCCGUAUCAGAGAGAUUAAGAUCUUUGCUAAAAUCCUUCCAGCACCAGCUUAAUUCCAGUAAAAGCAAUCCUGAGGUAUAAUAAUAACCUUUACACACUCGAUUCCUGGAGUUGGCAUUUAAAAUCCGGCAGGUCUGUCAUUUUUAGUCAUUGUCAUAGGCUGAAUUGAUGUGGGGCCUGAGGCCUUCAACUGCAGGAUUUGUCUGGCGCAUGAAGAAUCUCAUUACCGCAGACUGAACUCGCUCUGUAGGGUGUAGAGAGGGCCUGAUGACUCACCGAGGGUUAACUCCUGCACCCUGUAAGUCAGUGUCAUUUGGGUGCUUAAUGGCGACGCUUCAGCCACUGUUCACAUUCAAUCAUGUACUUGAACACUGGCGAAUGAGGAUGGUGACUCAUGUCUUGAUUACUGAUGUCCCUCUCCCUUCCCUUCCUCUGCAUUCAUGGAUCUUACAUGGUGUCUUAACGAGCAAUUACUGAAGAGGUCUGGGUGCAAAAACCUGGUGAUGAUACCGAGAAGAAAAUGAAACGUGCCUGUUCAUCCCUUUACGUACGAAUUCUUUCUUUCUUUUUUAUAAAGCUGUUGUGUGUAUACACUCCAUUUCCAGAAAGCCUUGAAAAGGAAUUGGAACACCUCUAGCCCUUGGAGAGGGGUGAUGGGUUGUAGAAUAUAUAUAUAUAGGCUCAUGCAUUCAAGCCACGAAUGAAGAACAUAUAGGUGACAGUAAUUAAAUGGUGGCAGUAGAUGUGUCUCACUAUCAGACAUUUCUCCAGGCCCUUCUGCCCUUCUUAUAAGAAUGUAGCAUUAUGUGAAUAGCUCAUGAUUGAUUAUCAUCUGAAUCCUGAGAAUGCACUCCUGAUAGCGUGCUCAGUAGCUUAGCUCCCCUGUUAAUGGGAUAUGGUAUUUGAAUUCUCCCAUUAUUUAUCCCAUAUAGAACAGGCUGAUUUUAGGAUAAGGUUGGUGGUUUGAGAAUGAAAAGGCCUACUGUGAAAUCAUAAUUUAUGCUUGUGGCAUUGUGAGAAAGGAUCACAUUGAAAGGACGGCUAUAGGAAUACAUGACUGGCGAAGUCUAAAGUUCAGCCGAUUGCAGUAAUUUAAUUACAAAGCUUUGUGCUCACUUGGUGCCUUUUCAGAAUAAUGAAGUAGUUUUGCAACUUCUGAAGGGUUUCCUACCAGACAAAUUAACUGCUUACCCUGAUACACCGAGCGAUGAAAAGCUUUCUGCAAGCACAUUUGGUGAACUAUGGCUAAAAUCAGGAGUUUGAUCCAAAUGUGAAAGGAACGAACAGUCAACAUUUACUGAAAUUAUACCUGCUGAAGUUGGACAUAACAGCCCUAAGUUACCCCACACACAACCGCAGGAAAAAAUCCACUAAGCUUUGUCUGAUUUUGGCUUUUUGUGUCAUUUUUUUACAAGUCUAUUUGAGGUAUCUAGCAUUUGCCACAAUUAGAUUGUAGGUGAAAUGGGCCAUGAGUCUGAACUCCUGCCUAUAAUUCCUGUCCACUCCAUGUGUACUAAUGCAAUAUCACAUAUAUACAUGUGUCAGGGAACUGCCAUCAGACGGAAGGGAGGUGAAAGGGCUCACACAGGUUGGGAGAGACGCAGCAGCUGAAGAGGGAACCAGCAGGGAGGUGAAAGGGCUCACACAGGUUGGGAGAGACGCAGCAGCUGAAGAGGGAACCAGCAGGGAGGUGAAAGGGCUCACACAGGUUGGGAGAGACGCAGCAGCUGAAGAGGGAACCAGCAGGGGAGAGGAGCUGAGCUGGAGGGAUGGCUCAGAGACACUUCCAGCGAAAACAGUGGGGAGGUUUCAGGACCUCCUGUAAGAACACCCACUCCUCGCCGGAAACUGUCACGCAGAGAUUCCAGAAGACGUGUUUCCGUUAAGGAGCUUUUAUGUUGGAAGCGAUUACGAAAGCAACCACUGUCGGAAUCUGCUAGUGACUAGAGUAGCCAUGUCUGAGGGGCUCCGUCACAGACAGAGGUUUGUGGACUUGAACAAACUCUGAGGGGAUACGAUUUUACGCACAAGCAGCUCAUCAUCCCAUCACAGCAUUCCGACAGUCUUUGAAAGCAGCUUGUGCAGGAGAAGGCAUCAUGAGCAACCCAGCCGGAACCGGAGAAGCAGGAGCUGGAGCGGGUCCAAGCCUGGAAGAAAGGUACCAGAUGUUGGAGGUCCAGCUGGCGAUGCAGGCGGCGAGGCUUGAGGAGAGGAGGGCUCAGGAUGCAGACAAAAGGGAAAGCCACCCAGUUCGCCAGAAAGGUACCAGGAUUGGUGCAGAAGUUUGGGAGGCCAAAAACUAUCAUGGCUUUCGGACAGAAAUGCAAUAUGCCCUCAAUCUGCAGUUUGAUGAAUUCCCUGACGAGGAAUCACGAGUGGCUUUCGUGAUUGAGCAUCUUGAAAAGGGGGCGAGAGACUGGGUUAGACCCCUGAUGGCAGCAAAUAGUGACGUCUUAAAGGACACGAUGAAGUUCUUUCGCGCCAUGGAUCUGAUGUUUUCCAGCGAUAUUGAAAAGGGAGUGGUGCGCAGACAGUUAAUGGGUUGCAAACAGGGAGCCGAUCUGUCCGUGAGUACUGGACUGAGUUCACCAUGCUUGUUCACAGAUUGGGGUGGGACUUAUCGGCGGAACCCAUUCAAAUGCUCUUUGAAGAAGGGCUUUCUUCGGCUGUGAAAGACGAACUUUCCCGGGCGCCCAGGGCGGAGUCUAUGGACCAGCUGACCAAAUCAGCGCUGGCCAUAGGAGCGCGCCAGGAGGCGAGAGCAUUGAGAGGCGGGACGGGCAAGGGAACGUUGGAAGGAGUUCCGCAUUCCAGACAUUCCAGAGCCAACUUUCCCACCGGCAGAGCCGAUGGAAAUCGGAACAGCGCGCGCGCCGCAGUUUCAAAGCCCAGUGAGGGGGCAAAGAAGGAGGGAAAAGGCGCCCGGAAAUGCUAUCUCUGCCAACAGCCAGGUCACUUUGCCAGAGUCUGCCCCCAGAGGAAAGAAUGGCAAGGGAUGGUAGGAGCUGUGGAUGGAAGGGAGGAAGAAAUACCGGAGCAAGUAAUAGCCAACGCCUGGCUGCCACUGUCAGGGCACAGCAGCCAGGCCAAAGAGCAGUGAGAGUGCCCACGCCAGAACCUCCUAAACCCGCCCUAGUGAUAGAAGUGACGCUAGAGCUGCCCACCGGACACCCUCUAACGAUAAAGGCGCUGUUGGACUCAGGCAGCUCCUGCAAUUUCAUGAGCAAAGAGUUUGCAGCUGAACACCAGAUACAGACAAUCCUUUAAGCAGCCCCCUGCAGGUGACCACGAUCGAUGGCAGGGAGCUGUUGGGUGGAGAAGUCAGCUUGCAGACCGUCCCAAUGAUAAUGAAGGUAGCAAGGCACACCGAACUGAUAGCUUUUAAUGUGGCCACCUUGGGAGGAGCUCCCAUUAUAUUGGGGAUGAGCUGGCUAGCGUUACAUGAUCCGCUGGUGGGCUGGCAUCAGAGAGUGGUUUCUUUUGGUUCAGCACAUUGCUUAGAACACUGCAAAGAGGAAAGGGUUUGGCAGGGGUCCAAGCCACCCUAGCAGGGACUGAAGUAACAGAGAACGUGAAGGUACCACGACAAUAUGCAGAUCUCCGUGACGUCUUCAGCGAAAGGGAAGCUGACCAACUACCCCCGCAUAGACCCUUUGACUGUCAAAUCAACUUACUCCCUGGAGCACAGCUCCCUGUAGGCAAGCUGUACGCCAUGUCAGACAGAGAGAUGCAGGAGUUAAGAGAGUUCAUUGACAAGAACCUGAAGAGAGGGUUCAUCAGAGAGUCCAGGGCGGUGGGGGCAGCCCAGUGUUUUUGUGGAUAAGAAAAACACGAACAAGCCGAGGCUGGUGUGUGACUUCAGGGCCUUAAAUGCAGUGUCAGAACCAGUAGCCUUCCCUAUGCCCAGGAUUGACGACAUUUUGACAAGGGUGCGGAAGGGAAGAUUUUCACAAAGCUGGACCUAAGGGGGGCGUACAACCUGGUACGAAUAAGGAAGGGGGAUGAAUGGAAAACCACUAUGUUCACCCCUUUAGGGGCAUUUGAAUAUUUGGUUAUGCCCUUCGGCCUACAAGCAGGCUCCGCAACAUUUCAAUCGUUUAUGAACCACGUCCUGGGGCCUUUGCUUUACAAGAAUUGUGUGGCCUUUUUAGACGACGUGUUGGUGUAUUCUGAGAAUGAGGAGCAGCAUGUGAGAGACGUCAGAGAAGUGUUGAGCAGGCUGCAAGCCAACCAGCUGUGGGUGAAACUGGAGAAGUGUCAGUUUCAUACCAAGGAGGUGGAAUUCCUGGGGUAUCGCCUGUCAGACAAGGGAUUGGCCAUGGAUCCCGGCAAGGUCCAGGCGGUGCUGGAAUGGAAAACACCCAAAACAAAGAAGGAUGUGCAGAGGUUCCUAGGAUUUGGGAACUUCUAUCGUAAGUUCAUCCGAAACUUUGCCCACCUGACGGCGCCCAUUACGGACUGUCUCAGCAGUAAGAAGAAGUUCGUGUGGACUGAGGAGGCGGAGCGAGCAUUUGAGGAACUAAAAGGGCCUUCGCCUCGGAACAACAACUCCUGCAUGUGGAUUUACAAAAACCGAUGAGAGUGGAAACUGACGCAUCAGACAGAGCGGUUGGGGCGGUGCUUCUGCAGCCAGGCAAGAAGGGGUCAGAGUGGAGACCGUGUGCCUUUUUUUCGCGAAAGCUGAACAAAUCCGAGAGGAACUACACGGUGUAUGACCGAGAACUACUAGCCAUUCAUGAGGCGUUCCGGAGAUGGAGGCACCUGCUAAUUGGCGCACAACAUAAGGUGCAAGUGUGCACUGACCACAAGAACCUAGAGUAUUGGAGGACGGCACGAGUGCUCAACCAACGGCAAGUGAGAUGGGCCCAGGAGUUCUCCAAAUUUAACUUUGAGAUUAGUUACGUGCCAGGCCCAGAGAACAUUAGGGCGGACGCUCUCUCACGCAAACCUGAAUAUUUGGAGGAGGGGGCACCGAAGAGAGACAUGUCAUUCCAGAGGACCGCUGGGUGUGUGGGGCGGCAUUGGUGGGACAAAGAGAACUGGUAGAGGAAACAGAGAAUGAUGAAUACGCCCAGAAUAAGCUCAGAGGUCUUAGGGGUGAUGGAGAGGAACCAGGGGUUUCGAGGAAAGAAAUGGAGCUUUGUAUUACAAAGGGGCACUGUAUAUCCCUGAAGGAGAGUUAAGGGGAGGGUACUCAAGCAGUUGCACGACAGCCCUACGGCGGGGCAUUUUGGACAACACAAAACCAUGUGGUUGGUCACCAGGGAAUUUUGGUGGCCUAAGGUGAGGGAAGAUGUACGUGAGUAUGUAAGAGGGUGCGAGCAAUGUCAGCGAGCCAAAGGGGAAGGCGGGCGCCGGCGGGGCUGUUAGGAACCCUUACCAACCCCAGAACGACCUUGGGAGGCAGUGUCGAUAGAUUUUAUGACUGAUCUGCCGAAGUCCAAAGGGAAAACAGCCAUCAUGGUGGUGGUAGACCUACUAACAAAGAUGUGCCACUUUGUAGCUUGCUCGCAUGCAGUCACGGCGGAAGAGACAGCGAAGUUAUUUGUAGAAAACAUUUUUAGGUUGCACGGGGUGCCAUUGAGGGUGGUCUCAGACCGAGGAAAACAAUUUACUUCCAGGUUCUGGAGGAAGCUCAUGAGCUUACUGCAGGUGGAGGUCAAUUUUUCGACUGCCCGGCACCCUGAGAACCAACGGGCAGGCGGAAAGAGCAAACGGUGUCCUCCAGCAAUACCUGAGGUGUUAUGUCAAUGACAGAGAGAAUGACUGGGUAGAAAAGUUGGCGCUGGCGGAAUUUGCCUACAACAAUGCCGAGAAUGUGUCCACAGGGAUGAGCCCCUUCUUGGCUAAUUAUGGGUGUCAUCCCAGGGCUUUCCCAGGGGAGAUGGGGAGAGAUGGAGCGUCCCGGCAGCCGAGCAUUUUGUGGAAGAAAUGGAAGCAAUCCAUCGUCAGCUCCAACUCAACUUAGAAAGGGCGAAGGAAGAAUACAAGAGGCAGGCAGACAAGAACCGAAGGGAAGGUGAAACCAUAAGGGUGGGAGAUAGGGUGUGGCUGUCAACCCAAGGGUUGCCGUUCAAAGGAGGUUGUAAGAAAUUAAGACCCAGGAGGUUGGGUCCCUUUGAGGUCAUUCAACAGGUCAACCCAGUGGCUUUCAGGCUCCGGUUACCCAACCACAUGAAACUGCACCCAGUAUUUCACAGGUCAUUACUGUCACCGUACGAAGGGGGACGAAGGGCUGGCCACUCGGGGACCGGUCGUAGAAGAAAGAGAAUGCAGCAGCCAUGUGGCAGAAAUCCUCGACGCCAGGUGGAAGGGGGAUCAGGUGGAGUAUUUGGUAGCGUGGGAAGGAGAACCGGAGUCAGAAAACACUUGGGUAAUGGCUGAAGAUAUCAAUGACGAGGUAUUGAUAGAAACGUUCCAUCAAAGGUUCCCAAGGAAACCUCAGCCUGUGGAGAGGUUCCGGAGGGAAUACUUUGGGACCACUGAUGAAGGGGAGGAGUUGGAAGGAUUCCUGGACUCGGAAGGGGAAGGGAGAUGGACUCUGAGGAGGAGGUGUACUUCGAGAACAGGAACCGCAACAGGUUGAGAGAAGUGUUCGAGACAUCGGAAGAUGAAGGAAGUUCAUUCCGGGGUUUGCCUCCUCACCGCCCGUAGAGGAGGGCGAGAGGGGGUGAAGGGGGCCCUGGAGGGGAGGUGGAUGUCAGGGAACUGCCAUCGGACGGAAGGGAGGUGAAAGGGCUCACACAGGUUGGGAGAGACGCAGCAGCUGAAGAGGGAACCAGCAGGGAGGUGAAAGGGCUCACACAGGUUGGGAGAGACGCAGCAGCUGAAGAGGGAACCAGCAGGGAGGUGAAAGGGCUCACACAGGUUGGGAGAGACGCAGCAGCUGAAGAGGGAACCAGCAGGGGGAGAGGAGCUGAGCUGGAGGGAUGGCUCAGAGACCCUUCCAGCGAAACAGUGGGGAGGUUUCAGGACCUCCUGUAAGAACACCCACGCCUCGCCGGAAACUGUCACGCAGAGAUUCCAGAAGACGUGUUUCCGUUAAGGAGCUUUUAUGUUGGAAGCGAUUACGAAGCAACCACUGUCGGAAUCUGCUAGUGACUAGAGUAGCCAUGUCUGAGGGGCUCCGUCACAGACAGAGGUUUGUGGACUUGAACAAACUCUGAGGGGAUACGAUUUUACGCACAAGCAGCUCAUCAUCCCAUCACAACAUGGAAAGUGGUUCAUGUUGUUCUCAAAGUGGUAUACUUUCCUAAAGUGAUGUAAUAACCCUGAGUUUCCCCUUAAGCUUUGAAGAAGGAAAAUGUUAGUGAAGGAAAGCAAUGGAAUACAGAAUGCAGCACAGGUUCAGUAAGAAGGGUGGGAUGGAAGAGGAGACACGUUGUGCCAGUUCCCUUGGUUUGGUUGUUGAUAUGGUGCUGCUUCUGCUAACCUGGUGCCCUUGAGAUGUUUUGGACUACAAAUUCCAUCAGCCCUAGCUGCCCCCCCCCCAAAAAAUUGUCCCUGUUUUUAAUAGAAACAGAAGAAGCUGCCUUAUUCUGAGUCAUACCGUUGUCCUACAUCAUCUUCUUCUUCUUUCGUGAUCACUCGUAGCCAAGUAAGUUUGUCUUCCAGGAACAUGGUCUUAACAGUGAGUUUGUAAGUGACUGUGGAGGCAAAUUCUGGAUACACACGUCCUUCCACAGUGGGGGACAUAGGUUUCCGGGCAGGAGUUGAUCAGUGAGGGUUUGCAAAAUGUGCCUUCCUCUUAGAUUGUUUCUCCUUUUUGGCCUGAGUUUGAGCGUCUUCAAAGUUCAUUACACCUAAAUUGUCUCAACCUUUUUUUAAAAAAUCUAUUACCGUAUUUUUCGUCCCAUAGGACGCACCUAAUUUUGGGGGGGGGAAUAAAGGGGGGGAAAUUUCCUUUAUUCCCCCCCCAAACCAGGUCGGGGAACAGCGGGAUGGCGGCGCUGCGCCUCCCUGCUGUCCCCCGAGCUUGUGGGGCUGGCCGAUGUCUGCCCAGCGCGCGGGGCGCUCUGCUUCAGGGUACUCUGCACGCCGGGCGGCAGGCUGCUAUCCGCAGUGUGGGGAGCCCUGUGGGAACUCCUGCAGGGCUCCCCACGCUGCGGAUGUCUGCCCGGUGCGCAGGGCGCUCUGCUUUAGGGCAUCCUGCGUGCCGGGCGGCAGGCUGCUAUCCGCAGCCUGGGGAGCCCUGCGAGAGUUCCCGCAGGCUCCCCAGGCUUGCUGAUAGCUUCCUGAAGCCUGGAGAGCGAGAGGGGUCGGUGCGCACCGACCCCUCUCGCUCUCCAAGCUUCAGCGAAAGCCUGUAUUCGCCCCAUAGGAUGCACACAGAUUUCCCCUUCAUUUUUGGAGGGGAAAAAGUGUGUCCUAUAGGGUGAAAAGUACGUUAUAUGUUUUUUAGAAACUGCAAGUUUUUACAAUACUCUUGAUAAUGUCUUCACCUGUUUGCAAUUUGUUUGUAGGUCUUGUUAUCUUGAUUUCUUAUUCUUCUGAUAAGUUUUGCCAUUUCUGCAUAUUCCAUUAAUUUCUGCAACCAUUCUUCUCUCGUUGGGACUGAUGCUGUCAAUUUACAGUGAGACCUUCUGCAUGCUACACAGGGUAGGGCCUGAACCAAUAGGUUCUUAUUACCAGAAAAGGGAUUUAGACUACUAUACCACUGAGGGACGCGGUUGGCACUGUGGGUUAAACCACUGAGCCUAGGGCUUGCUGAUUGGAAGGUCGGCGGUUCGAAUCCCCAUGACGGGGUGAGCUCCCGUUGUACGGUCCCAGCUCCUGCCCACCUAGCAGUUCAAAAGCACGUCAAAGUGCAAGUAGAUAAAUAGGUACCGCUCCAGCGGGAAGGUAAACGGUGUUUCCGAGAGCUGCUCUGGUUCACCAGAAGUGGCUUAGUCAUGCUGGCCACAUGACCCAGAAGCUGUCUGCGGACAAACGUCUGCUCCCUUGGCCUAUAGAGCAAGAUGAGCGCCACAACCCCAGAGUCGGCCACGACUGGACCUAACAGUCAGGGGUCCCUUUAUCUUUUUACCACUGAGUCAUGGACCUUCCACACCAGUUAUUCCUAGUUGGAGAUGUUCAUAAAGUAAAGGUAAAGGGACCCCUGACUGUUAGGUCCAGUCGCAGACGACUCUGGGGUUGUGGCGCUCAUCUCGCUUUAUUAGCUGAGGGAUCCGGUGCACAGCUUCCAUGUCAUGUGGCCAGCAUGUCUAAGCCGCUUCUGGAGAACCAGAGCACGAACCGCCGACAUUCUGAUCGGGAAGCCCCUUGCUCUGUGGUUUAGACCACAGCGCCACCCGCGUCCUGGAGAUGUUCAUAGUAUUGUUUAUUAGGGUUCACACCUUUUGUUGGGUGCCCCUUGCUCUGUUAGCUGGCUAUAUGAAUUUUACUGUGUACUUUUCCUCUUAAGUUGCUUGAGCUGGUCCCCCACCCACCCAAUUUUUAUCCCCACAACAAUCCUGUAAAGUAGAUUAGCCUGAGAGGUGGUGACUGGGUGGGGAUUUUAGCCUGGGUUUCCCUGUUCCUAGCCUGACACUCAGUGGUUCUCAAAGGGGGAGGUACCAGGUACCAGGGCGGGUGCUAAGAGGCAAGGGGGGGGGAGCUGAAGGUGUAAAUGACUGUCAGACUUUGAAAAGCUGGUAUCACUGGAUCAAGUGUAUCAGUUGUAUUGAAUGAAUUAAACUAAAUAGUCAUUAAUUGUUGCCAUUUUGAAUUUUAUUGUGCUAUUAUCUACUGUGCAAACCACUAUUUUGAAUAGUGCUUUUUAUAGGGGAGGGGGCACCUGGGGAUGAGUUUAUGGAACCAAGAGGGUGCUGACCCAAAAAAGUUUGGGAACCACUGCUCUAACUGAUAUACCACACUGGCUCGCAGAAGCUGGCUUCAGAGGCACUGGCACUCUGCCCGUUUUGGCAUUUGUUCCUUUUUCUGUUGUGCUUGAGUUUCCUUCAUUCUGUCUGCUGUGCUGCGUAAUGGGAUUCAUACUCAUGCAGCUUACAGAGGUGUUUUGUGUCUGUGUGUCUGUGUGUGUGCUUGUUUAUCUCCGACUCAAAAAAUAAAUAAAUUGUUAACAUGCAUGUUGUGCUGCGAUGGAGCUGCUGAUGGCAACUUCUCACAGUGACCUUUAGCACCACUGAGGCCAUUCAGCUUUGGAGCAUCCACAGUUUUCCAGCCCCGAUAACCUCCAACAACACAAUUUGAAACAUUGCUCUAAAGUUAACAACGUUGCAUCAUGGUGAACACACACACACACACACACACACAGAGAGAGAGAGAGAGAGAGAGAGAGAGAGAGAUUAGUUCACCUGUCUUCCCAAGUGAUGUGUAAAAUUUUUUGGAGAUACCAUUGAUGGAAUCUUUCAAGGAGUUGGAGAUAGUGUUUAUAAGUGGCCCAUGUUUCACAAGCGUACAGUAAAGUUGGUAUUACUUCAACACUGUUAAUGGGGCAACACCUUCUACUGUUCUUGAAGGCAGCAAACUAACUUAGGUGGCACAGAGCAGGCUAUGUAGGACAAACAACCCUGCCCCCCCCCAGCACCUCAGUGCCGUUCCCCCAGCAUUUGCUGCCUGAGGCACCUGCCUCACUCUGUCCAAUGGUAGGGCCAGCUUGGGGAAUACAACCCUUAACAGAACAAUGGCGAAGCGAUGCCAAAAGUUUUUGUUUUGACUUAACAAAUUUCAUUAUAGCACAAGCUUUCAUGGUAUAAAAUUUUAUUCAUCAGGCAUAUGGUGUGUGAUCCUCAAUCAUCAUUGGAGCUAAAGUAUGAAAGAUCAUGGGGAUGGUUAUCAAGCUGUGCAUAAGAAGAGGUGGAUAUAUGCAAAUGAGAUCAGUCUUGAUGCUCAGUGGCUGGAGUCACCAGGGCCAGGGAGAGACUCCAGCCCCCAUCUUAGUGGUCUCCCUAAAUACACCCCUUUACUUUUCCUCCAUAGAUGUGAAUUGCAGCCAUUUCACACAUCACUACUUGGCAAUGUAGUGCAAAGCUUUCCAUCACAAACACAAAUGCCCAGCAACUUGGAGGAUAAGACUAGCCAUGUUGGCUAUGUUCUACCUCCACUGUUGGAGGCAGCAGGCCUCUGAAUAUCAGUUCCUGGGAACCAAUGGAAGCCAGUGCUGUUGCUUUCAGGUCCUAGGCUUGUGGGCUUCCACAGGCAUCUGGCUGGGCACUGUGAAAACAGGAUGCUGACCUAGAUGGGCCUCAGGCUUGAUCCAGCAGGGCUCUUCUUAUGCUCUUAAAUGAUUUGGGCCAAAGCGAGAGCAUCCCUCAAGUACGGAUGGAGAAGUCAAGAAAAAACAGGUCUCUUUGUUUCCUACCACCAUUAACAGUUUGAAAACAGAAACAAACCCCUUCUGUAUUUUCUUCCAACUCUGCUUGAGUUAUUGUUUUAUCCUCUGGUGGCAUCAAUCAUUUUAUUAAUUGAUUUGAAACAUUAUAAGCAAUUAUAAAGUUCUAAUAAAGAUGGAGCACCAGAUAAGCCUGUAAAGCAUUGAGGAGAUUGCCAAGAGUGAGGACUUUCUAUAGAGAAUUAGUAAUGGGGUAGGGGUGGAGAGGAGAGAAUCCACAAGCUUCCCACAAUUAUCUGUAUGUUGGGUAAUGAAGCAGAAACUUACACAGCCAUGAAGCAAUUUGCUGUAGUUUCUCAUGAGGCCUGCAAUCCAGCUACAGGAAGGUAGUAUGAUUGCUGCCGUGUUUAAAUGAAAACUUCAACAGUUGUUAUCCUAAUUUAUGCCACAGCCCCCCCUUGCUUCUUUUAUAUUUUAAAAUUGGAAUGGCGUCAUCAGACUUGUAUGUCAUUUUUGGAGGUUGCCCGUUUCGUCGUUUUUUAACAUGUUGAGAAAGCAAUAAAGCAUCUAGCUACCUGAAAAAUAUGCUCUUCACACAUUGUGGGAACUGAGCUAGCAGCUGCGUGAGCUGGAAGCCUGCUCUUUGGAUCUGUGUAAAUGAACAGAGCAUGUUUAUCAGAAGGAUGCUGAGCUGUACUUCCUCCUGCACUCCUUAAUUUUUAAUGCAUAAUGAGUAUGCUGAAAGAUUUUCACAUCUUUCUUAAGGCUCUGCAGCUUUCAUUAAUAAGGCCACAGAUUUAAGGUGCAAUCCAUUGCUGCUGUAUUAAUAUUUUACUACCGUACUGUAAGGUUGUUGGGAAAGGUCUCUUGGGUAGGAGUUUAAAACAAACACUUUUCGUGCCCCGAAUCCACUCCACUCUCCUUUAGAUUAUGCAGAAAAUGGAAACCCCUUUGCCGUAUCUGCCCUUGCAGGGGAUUAAGCAAAUGAACUUGACAAACUUUAAAAUAAAAAUAGAUUUAUGUCACUGAUUUCUUCAGUCUUUGUGGUUUCCAAACUCACCAUCAUGGUUAUAGUAAGCGACACAAUUCCAUGUUUUAUGUUCCUAAGGGCUCUUCUGAUAAAUUCUCCCCUUUGAUGGCAUGCAUCCCCCCCCCUCUCCCAAGUAACAAAAUGUAGUGUACCACUUGCCUCAACCAAUUCUAGGCCAGUUCUGAUCACUCACUUAUAUGGUGCACAGAUUAGUUUAUAUAGGAAAUCAGAGGUGUCUCUGAAAGCCUUUAAUCCAGGGGCUAGCAACCUUUUUCAGCCGUGGGCUGGUCCACCGUUCCUCAGACCAUGUGGUAGGCCGGACUAUAUUUUUUUGGGGGGGUGGGUGGGAAUGAACGAAUUCCUAUGCCCCUCAAAGAACCCAGAGAUGCAUUUUAGAUAAAAGCACACAUUCUACUCAUGUAAAAACACCAGGCAGGCCCCACAAAUAAUCCAGAGAUGCAUUUUAAAUAAAAGGACACAUUCUACUCAUGUAAAAACACGCUGAUUCCCGGAUUUAGAAGGCGAUUGGGCCGCAUCCAGCCCACGGGCCUUAGGUUGCCUACUCCUGCUUUAAUCCACUAACUGGCAUUGAAGUACAGUUCUUAUCUACACAGUCAACAAUGACCUGCUAUCUUAGGAGAAGAAUGUCGCUGUUUACAUGAAUUAGAGUCCUAGAUUUUCAGCCAUCUACUGUAUGUUAUUUACCGGGAUGUUUUGGAUGCUUCUCACUUCAUAUUUGUUAAAUAUACUGUUGCCAUAUCUUGUUGUGUGUCUGUAUACAUGUGCCCAUUAACUUUUCAGAAGUGACACAUUGGGAAUCUUUACUGGAGAUAAUUGCACACUGCAUAUAUUAUUUCAAUAUUGGAGUUCCAAUAUUACCUUGCUUACUUAGAAGAAUUAGCAAGAACCAACCAAUGCCAAUAUGAAUGAAAAAGCAGGUACUCUUUGACAUCAUUCAUGGAAGCCAGCUUUCCAGGCUACAUUGGUUUUAGAGUCUUCCCUGUCAGUCAUAUAUGGCAGGUAGAGGAACGAUGAUGAACCGAAGCUUGGCCUUGGCAUUUGUAGAUUCUUGAGCCUGAAUAGGUUGACAAAUGUUUAUCUUCUUCUCAAAAUAAGCUCUGUGGAAAUAGACAACUUGCAGUUUUCACACUGAACGGAUAUCUGCAAUAGAGGAGAGUCCCUAGACUAUGACUCAUUUCUGAUGCCAGUGUUUUAGUAUGUUUAUUUGUAUAUAUAUUUUUGAAAGUCAAAAUAAGGGUUGAAGAUGAAAAAAACAAAGUUUCUGUAAAAUACGCUGAUGCUGCACUUCAAAUCUCCCACAUCCUGUUUCUUUGCAUAUCUGUAGCUGUGCUGGUUCCCUUUGAUCUUUUUAAACAAUAUAUGAGAGAAAUAUGGAGUUGGAGGGAAGAAGCAGUAUCCCAAGGAAAUGAGAGUGCAGUGACCCUUACACAAACUCGUUUGUGCAAACUAAAAGGAAAUUAUCUGGUUCAAUUUUUUGUGAACACGUGUUGGUAUCAAAAGCAAUUGUUUUGUGCCACGCACAGUGAUUUUUCAUUUAUUUUCAUUUCCCCCCCUUCAAAAUAUUGAUUCCGCAACAUGAUUUAACUAGAUAGAUAUUGUGGUGGCUUCGCUACCAGUUUUUAAAAAGUGAAUCCAUAUGAUUGCACACCAGUUCCCUUUUGUUAUGACACCUAAAUGAAAAUUUUCUCCGCAAAGGCUGUGUUUGAGGAUUUCUCCUCUCUAUGUAAACAACCAGGAGGAGAUCCAUCUUCCCGACAUCUGUCAGGUGUUAACUUACAAGUCUGAUUACAGGAUGGCAAAGCAAUAAACUGCUAGAGGCCAAUUUCGUAGGGAAGAUCCACGUGAUCACCUGCCCCCACUUGGAUGUGUCAUUCACACAAAAUACUCCAGCUGUAUGGGAGUAAAUCGAGGAGAGCAUCUCCCAUGCAUCUGGACAUGUCUUAAAAAUAUAAUUCAUCAGUAGUUUCUUCUGUGGGGUUCAGAAACUCUGAAAUCCUAGAGAGCCUUUCAGUGUAAACAAUACUGACAUAGAAUUGGACAGAUAGCCUGCUUCAAUGUAAAACAUCAGUGUCCAUCUACAUGUGACUUAACAAUGCUCUUUCAUCCAGGGACGACUGUGUGGCACAAUAUGGCUCAACUACUACUUCACCAUAGCCCCCACCUACCUAUCUAUGUGUCUGAAAAGAUGCCCAUCCUAAAUAAUGCUUAAUCUUCAGACACUCUCAAGAUUCCUCGCUGGACCCAAGAUGUUUCAGCUUAAGGAAAGCUGAACAAACUGAUUUGAGUCCUGUUCAAGUGUUUCCUUUAAGGGUGUGGAACUAUUGUGUGAAGGGGAGCAGUGAGGAUAAAUGUGUGUGCCAGCUCCACCCACUCUCUUGCCAGCAGUUCCUGGAGGGUGACUGUGGGUACGUGGGUGGUGCUGUGGUCUAAACCACUGAGCCUCUUCGGCUUGCUGAUCAGAAAGUCAGCGGUUCGAAUCCCCACGACGGAGUGAGUUCCCAUUGCUCUGUCCCAGCUCCUGCCAACCUAGCAGUUCAAAAGCACGCCAGUGCAAGUAGAUCAGGGGUGCCCAAACUUUUUUCAAAGAGGGCCAGAUUUGAUGAAGUGAACAUAAGUGAGGGCUGACCAAAGUUGUUGAGCUUUUUUUUAGGAUUGAAGUUGUUGAGCUUUACCCCACGGGGGCUGGAUUAAAUCGACCAGGGGGGCCAGAUUAGGCCCCCGAAAUGGACUUUGGACAUGCCUGGAGUAGAUAAAUAGGUACCUCUGUGGUGGGAAGGUAAAUGGCAUUUCCGUACGCUCUGGUUUCUGUCGCUGAAAUAUACUCAGAGUCGCAAAGUGAUUUCAUGCUCUUUAUUCAGCUCAUAGUGGUGAGGAGGAAUGAAUGAAUGUCCCCUCAAAGUAUCUGCCUUAUAUACAUUAUUUACACAAUGGGCUGCACAUGAUUGGCUAAUUCCGGAAUUCUACUGUAAGCCAAUCAGGUUGUGGAUUCACUUCUAUCUGGAGCAUGAUUGGGUGGUUCCUGCCAACCAAUCAUACUGCUGCAUUUGGAUCCUAUUGUUCUAGGACCAAUCAGACUGCUGCAUUCUAAAUUCUAUUGUUCUAGGACCAAUCAGACUGCUGCAUUUGGAUCCUAUUGUUCUAGGACCAAUCAGACUGCUGCAGUUUGGAUCCUAUUCAACUCAGUACAUAACACCCCUCCCCUCUAAGUUCCAGUCCUGCCCGGGAGGUCGCAUUCAUAGUCCUCAAGGUACGCCGGCGGCCUACGUGUGCGUUGCGGCCUGGGGUGUUCCCUGGUCCGGGGUUCAGGUUCUGGCUCAUGUUCCAAGGAUGCUGGCUGUGAUGGGGCUGUUUGGUCUGGCGCAACCGGCUCGCUCAGUCGUGGUUCUGGUUCCGGUGUCCGUUCGGCCUCGUGGGUCCUCUCUGUAUUUACUGGUUCUGCCUCUCCUGCUGGCCCCUCCUGCUCUAUGGGCCUCACUGCCCCACUGUUCCCUUGGGACUCCUCUGACCUGUCCUCCUCCUGGUUUUCUCCCGGGAAUCGUCGCCGUAUCUGGUCGCAGUGGCGGCGCCAGCAUUGCCCCCAUCCGUUAGCACCUCGUACGACACGGGGCCAGUGACCCUGGUGACUGUGGCGGGUACCCAUGCUGGGCCUGCCCCAAAAUUCUUUGCGUACACUGGGUCCUGGGCCUCGAAGGUCCGGGGUUCCUGCCUUCCCCCACCACUACCUCAUCCUGAGCUCUAUCGGGGUGAAGGCGGUCCAAUCUGAUUGCAAGGCGCCGACCCAUUAGUAGUUCAGCGGGGCUCCGGCCAGUCGUUGAGCUGGGGGUGCUGUGCUGUGCUAGAAGGAAUGUGGCAAGGCGGUACUCCCAAUCCCCUUGCGUCAUGCGGCGAAGGGUGUCCUUGGUGGUCCGCACCAUGCGUUCUGCUUGGCCAUUGGUGGCAGGGUGGAAUGGCGCCGAACGGAUGUGGCGGAUGGCGUUCUGCGCUGUGAAGGUUUGGAAUUCUCCUGACGUAAAUGCAGUCCCGUUGUCUGAGACGAGAGUGUCAGGGAGCCCGUGGGUUGCAAACAGCCUGCGUAGUACCCGGAUGGCUGCGGACGUAGAAGUGGACGGUACCAGUGCGACUUCCAGCCAUUUGGUGUAGGAGUCCACCACUAUGAAGAAUGUUUUCCCCUGAAAGGGGCCAGCAAAAUCCAAAUGCAGGCGUGACCAUGGUGCUCAGGCAGACUCCCAGGACUGGACUGGGGCCCUUGGGGGAUCUGGGCGGGAUUCUUGGCAGGCCUGGCAGUGUUUGACCCAGGCCUCUAUCUCUCCGUCGAUCCCCGGCCACCACACAUAACUCCUGGCAAGGGCCUUCAUUCUUACUACCCCUGGGUGUGUCUCGUGUAGGGCUGUGAGGACCCUUUUGCGGAGGGGCUGGGGAACAACGACCCUGCUUCCCCAUAACAGGCACCCCUUGUGGGCCGACAGUUCAUGUUUGCGGGUUGGGUAGCCGGCGAAUUCUGGCCCAGGGCUGCUGCUGGGCCAUCCCCUCCACACCCAGUCCAGGACCCGGGAGAUGACCCUAUCUUUCUUGGAAUGGUGUGCAACUUCUUGUGCCUGAAUGGGGCGGUCGGGAAGCAGCUCCAGGCUCAUAACCUCUUGUGCAGGUGCUGGGUCGGGGCCUGUUUCCGGUAGUGGUAGCCUGCUGAGGGCGUCCGCAUGGCCCAUCGCCUUCCCAGGGCGGUGAAUCAGUGCAUACUGGUAGCUGGCAAGGAAAAUUGACCACCUGAGGACGCGAGGAGACAGCACUUGGGGGGUCUGCUUUUCGGGGGCAAACAAGCCAAGCAACGGCUUGUGGUCAGUCACCACGGUGAAGGGCCGCCCGUACAAGAAAUCAUGGAAUUUUUUUACUCCCUUCACGAUUGCCAGACCCUCCUUGUCGAUUUGCGAGUAGUUCCGCUCGGUUGCGUUGAGUGUCUGGGAAAAGUAUGCCACCGGUACCUCUCUUCCAUCCGGGAGUUGGUGUCCCAGGACAGCGCCAAUGCCAUAGGGCGAGGCGUCGCAUGCUAGCACCACCGGCAGCCUCUCGUCGAAGUGUGCCAAGACCGAGUUUGAGACAAGCAAGUCCUUGACUGCCUGGAAUGCGGCCUCCUGGCGCUGGCCCCACACCCAAGGGGCCCGCUUGUCCAGGAGUCUGUGUAGGGGCUCCGCUACCGCCGCCUUGUGGGGAAGGAAGGAAUGGUAAAAGUUCAAUAGUCCCAAGAAGGCCUGAAGUUCAGUCUUGCUCUUGGGCGCUGGGGCAUCACAAAUGGCCCGUACCUUGUCCCCAGUCGGGUGGACCCCUUCUGCGUCCACCAUAAAUCCCAGAAAGUCCACCUGAGGCACUCCUAGUAGACAUUUUUCCCGCUUCACCUUGAGACCCGCCGUCUGGAAACGGUGCAGAACGGUGCGGAGGCGGUCCUCAAACUCCUCUGGUGUGGGCCCGGCAAUCAACACAUCAUCGAAGAAGGGGGUGACGCCAGGAAUCCCUUUAAGGAGGGAGUCCAUUAGAUUCUGGAAUAUGCCUGGUGCCACACUGACACCGAAUUGCAGCCGCUUUACCCUGAACACUCCUCUGUGCGUCACAAUCGUCUGUGCCUCUGCUGUGGCCUCAUCUACUGGCAGCUGUUGAUAUGCUUGGGCCAAGUCCAGCUUGCCAAAAAUUUUCGACCCAGCCAGGGUGGCAAGGACAUGGCUGACCACUGGCACUGGGUAUGCAUGGGCCGUGAGGGCCUUGUUUAUGGUACAUUUGUAGUCUGCGCAGAUGCGGACCAAACCAUUAGGCUUGACGGGUGUGACGAUUGGGGUUUCCCAGGGGGCAUUAGGCACCGGCUCCAGCACUCCUUGCUCCACGAGCCGGUCCAAUUCCUCGUCUAUACGGGGUUUCAGGGCGAACGGGACCCGGCGGGCCUUGAGCCUGACCGGUCGUACUGCGGGGUCAAGCUGUAGAGCAAUGGGGGGGCCCGUAUACUGUCCCAAUUUCCCAUCGAAAACCCCCAGAAAUUCCUUGCAUAUGGGGGUCCACUUGUAAGCUAGUGUGGUUCACCCCAGUGACGGCUAGCCCCAGUGGUCCAAACCAUGCCAAUCCCAGUAAGCUAAUGUAGGGGCCCUUGACCACAAGCAAGUCCAGUUGCCGCUUCCGCCCUCGGUAUUGCACCCUGAAGGUCCCCACCCCCCUUGUGGGGGCCUUACGUUUCUGGAAGUCCCGGAGGGUGAAUGGGGCCGGCCUGAGUUUGGGACCCCCAGUAGGACACAGUUUCCUUAAGGUCCUUGCCGAGAUUAUGGAUAGAGUUGAACCCGUGUCAAGCUCCAUGCGGCAUGGGGCCCCCUCUAUCUGUACCUCUACAUAAAUUUUCUCUAUGUUGGGGUGGGGCAACUGGUAUACCUGGAAGUCCAUGAGCUCCGUCGAGUUGCCUUGGUGCGUUGGGCCCCGGGACCUGGGGCUCUUGGAUUGGUCAUCUGAUGCCUGGCGUUGGGUGGGCCGAGCUCGACACACCCGGGCGAUGUGUCCCGAUUUCCUGCACUGCCUGCACUCUGCGUUGCGGAAACGGCAGGUCCUCCUCUUGUGACUUUCCCCGCAGCUUGCACAGUUCCCUCCUUCUUGUCGAGGCAGCUGUGGUCUGUGCGCUGCUUGGGUGCGCUGCUGUACUCGGUGCACCUCCUCCCUGUCAGAUCCUGAGUUGUCGGUGAGGUCUUCAUGGUGGACCCUCGGUUGGGACGGCAGGCUCGGCCAUACCUCUUGCGUCGACCUCUUUGCAGCUUCCGUUGCCAGGGCCUCCUCCAGAGCGACCUGGAACGUUAGGUCCUUCUUAGCGUAGAGGCGCCGUUGCAGCUUCUCAUCCUUCAGGCCACCGACGAGGCGGUCACGAAGCAUGUUCUCCAGCUCUGAGAAGUUGCAGAACCGGGCAGCUUGGCAGAGAGAGGUCACAAACCCAGUUAUGGUUUCCCCAGGGGCUUGCCGCUUUGCGUAGAAGGCAUUUCGACGAGCCACCACUGAGGGCUGCAGCGAAAAGUGCCCCUUCAGCUGUUCCAUUAUUGUUUUGUAUGGAACAGUAGCGACGUCUUCAGGCGCAAGGAGAGCCCGGGCGAUUUCAAAUGUCUCCUCUCCGCAGACGCUGAAGAAUAUCGCCCUCUUCUUGGCGUCUUCUUCGUCGGUGACCCCUUUGGCUUCUAGGAGGAAGGUGAAACGGGAGGCGUACGCUUCCCAGUCUCCAGAUGCUGGGUUGAACGGCGAGAAGCUGCUGUCGGUUGCCAUUCUGAGUUCCUUGUGUCCCGGAGCUGAAGCCUGGAUACACGGUGCGAGGCAGCGGUGCGGCAGGUGGUGGUGCUGCGGUGCUGAGUGUGGCUGUCAGCUCAGCGGGAUUCCACCUUCGUCGCCAGUGAAAUAUACUCAGAGUCGCAAAGUGAUUUCAUGCUCUUUAUUCAGCUCAUAGUGGUGAGGAGGAAUGAAUGAAUGUCCCCUCAAAGUAUCUGCCUUAUAUACAUUAUUUACACAAUGGGCUGCACAUGAUUGGCUAAUUCCAGAAUUCUACUGCAAGCCAAUCAGGCUGUGGAUUCACUUCUAUCUGGAGCAUGAUUGGGUGGUUCCUGCCAACCAAUCAUACUGCUGCAUUUGGAUCCUAUUGUUCUAGGACCAAUCAGACUGCUGCAGUUUGGAUCCUAUUCAACUCAGUACAUAACAGUCGCGGUGUUCCGUUGUGCCAGAAAUGAUUUAGUCAUGCUGGCCACAUGACCCGGAAAGCUAUCUGUGGACAAAUGCCGGCUCCCUCGGCCUGAAAGCUAGAUGAGCACCACAACCCCAUAGUCAGCUUUGACUGGACUUAACCAUCCAGGGGUCCUUUACCUUUUUUUUACCCCAGGUGUUUUGGAGCCCCAGUUGUGUAGGGUUCUGAAAUGCAUGGUGAGCCUUCACGGAUACAAGAGCUUCCCCUUCUACAAGUUGAAGACGAGGGAAGCAAUGAUGGGGAGGUGAGCUAGUGAGGUCAGCUCCACUGCCUGCACCCGUCUCCAACAUGUUUUCCACACCCUUACGGAAACACUUGAAGAAGGCUUUGGGAGCCUAGAUUUCUCGUGUCUGAUUUAACCGUCUUUGUGUCUGCAGCACACAACAGUUGGGGUGGCAGCGAGAGUUUUAAUGUUGUUAUAGGCUAAGCCUUUCAUUGCUUAGUUUUCAGAUAAGCACUUCCAGUAUUUACUUUUUAAAGCCUAUUGAAGAAGUUGUUUUAUUUCACAGCCACCUCUUUCCUCACAAGUUGUUUAUGAAACCCAUGUGGUGGUACCUCUGACCUUCUUAGUGCUAUUUGUUUGAGUCUACCGAAAUGCCUUCCUUUCAGUGAUGAAUUAAGCUUGACAGCUCUCUUGGAGGGCAAAAUAUAAGACAAAGCUGGUAAUGAACCACCUGUGUUUUAAUAGGGAUUUUCAAAGAGGGAUGACUUUCUUCCACAAGCCCAACCAGCUGGAACAUGGCUUUGGAUGAUUAGGGGCCCAAGUGAUAGUCUUCUAAGAGCCUUCAUAGAUGAUGAGAUUUUGUCUCCUGGUGUUUUAGGGAUUGAAAACAUGUUUCCUGUUAAUAUUUCUGUGGUUAGAAGGAACCUGAAACCCCCAGACAGGGGCAAGCUUGGUGUCCAUCCAGCCCACAGUUCUAUCACCGAAACGAACAAAGCAUACAUUUAAAGUACACAAACUCACAAAAAAGUAUCCUGGGAACUGUAGUUUACCCCUUACAGAACUACAGUUCUCAGCCCUUAACGAGCUCUAGGAACUAGGAUUCUUUGAGGGAAGUCAUGUCCUUUCCCUGUUGUUAUUGUUAUUGGCCUUUAUUGGCAUAAGUUUAAACAAAUCAUAAAAUCAAACAAAGUCAUCCAAAUACAUUGAUCAUCCAAACACAUACAAUAUAUAAAAGACCACAUAGCCAUCAUUGAAUAAAUCAGGCAACUGUAGAUUUAGCUUUAAAGAACUUGGCUAAAUACCCUGAAACAAUCUUGAUAGUUUCAGGAGUAUCAUCCCUCAACAAAUAUUGGAUUACAGACUCUAUGUACUUUAAAUGUAUGGUAGCUACACAGUCAAAGUCUUGGUACGUCUGAGGAAUGUGCUUGCCCAGAGCAUUGAGGAUCUCAAUGGCAGUGUCUUGUCCCUCUAAUCGGGAGGGAGGCUUUUUAAGCCCAAGGGCUGAAUUCGCUCAGGAGCAGCCUUCCAGGGACUGCCUGCAAGUGAUGGUCCUGGAGAAAGUCCUAAGAGCCAGAUACAAAGGCCUCUAUCCCCCUUUCCCUGGGCGUGAGAAUUCCCAACCCUUCAAUAAACAGCCUUUUACUUUGAAGGCUGCCUUCACAUAGACAGUUGUAAAUCUAGAUAUGGCUGUCAUCUUCUUUUCCCCUAGAAUCUUACCAAAGUCUAAGCAUGUGCUACAUCCUGUUACAACGGAUUCAGAUAUCUAAUUAUUAUACACAAUGUUUGUUUGUUUUUUAAAGUGGGAAAGGUUGCUUUGAUUUCUUCCCCCCGACAUCUUUUGCUGGUUGUAGAAAAUUAGUUUCCAGGUCUGAGUCUUCAAUUUCCUGUGGACAUACAGUACUAGUGACUCAGGCUGCAAUCAUAGAAUCGUAGAAUCUGUAAAUGCAUCUUGGGGGAAUAAGCCCUUUGGGACUUACUUCUGUGUACAUAUGCAUAUGAACCCACUACAACGGUGUUUUUUGUUUGGUUUGCAGUCAUGUAUCGCUUUAUGAUUAGGGCAAUCUGUCUGUGAGCUGAAAUAUUGCACUUGUCUGAAGUAAAUUCAGAACCUGCUUUAGACAGACCCUUUAAGGAAUCAUUCCCCCUCUAUUUCCAUGUCUUAUAAAUUCUCUGUAAUUAGGUCAGUGCAAUAUUUAGAACCCUGGCCACAUUCUUUCAUCCCUCGGAAAAUUAUUUCCUGCCUCUUCUAAGUACUAUAAGAUCUAAUACACGUUUUCAGAAGCCAUAUGGUCAACAACACAAAACAGGAAAUGUAAGGUCGGAGUAGCCAAACAUUAAGUUUAUCCUGCAUAUCCUUAUUCACUUGCUACAUGACGUUGCAUGGGUUUUCGUGUCUGUGAUUCCUGCAUUUCAAGGAGUUGAACUAGAUGACCCUUGGGGUCCCUCCCAACUUUACAGUUCUGUGUUUCUGUGACCUCUGUGCCAAUUGUCUUAGUGUGUCACCUCAGCAUAGACUUGCUUCUGGGUGAUCCUCUGUGCAUAGUGUGUGUGUGUGGGGGGGGAGUGAUAGAAGUUUCCUCUGUGCUACAAAAAAGCCAUGGUAUGUAGUGUGGUAAGUUCAGUGUGUAUCCACCUUUCCUCUUGCUCAUUGCAUCUGCCGAGUGACAUAAGCUACUUGGACAAAUCUACACCUAUCCAAACUCCUCUGUCUGGAACCCCAGUACUGUUUGUAUGCACAGCUGCAAUGGGGAGCAAAGCAGUCAUUACAAGACAGAUAACCUUCAUCCUGUUCUAGGCUAGUAGUGGAGGUUCACCUUUUAUGAUGCGUGUUGGUUGCAGUUCUAAUGAAGUGCUUUGACGUGUAUUCCAGGAAGGCAGUGGCGUAACUUAUACCAUAGCAGCCACAAUGGCUCUCGGACUUCACUGAAAAGAGUUGUCCUCCGAUUCUACUGCCUCCUAUUUACAGUAUAGAGGACCAUAGGGAGAGAGCUUCACAUUUUUGCAUGAUUUUUAGACAUACCUAGUUAGGAAUAACUGCCGCAAAUCACUGGUGCAGAUUUGGAUUAGUAAACAUGGAUUUUUUGAAUGGGGGGGGCCCAUUCUUUUGCCGGUUGAGUUGUUUGUUUAAAGUAGCAUAAAAAGGCUAAUAGUAGACAUGAGGUAAUUUUGAAUAUACCGUACUUAGGCCUAAUUUUGACAUCUCCUGGAGUCUUUGGGUGCUGGAGGAGCAGACAUAGUUUCCUGUGAUUAUUGCCACUCCAAAAAUGAAAGAGAUUUCAUUCCCAUUUCUCCACUGCAAAUAAGACUUUCACCAGCAUAGCGUAAAUGUCUGAAAUAAACCUUAGAAUAUUUUGAUUCUGCAAGAACUGACAAAACUGUUUGGGGCAUGAGCAGACCAAACAUAAUUGUUUCAAAGAACACUUUAAAUUAUUAUUUUUCAUGGAUUGUAAGCUGGAACAAAGCAAUACAUUCCCACCCCCACCCCCCGAAUAGAAGCAUAUGUUUAAUACCUCUAUCAAGCUAUCUGUAAUUUUUAUUGUAAUUCAACUGUCAAAGCUGUGCCGGAAAAGUUGCUUUGUCCUUAACCCUUUCAGAAUGACUUGAAUUAACAUUUCCCUGUGUGGCCGAGCCAUUCAUUCUUCUAGAUCAGAUGCUGCACCAGCAGACUAUUUCUGGCAUUUGUUGUGUUUUUUGGCAAUGCUCUUCUUUCUGCUCCUUCCGCUCAUUAAAAUAUAUCUAGAGAUUUGCUAUGGACUGCAAAACAGGGGUGGGGGAAUGUGCAGGAUAAAUGAAUCACAUCUCAGCUGCACUGAGAUAAUAAGUCAAGAAAAUUCAAGAGAACAAAAUAAUCCUCAGUAUUUUACAGAGCUUAACUUGCAAUUUGAAAGGGGAAGCUGAUCAAUAAAAUGCUGGCUAUUGUUAUACUGAGCCUUGUUCAGAUCAAUGUAAUGAGAGUCCUCUGCACCCUAAUAUGAUACCAGGAAACAUCACUCUUUGUUCCUUAGAGCCACAGAUUGAUAAUGCUUUGCUUAUGGGUUUCUUGGACUGCAUAUUCCAGGGACAUCUCAGCAAGCCAGAUCCUUAUUAGCACCCAUCCUGUGGGUCAACUUGGACAGGUGGGCAGGACAACCUACCUUUCAGUCACCUGAUGUCCUUCAGUUGUCUGAAGCUGCCCACUUGCCAAAGUCUGUUGUGCACCGCUUUCAAAGCACCCAACUUCCAGCUGGUUUUGGGGUGCUUGGGGAUUACACUGCAAGGGGCUUUGCUGCUCCAGCAAAGGAACAACCAGGAGCUCACUUGAAGCUCUCUUCCUUUGUAGCAUUAUCUGCCCCACACCUGACAUCUCAUGUGCCACAAACUAUGGGGCAGUUACGCAUGAUUUAGGGGAAAUGAACUUGCAGGCCAAAUGAUCACAUGCCCAUUGUAUGUUUUAGUGUUAGCCAGUAGUUUCAGCUACAGUGAAUAAAAUGGGCGUUGCAUCAAUUAAUCAAAUGCAUUCAGGAUGCUUUAUAGUAAUUGGAGCAAACAAGAAACCACAGUUGUUUUUUGUUGCGGUUAUGAACCGAAAAUACUAUCCUAGGUCACAUUUGUGGAGUACAGAGAAAUGUCAUAGGAGCAAAGGAACUGAUGGGCACACUUCUACAUCAGAAGGCUGAUGCAAUUGAGCAGGUUUGAAUCUUAUGCUUCUGUCUGCUUUCCCCCAGGGAAACUGCACCACAGUGAUACAGGAUCAUGAGUGUAUUAUGUCACAGCUAAGGUCAGGGUGUUUGCAACUGGUGGCCAAAGCUACAUCUCUAUCUGUGUUGGGCAGUCCUUAACAAAGAAUGGUGUUUGCUAUUUUAGCAAGAAGUGAUAAUUGUAAAACAUAUCUGCUCUUGAAUGUAUACUUUUUGCCUGUGCGCUUGACUGUAACUGACUGUUUAGGAAAGAAAAAAAAGUGGGGGAAUGGACUAACAGGAUUUCAUAGUGGGCUUUUAUUUCCUCUUUCUGCUCUGCUGUUUUGCUUAUUAGAGUUUAGAUCUGGAAUAAAUUUGCAUUUUAGGCAGGCUGCAAUGUCCCAUCUGUUCUCCUUGUUUCUCCCUCCCUCCCUUACCCUCAAUUAGUUGGCUAGUGUACUGUGUGAAAAAUCUGAUUUGCUUCCUGAUUAGUGUCUUCAUUACAGAAUUUUGAUACAAAACCGUAUGUUGUUUCAUUACCUCCUCUGCGUCUUCAUUUAUUCCCUUUUCUUAAACUGUGACGCUAAUGUUCGCAGAUUGACAGAACAGGUGGAUCAAUAGCACCACAAGCUUAUUCAGUAGAUGCUGCCAAUGUUCUAUCAGCUGCGACUUGCAAAGAGGAAUGGCAGCCUUCUGAAGACAAGGGGAGAGAUGGAAAACUAGAAGCACUGUUGCUAUGCCAGAUUGUACUUAAAACAACAAGCAAACAACAAAGCGGGUAGUAUAUCUUAGGAAAAGAUACAAGUAUUGUUAUUUUUUAGACUUAGUAUUCCAGACCAGAGAAAACAUGAUACAAGCAAGGUUAAAAAUCCUGCUAAUCUUAAGUACAGUGCCCUGGCAAAAUUCAGAUGAGUGUGAAUUUCGAAGAGCAGUUAUGUUUCAGUCUGUAUAUUGUUUCAGAAAGUGCAGAUCUGACAGAUUCUUCUUUAAAUGUGCACUGAAUUGAAUUUGUCCGUCCCUAGUCUGCACAUAGUCUAGAUUUGCUGCAUAUUUUUUGCCUCUGAAAAGCGCUUCUUGAAAAACUAGUUUUACUCCAAAGUUCAUUGCAGAUUGAUCCUGUAUUGCCCUGCAGUGUGUCCCUUUGAAAACAGGUGAAAAGAGGUGUAGGUGAUCCUGGAAAUGCAGGUUGUAUCCACACCCACUGGUGGAGGAAGAGAAGUGUGGGGGGGAGCGAACCGCCCACGGCAGCGCGAUCCCAGUGGGGUGCCAUCGCGGCUGCCCCCCUGCCCACGCUGGGUGCCACGUCCCCGCGGGCAGCAUGCCAGCCCCGCCCCCACCUGCUGUCCGCCCCCCAGUGCCGGAUCAUGAAGCUCCGCCACUGUCCACAACAGUAUCUUUGUGGGUGAAUGUAACUCAAUCACCGCUUCCUUCUUCCUACACAUGGGGAGGGGGUAUGCAAGGAGGAAAAAGCAUAGAUAACCUAAUCAAGGGGAGUAUAAGUAUUUAUUUAUUGAAAGUAGCAUAUUGAGGAAUCAGCAUGAGCAGUUCUGAACUGAGCGAAACUACAUUUUUGAGCUACAAAUAGGUUUGUGUGUAUGUAGCCUUACGUAAAAGAACAAACCAGGGGCAAAAAAGUGACUUUUGAUAUCAAUCAUCAUAAAUGUGAAACAUUAGAUCAUACAUAUUUGUUACUGUGCUAAACUAUGAAUAUUUAGAUUGCCAUCCAAAUAGCGUGAAGAUUUAUCUUUCCAUUUUCCAAAUAAAUGCUUUUCUGACCAGUAACUACAAGCCUUUGCUUCUGAAGAGUUUUGUCACUUGCAGCCCAAUCUGUAUCCAUGUUUCCACAGAAGUAAACCCCACUGAGUUUACUGGGGCUUACUCCCAAGUAAGUGUGCACAGAAUCGCGGCUUUAGGUUCUGAUCUGUCAAAUAAGAUUUACUUCUUUGGAAACAUGUUUAGGAUUGUGCUUUAGGUCUUCAACCAAGUUAUCUCACCUAGACUUCAAUCUUGUACACACUUACCUGGGAGUAAAUUCCAUUGAAUUCAAUGAGACUUGUCUUCUGAAUAGAUUGUAUAGGCUUAGACGCUUGGUAGCUUUACAUGUUUAUGAAGAGAACUAAAUAUAAAUCUUUAGUUUUACAAAUGCCCCCCUGUUUCUAAGUCCAUAUAAAUAUCCUGUGGUGCAAAAGGCAUGUGGCAUAACCAGAAACUUUGGAUUAUUCUUCCCGGCAGUAUAAAAGUUAUUUUUGGUUUCAAGACAGUGUGUUUUAAUGGGUAUAGAAACCAAUUACUAUGCCACUUCCGGGUUAGCGCCAUCGCCGAAUGGCGGACUCCCUCCGAGCUCCGGAGGGAGUCUGCUCGGCAGGGGCUGGGUCCUACCGCGCCGGCAACGCGGGGACCCUUCAAAUCCACGGGCACGGAGUCCGUGGACAUGGGUGACUCGGCUUGCACCAUUAGCGCCCUCCCGACUCGUGAAGGAGCCUUUUUAAAGGCUUCGGAUCGGGUGCCGGGGAGUGGCGUGGUGCUUUGAGUCCACUGCUUUCCCUGCCGAGCGCAGCCGCAUGCCAUUCGACGGAGAGCGCUGACUUCUUCUAUUGAAAAUUUGGACUAUUAACAACAACCCGUGAGUAAUUGGGAAACCGGGUUCAAAAUUUUGGAUUUGGCACGAGCGGGGCGAUUUAAAAGGAAGUCAAUCCCCCCCCCCUAUUGUAAGCAUUCCAAAACAAGGACUGGGUAACCAAGGUCCAAAGGGAAGUAUGUCUCUGAUAAAAAUCAUUAAUUUCACGAUGGGAAAUUAUAAGAAAUGUGCUGGAGGAGAAGAGUGGAGGGUGAGAAGAAAAUGCAACCCCCCCCCCUGGGAACCGGGGCGAUUCGUGGAGCCUGGUGAAGAGAGACGGAGACUUUGACAGCUGUCAAAGUGGCUGUCAAAGCUGGAGAAUAUAAAGAGGACUUUGUUAUGAGGACCUUGCUGGUUAAUUUUGUUACAAUUUGCUAUAAUAUGGAUAUAAACUGUUGGAAAAUAAGCAACAAUUUGACUUUUGGAUUAGAGGAUACAAAGUUAUUACAAACCCCUAGAGGGGUUUCGGGAUACUACAAGAACGGUCGUAAGUGGAAAAAUACCCUGGGAUUCGCACAGGAUUUGUUAUCUUCUGGGAAAGCUGCAAAACUGAAAGAGUAUUUUGUCUACAGAGGAAGACAAUGGAAUUUUUAUUGAAGAAAGAAAGGGACUGGACGUAAGUUUUUGUUCCUGAAUAACAAACCUCUGCAGAGACACUAGAUUUCUGAAUUAGAAAGUUUUAGCAGCUGAACAGGACAAGAAACCUGAGAAAGUGAGGAAUAAGAAGAAUAAAGGACUGAUUACGACACGGAAAGAACAACGGGAGGAGUGGUAAAGAUCAAGGAAAUUAAAGGCCUUUGUUAGAUUGGACAUUUGAAGUCAAAUAUUAUUUAAAUUAAUAAACUAAAAGAAAACCGGCAAGAUGGAAUCGGGGAGAAAUCUGGUCAUGAAAUGAGACUUCCAAGCUGAUAAUGUAUAGACUGAUGGACAUGGGGAAUUCAAACCGGGAAGGGGGGAGAUUUGAAAUCCAAAGGCUGUGUAACCAUUUUUUGAAUUUUUCUAUAUCUCUUAUUUUCUAUUUCUUUACAUAACUUACGCAUGUUAUUUUACUUUGAUCGGACGUGUUUAAAAAAAGGGAAUUUGUGGAAGGAACUGGGGUGGAUCUUGGGGAAAAUCUUUUUUCUUUUUCUGUUAAUGAUGUGGGACGGUGGUAAGAUUUGUACAAUUCAAUCUGGAUAGUGGGUUAAACAAAUUAAGCUUUAAAUUGGGAGUGAGAGCUUGUAGAACCAAAUUAAGGAAAGGGGAAUACAAUUGAGGGGGGGGGAGUCCCAGAAAGGAGGGAAUGAAAGUAAGGUUUUUAAAUAUCUUCUUUCUUUUGUCUUUUUUCUUUGUAUUUUUAUAUUUUUGGAAACUUUAAUAAAUAUGAUUUAAAAAAAAAAAUAGAAACCAAUUACUAUGCGUGCUUGUUCAGGAAAUAUACAAGUUAGAAAACUAGAAACUUGAUUAAUGGUUUAAAUUAGCCAAGGGGGAGUUCAUUGGUGAUUUAAAUUAUUGUUUAAAUUGCUUUGAUUAAAAUCUGUCCACUCCUGCUUGGUGCCAGUGGCACCCAUCUCAAACAUGCCACUCUGUGUCACCAAACCUUGAAAAAAACACUCGCACAAAGACGUAAAAUUGGGGCAUUGUGAGUAAAAGGAAAAGCUGAGGCAUUUUUUGGCCUGCUCAGGCUGCUCCACAGGGUGGAACUUGAUGCCAAAGCUUGCUGCUUUUGUACUCUUUAUCCUUGCCCUUCCACCUUGCAGCAAAGCGCCUCACCAGUGCUCAGCAAUUAUAAUAAUUUUCAUUUAUGAUUCACUUUCCAUGAGACAUCCCAGAGCGAUUUACAAUAUACUAACUUAUGUAAAAAGAGUUACAUAUUCCCUGAUGCUGGAAUAUGAACAUUAUUGACAUGGCCAGUGCUAGGUUUGACUAAAGUGCUACCAAUAAGCCUCCUUGUUGCUUCCCUUCCAGUGACCACAACACUGAUCCCUAGUCUACUUGGGUUGGGGCCUGUGACCAUUGCCAUUGAUGGGACCCCUAGCAGCACUGGUGCUGCCACCACCUGCAGUCUGUUGCUCCUGGGCAGGCUUUCUGGUGGUACUGUCUGUCUUAGUAGGGGAGCUGAGCAGCUGAUCAACCCCUGUUGAUCACCAUGUUGAAUUUCUCGUGGUGUGGAAAAUACAAUGCAGCAGCCUCCCAACGCUGAUCAAACCUGAAUAAACAGCACCAAGGCCAUUGACUAUGCCAGCCCAGUGUGGGGGAACAGUGGUUGAUGACAGCAGUGACAAUACCACCAAGGCUGGGAGGGGAGGUGAAGCAAUGUUAGCAAUGCUGGGGUGGGAGCAGAUAAACCAGGCCAGUGUCUCCUGCUGCAAUGGGUAUGUAUGUUGGGUGCUGACAUGAGGCCUGAUUACUGAAGUUAGAAAACGUCACAUGAAGCAUUGAGAACCAUGCUAUAUAUUACACAGAGGCUUGGUAUUUUAAACCCUGAUGCCUGAUACACCUAGGGAAUCCUAGCUUUUGGCAUGUGGAAGGAUUGCUUUAAUAUUUUCCCUACCUAUCACAUUUCCACUCCUGCCCCUAAGCCAAGCAAGAGUAUUCCCUCUGCAUCUCCUUUCCAAUUUCCUCCCUUUCCCCUAAAAGAAGCGCUUGAUUGGAGGUUAAUACACACAGUUGUGUUCAAUGUGUAGUCUGGACCUUGCCCUUCAUGGUUUGGCUUGUGUUCAAUACUUAUGUUGCAUAAGUGCAUUUUUCUUUAAUAUAAGGACAGCUGUCUUGAAACUGUCUCAUCUAUUCCCUCAUUGAUUUAAAAUUUAUAUUUGACAUGCCAGUCACUUCAGUGAAACUAGAUAGCAGUUCUUUCUAUAAUAGAAUUAUGUUGGAUUACUUGGUUGUUAAUCCUUCUAUAUUAUCAUUAAGUCGUGUUUUCAGAAUUAAUGUGGUUACAGAAAUAAGUAACAAACAGAGGGCAAUAGUCAUAGGGAGACAAAUUGGGCUUCUUGAUAAGGCAGGAGGAAAAAACCAUCCUCUGUGUAAUAAGAAGGUGCACGAGCAAGCUCUUUAUUGAGGCUUUCCUCCUUGGGAGAAUGCCAUUAUGUAGACAGUAACUUUUCUUAGAAUAACAUUACAAGCGGAAAUGCAUAUGGUCUUUCAAACUGCUUUGAAUGUAUACAGUGCCUGUCUUGGUCCAAAACAGGUUGAUCAAAUAUUUUCAGCACUGAAGCAGGUGGGAGGUGGGAGGAAAUAGGCAAAAUAUUUCAAGGGUUAUCCCGCUUACCUUCUGUUUCCUCCUUUAAAGUAAUGUUGUUUGUUUGUCCCUCAUUAAAAUUGCACUCUCCUGCAUCUGGGGGGGGGGGCUUUCUCAGCCACCUUGCCAAAAAAUAGCUAAAACAAUCCUCCCCAUUUUGCAGCCUCAAAAUAGGUUGUUGAAAUGGUUCAGUUCAGCCAUGACACAGCAAGUAAACUUCAUACAUUUCCCAUUUUCAGUGUGAUUUCAGAAGCAGUGGAGACUGCAUAUUUGUACACUGUGCCAUCAAGAUUGCUAUGAGGUGCCUUGCAAAACAAUUCAUGGAGGACUUCCAAAGGGUCUAAAACUUUUAUUCCCUGAUAUAGAGUCCAUUUCUGAACUCUGUUGAGCCUGCAGAGGGCAGGCACAACCCAGCCCUCUCCUCCAUGUAUUCUCUGUGCAUGUCAUGUUGCAUGUGGCAUUUUUGUAUUAAAGUCAUAUUUGCAGCCUUAUUUAAUCCAGUACCUUUUGUGUGAUGGUACUCCCUGGCAUGGAGUACCAGCAUUUAUUUAUUUCCCACAACUCCCCACUGAUUUAAUCUGUUUCAAGGUUAAUUUUAUGCUAUGGUGUAAAGUGAGAUUGUUGAAUUAAGCAUCAUCUAAUGCUGAUUAUAAGGGACGUGGGUGGUGCUGUGGGUUAAACCACAGAGCCUAGGACUUGCCCAUCAGAAGGUCGGUGGUUCGAAUCCCCGCGACGGGGUGAGCUCCCGUUGCUCAGUCCCUGCUCCUGCCAACCUAGCAGUUCAAAAGCAUGUCAAAGUGCAAGUAGAUAAAUAGGUACCGCUCCAGCGGGAAGGUAAACAGCGUUUCCGUGCACUGCUCUGGUUCGCCAGAAGCGGCUUAGUCAUGCUGGCCACAUGACCCGGAAGCUGUACGCCGGCUCCCUCGGCCAAUAAAGCAAGAUGAGUGCCGCAACCCCAGAGUCGGUCACGACUGGACCUAAUGGUCAGGGGUCCCUUUACCUUUACCUUUAAUGCUGAUUAUGAUUUAGGAUCCAUAAACAACUUCAUUCCUAAUUACUGGAUUGGUCUUCAGAAUCAUAAAAGCAUAUUAUCCAGCAUCAGUUCUACAAAUCCAUAGUUGUCUUGACCCCAGCUCAGUUGUAUAUGUGUGCCUCUGUCAUUGAGAAGGAGGAAAACUGAGACCUAUGGAAGCUAAGUUUCCCAGGACUGCAAAGUGAGCCAGUGGUUAAGAUAGGAAUACCAUGUAUUCCAUGUGUGAUACCAUGUCAUAAAGUUUGUGCCACAUGCCCACACUUUUACACCCUUUUACAGCCAUUUACAUCUGCUCUAGAAUUUGUUUUUCAAGGCUUGUCUUGCCAUUCUAUUUGCCUUUAAAACUACUGCUGAAUUGCAAGUGGGCUCAGUAUGUAUAGAAGAGAAGGAUAUGCUGAGCUGCUGAAUUACAAACAGGCUUGGAAUGUAUAUAGCACCAAAAAAGCUGCCCCUAGAUAUUUUCUUUCUCCUUCCGAUUGGCAAUCAAAACGCCCUCCUACUCCUUUCUCAUGUCAGGCAGGGACAUGGCAAAGGGCACCGGGCAGUCAAGAACUAGUUAGGACCAUGGAUAGCUCCCUGUGGGGCUGGACACAGGAAGAAACCAGAUGCAAGGCUCACUUAGGGCUGAGCUACACAUUUUAUCUUCAUGUCCUUUGACUGGGAUUUUGUUUUAACUAACAUCAGCUGCUGCAGAGCAUGUUCUUGUUCGGGGCUGCAACAUAGGUGGGAGAGAACCCUGCCCUGUUAACAUGAUGAAAAUCACUACUCUGACUGCUGUUCCGGGGGUAGAUGGAAGCUUCAUGGGAUUCAAAGACAAAUUAGCACCAGGGAUCAAGCUUGUUGUUGCAGCUUCUUUCUGGAGCCAACUCAUAUUAUCAUUAGUCCUGCAAAGAAAGGUUUAUAUGAACCUCCAGCUUUCUUCAAGGAGCCUGCUUGAAAGUUAAAUGUGGAAUGCAGGCUGUGUUUGGAUGGGCUGGCCUCCCUUCCGUAAUCCCUGGGAUUGGUGAGGUGGUGCAGGGUUGUUCUCAAGGGCUGCCGAUGGUUCUGCGUAAACGGAGAAUCAGUAGGUGGAGGCCUUUCACCGGGUCAAAUAUAUGUUGGAAAUGUAAAGAAAAAGAAGGGACUUUUUAUCAUAUGUGGUGGGAAUGUAGAGAAGUUUAAAAAAGGGGGGGGAAUGAUACACAAUGAAUUGAAAAAAAUGUUUAAAAUGACAUUUGUAAAAAAAAACCAGGAGCAUUUUUGUUAGGGAUUGUAGGACAAGACCUGCCAAGAAAAACAAAGAAUUUAUUUAUGUAUGCUACAACAGCGGCAAGAGUCUUGAUAGCACAAGGAUGGAAGAAUGAGGAAAUCCCAACGAAAGAACAGUGGCAAGAAAAAUUGAUGAGCUGUGCAGAGUUGGCUAAAUUGACAUAAAAACUGCGGGACAAGGACAACUGUGACUUUAAGGAAGAAUGGGAGCUUUUUACAAAUUAUCUAAAAAGACAACAAAAUGAACUGGACUCCUUGGCAGGCUUUGAAUAAACAUACACAAAUGUAUUGGUUGAUAACAUGAUAGAUAAAUAAGGUAAGGAUAUGUAUAACUUUAUAACAUGCAGAGAAUAAUAUGUGUAGAGAAAUCAGAGAGAAGAGCUGAGGGAAGUCCCUAGUGGGAGGGGGAGGGAGGGAUGGAAGGGGGGUAGGAAAAAAGGGGGAUAAUGUAUGUGAUUAUAUGGUUUGAUAAUUGGUUAUGUUGAAAUUGCUUAAUAAAAAAUAUUUUUUAAAAAAGUAGGUGGAGGCCUUGCUAUAUCCUUCUCCACUGCUUCCUCUCCAUGGAAGUCACUAGCAGGGCAGGUACUUCACUAAAGUGAUGUAAGAGACCAAUCCUACCCCUUGGAGUCCCCUUGGAUGAGCCAUGGCAGCCAAUGUUUUAGUUCAUUUUUUUUUACAUAUUUUUAUGUUUUAGUUCAUAUUUAUGCAGUACUGAAGAAUUAAAUGAGAAGACUGAAUAGUAGCUGAUUAAAGCAGCCUAUAGAUGGUGGAUAAAUGAGUUUAUCUGAUGCCCAGUCUCCUUUUCAGCCAUGUGGAAUGGUUAGAUGCAAGGGAGGAUUUUCAUUUAUCUAUUUAGGGCAUUUAUAUACUGCCCAAUUAACCAUGUCCUUUGGCCCGUUCACAAACUUAAAAUCAAUAAAAUACAAAUACGGUAAAAAAUAAAAGCUAUCACCAGCAAAAAUGUUAGCAAAAACCCAGUGUUAAAAACAUCACAGAGCAGCUAAGAUCAAUAAAAACAUUCUUUUUUAAAGCACUAAAACCAACAAAGUGGGAAACAAAAUAGAACUAAGAACUAAAAUUCACUAAACCUCAAUUAUUAGAAGUCCUGGAAGAAUAAAAAGCUCUUUGCCUGAUGCUGAUCCUAAUGUAGGCUCUAGGUGACCCUCUCUGGAAAUAUCAUUCUGUAACUGGGGCGCCGCUUCUGAGAAGUCUCUCUCCCCUUGCCUCCCCCAAAAGAAGUCUCCCUUCCAAGUAACUGCUCACCUCACCUCACCUCACCUCAUUAGGUCAGAGAACGUAGAGAAUAGCCUCUAAUAAAGAUCUUAAAGUCUGCUGCUUGAGAGGAGGCAAUCCUCCAGAUUUGAGGAUGCAUCUGUUUGGCCAGGACAUGGCAGACAUUAUGGCUGAGAAGAGUUAACAUUGGAUCACUCUCUCCAUAGUGGCAUAUGUUCACCUUGUGAACUAUCGUGCAAAUCUGGUCUCAUCUUAAGAAGAGUCUGCUGGAACAGGCCAGGGGCCUGUGUGGUCCAGCACUGUUACCUCACAGUAGCGAACCAUUUGCCUAUUGGAAGCCCAAAAGCAAAAGCGUUCUGCUUUUCUUCCCCAGUUCUCUUUCUAAACCAGCCUUCUACAGUCUCUCAUAACAUUUUUCACUGUGUAUAUAAUCUCUCAUUUCUAAUGUGUACACAUUGCAUGAUGAAGGGUGGGAUGGUGUGUGUGCGCGCGCAUGUGCGCGCCACUUGUCUUGCUUUUAAUGUGCUUUGCUGUUUGUUCACAUUGCAGAGUCGGUGGGUCUGUGCAUGCCUACAGCAACAUAUUUAUUUUUUAAACACAGCAAAAAUCUGGAGGCCUAUUCCAUUCUCUCCACACAGCAGGAGAGCACGCAUCGUGUUUUAAUUGCUGUAACCUGCCCUGGGACCUGGGCAGAUAUUAAGAAUAAGCAGCAGUGGUUGUUCCAGUUAUGCACAGCAGGAACUUGUUCCAACCUCCCUCACCUCACUUUCACAAGCAUGCCAGCAAUAAUGCUUAUUAGUGAACAGCUGUUUUCUGUUUGGCUUUAAAAGCUAGGCUUUUUUUUUUUUGCUUAAGUUGUUUUUUUAAAAAAAAAUCACACACCCAAGGCACACAUGCGCAGCAGGAAAAUUAUUUAUUGUAAACAUUACAUAUAUAUUUGGAAGCCAGUGCAAACACCAUUAUCAGUAUUAAGAGAGUGAGAAUAGAAUGUUUCAUAAAUAAACAACCAGAAAAUACUCAAAUCACCAGCCAGAACCCUGCAGCAAUGCGUGGAGGGUUAGGUAGAGCUAACAACUCCAUAGCAACAGAGCAAACCAGUAAUUGGAGGUGGAACAAUGUCCAUGGAAUUUUACGAAAUAUGUAUUGCAAUGGGGUGGCUGGGAGAAGGGAAGGAUGGUGCUGCCACUUUGGGAGAGUAGGAUGGUGGGCAGCAGAAGGCAGAGUGGCAGCCCAAUGCCUUGUCCACCAGCCCUGGGAGGGACACAAGUUUCUUUUGCCUGAUCUAAAGGUUUUUCACCUGUGACAGUUAGGUAGGUACCGGUAAGUUGAAGUUCACAGGAGAGCAGUAUCUAGUGUUUGCUAUACCACAUUCAAGUUUACUGCAAAUAAAAGUUUCACUUGUUACAGAGCUAAGCCACCAUUAUACUGGACUCACAACUGAGGAACCUGCACCAAGUAGGGCUGGUGUUACAUGCUGCUGUCCACAAUGUGUUUAUGCUUUUUGUGGCAGCUAGAUCCUCCCCAUAUCAUCUUAUUUCGCUGUUACAUUUAUCAAUACCGUAUUGUUUUUGACCACCCGAAAGGUAGGAAUAUCAAGCGUGCCAGUGAAAGUCUGCGUGCAGUCCGAAGCUGAAUGUGCCUGCCUUUGCAUCUAGCUGAUGAUGUGUGUCACAUUAGAAGUGGCAGCUGCCUUGUCUUCUUCAUGAAGUUAUGAGAAGCCACAAGGAAAGGGCUUAAAUUAAUAUAUGGGAGCUGGCAACACGUUGACACUUCCUAUUUUUCAUAUUGUCAAUCUGCGGUGCUAUGUCGAGUAGGAAGAAGAUUGUGUGUCCAUUUCUUCAGCAGCUUUUUGAUUGCCCUUAAUUUGUGCAGAUGGGAAAAACAAAAUGUUGUGGUUUUACCACUAGAAUAACACAAACGGUGCUGCAGAGUAUUGUUGCUUUGAGAAAGGCAUUACCUUGUGGAUUUUCUUUUUUUAUUACUCCAUAUAACUGUCUAUAUAACUCCAGAACAAUUCACAAGGAGCUGCAGAGUGUUUCAUAUAUGAUAGGUGCAAGAAUAUUCUUAGCUAAAAUCUCAAUCGAAGCUGAUGCUUAAUUUUUAUUCUUACAAAUGUAACAAUAAAAGAGGAGGCCUUGUUUUGAUCAGACCAAGGAUCCAUAAAGUCCAGCAGUGGCCAGACAAAUGCCUCUGGAAACCCACCCUAAACUGGUCUCAGCAUGAAUAUCCUUUUCUCAUUAACAUGAACAAUAAUUUGCUUCCAGCCAGUCAUGUUAGAUGUAAGCUCCCUCAGGGUCUUUGACAAUAAAAGGCGGGUUCCAACAUGAUCGCUCUGCUGCCUAAUGUCUCACACAGUCAGCUUCCAUUCACAGAAAGAGAGAUACACUCAUGGAAACCACAUCUGCCAUUCUCUGAACAGAAGCUUCAGCCAUUUGCAGAGCAACAACAUUUGAUUCUGGUCAUAGGAUAUUGAGACUCCUGGAUUAGAAAUAGGGGUGAAAGGACUAGCUUGAUCUCCAGUUUUCUGUCUUUUGGUUUACAGUACGCCACUAUUCUAUGAAAAGUGGUGUUUCCUUUCCUUUGUACACACAGAUAUAUUCAUGAAUCCAUCAAGCUAUUCCUUACCUAGAGCCAUGAAGAUUGCUGAGAUUUGACAACAAUGGCAUGAAUAGAUUACAAAAGGAGAUAGAGUGAUGAACUUUUACCACUUCCGGUCGGCGCCAUCGGCUAAUGGCGGAUUUCCCUCCGAGCUCCGGAGGGGGUCUGCUUUACAAGUUCGGGUCCUGUCGCUACGGCGAAGCGGGGACCCUUAAAAAUUACAGGCGCGGAAGCCUGUGAACAAGGAGGCUCGGUGGGCACCAUCGCGCCCCCCCGAAAUCGCAAGGGAGCCUUUUUAAAGGCUCCGGAACGGCAGCGGGGGGAGAAGCGGUGCUGAGAGCCGCUACCCAGCUUGUGAGCGAAGCCGCAUCGCCAUAGCCGGAGAGCGCCGAUUCCUUCCUGAAAAUUGGAUUACAAAGUAAAACUCGUGAGUAAGACUGAGACCUAAUUGGGAUUUACAACUAUCUUUUGAAAUUUGGCUGAAAACGGGAUUGGUUUAAAGUAAGGAAGUCAGCCUUUCCCGGACUGCAUAAGGAUAAAGCAAAGAAGGAUUAAAAGCUGUAACCAUAGAGAGAUCGCAAAGAGUUAAGAGAACCAGACAUAAACUGUGAACUUCCCCCCUUUUGGUAGGCAGGAGCAAAAGGGGAGGAAACUGUGAUUAGAACCUGCCAGAAAAGGACUUUAAAAACUUUUCACCACUGUGUCAAACACCCCUGAAACGGACUGCCGGGGCAAAGGAACCUGGAGAGAGAGAACUGUCAGUGAACUGUCACUUGGAUUGUUACAUUGUUUUAAACUACUCAGCUCAAGAGAGAUACUAAAUUACAGGUUUGUUGAACUCUGAAAAUAUAAGAACUGUUACAAUUGACUACUGGGAAACCUCAGGGGAACUUUUGGUUGUAAGACAUUUUGUUUAGUUUUGGAAACUUUCUUCCCCUAGAGGGCAAUUUGAGAAUUGUUGCAAAUUGGAUUGUAACUACUAAGGCAGUGGAAAUUUCCCUUGAAAAAUAACUAACAGCUGUGAGAGUGACCUUGGCUAGGCAUGAGUGGUGCACCAGAAGAGACAACAACCAGGUCUGGGAGACAAUACAAAGUAAAAUCUUCACAGCGAAGAGUUUCAGUCCCAGGCAUCCCAGUGGCACCAGCUGCAACUGGUCAGACAAGAACAAUAAUGUCAUCAGAUCCUGUAACACAAGCUUUGGUUAAAAUAAAUGAGUCUUUGGAAUCUUUGACAAAGCAGGGGGUGGAAAAUAGCAGAAAAUUGACAGAACUCUCAAUUAAACUUGAUCAGAAUACACAAAGUGUGAAUGAAUUAGGGAAAAGGGUGACAUCUAAUACAGAAUCUAUUAAUAAAAUAUUAGAGGACUCUGCUAAUAUACGUAAAAUCGCAGAAGAAGCCAAAGUCUCUGCUGAUGAGGCUAAAGUCUCGGCGGAUGCUACACAGGAAAAUUGUACCAGUUUGCAAAAAGUUAGAAGAUCACACAUUGGCCCUGUCUAUGCUUGAAUUGCAGAGAAGAGACAGAAAUUUAAGACUACGAGCGGUGCCUGAAAGCGAAGGAGAUAACUUGGCGAACUUCCUUUCUAAAGAAUUUGCGGAUUUUUGGCAACAGGAGUUAGAGAAAGAAGAAAUUAAAAUAGUCACGGCCUUUAGACUGGGAAGAGCACAAGGCAGGAAGAAGCCAAGGGACUGCCUAAUAACAUUAGGAUCAAGAGAGGAGAGAGAUAAAAUAUUGAGUCUGCAUUUUCAAAGAACACUCGAGAUUGAAGAUUCUUUUGUGGAGAUCUUUAAAGAUAUUCCAAAGGAAAUUCUAGACGCAAGAACAAACUAUAAAGAACUGGUCGGACUACUGAAGAAGAACGAAGUACCUUUCAGGUGGGAAUUCCCGCAAGGCCUAUCUUUUAAAUUCAAAGGUAGGAAAAUAAGGAUAAGAUCAGUAGAAGAUCGAGAUCAAUUUUUAAAUCACUAUAGGGAAGACCUUCUGAAAGGAACAGUCGGAGAGGAAAUAACACCAGAAUCGAAAGACGCAACAGACAUUUUAAACUUGACGUUUGGACUGAAAUCACCAACAGAAGAAGAACAACUACUCGGAGCAACAGGAGGCAAAUAGCUUCAGGAUGGCCCUGCAACUUCUAAGUUGGAAUUGUAACGGACUUAACCUUCCGCGAAAGAGGAAAAAUAUAUUUCAUUUAUUGAAAAAAGAGCAGUUGGACUUAAUUUGUUUACAGGAAACUCAUAUAACAAGAUUGCAUAGAAAACUACUCGUCAAUAAGAGAUUAGGCCAAGAAUUUAUUUCAUCGGAUAAAGUUAAGAAAAGAGGAGUGGUAAUCUAUGCAAAAGAAAAACUUUCCCCAAAGUUUAUAUUUAAAGAUGAACAAGGAAGGUAUUUGGCAAUUGAAGUGCAAAUUCAAGGUGAAAAAUUUUUGAUACUAGGGAUUUACGCACCUAAUGAAGGGAAGUCAGAAUUUUUAAGAAGUUGCAUGAGACAUUGUUGGACUAUUUGGAUUACAAAUUAAUCAUGAUGGGAGACAUGAAUGGAGUGGUAUCUACAAAUAUGGACAAAGCACAAAGACAGGUAAUCACUAGAGAUGGGAGACUACCAAAGACUUUCUUUGAAAUAACUGAAAAUAUGGACUUGAUUGAUAUUUGGAGAACAAGGAAUCCUCUCGAGAGAGAGGGAACCUUUUUCUCUGAAGCAAUGAUGACCUGGACCAGAAUCGAUCAAAUUUGGAUUACUAGUGGGUUGGCCCCAAAGAUUAAAAAAGUGGAAAUCUGCCCAAAGACCUGCUCCGACCAUAACGCCGUGAAGAUGGAAAUGAAACUUACAACAACUGGUCAAUUCAGAUGGAGGAUGAAUGACACCCUGUUUCGAGAUGAGGAGAUCCACAGAAAAGCCCAAAAACUUUAAAGGACUAUUUUGAAAUAAAUCUAAAAACUGAUGUAGAAAAAAGAGUGAUCUGGGACGCAAGUAAAGCAGUGAUGCGAGGAUUUCUAAUUCAACAAAAUUCUGUAAAAAAGAGGAAGCAAAAUGAGAAGAAGGACAAGAUCUUGGAAAAGAUAAAAGAAGGAGAGAAGAAAUUGAGAUCAAAACCAAAGUCCCAGGAGAUCUUGAGAGAGAUUAAGUUAUAUCAGACACAAUACAUGGAAUUGAUGAAUCAAGAGAUUGAAUGGAAGAUAAAACAAAUGAGACAAAAGACAUUUGAAUCUGCAGAUAAAUGUGGUAAACUUCUGGCUUGGCAAUUGAAGAAAAGGCAGAAACUAAACACAGUCACAAGCCUAGAAGUGGAUGGAAAGAAUAUAUCUAAACCUAAUGAGAUAAGAAAUUGUUUUUUGAGUUAUUUUAAAAAAUUAUAUUCACAAGGACCACAGAAGGAGGAGGAUAUAGAAGAAUUUCUUAAAAAGUAUGGACUACAAAAAUCUCUCACCAAAGUAAGGUGGAUCUAAAUCAGAGAAUAACAGAUCAAGAGAUAGAGGGUGCCAUUCAAAACAUGCAACUGGGCAAAUCUCCAGGACCAGAUGGAUUGACUUCCAGAUAUUAUAAGGCUUUGAAGGAAUGGUUGGUACAACCAUUAAAGGAAGUCUGUAAUGAGAUCUUAGAGGGGAAAAGGGCACCAGAAUCGUGGAAAGAAGCGUACAUUACACUCAUACCAAAGACAGAGAUUGAAAAGAAUCAACUUAAGAACUACCGCCCAAUAUCAUUACUUAAUGUGGAUUACAAAAUUUUUGCAGACAUUUUGGCAAAAAGAUUGAAAAGAGUGUUGAUGGAGAAGAUUCAUAAGGACCAAGCAGGCUUUCUCCCUAAAAGGCAUUUAUCAGACAAUGUGAGGAACAUAAUAGACAUUUUGGAAUUAUUAGAGGUGAAUAUAAACACUAAAGCAGUUCUGAUCUUUGUAGAUGCGGAGAAAGCCUUUGACAAUAUUUCUUGGAGUUUUAUGAAAAAGAAUCUUCAUGGGAUGGGGGUAGGCCAAGGAUUCGAGAAUGGUAUGGGUGCCAUAUACACUGAACAAAAAGCUAAACUGAUAGUAAAUAAUGUGAUAACUGAAGAAUUUAAAAUAGAAAAAGGGACACGACAGGGGUGCCCUAUUUCCCAUUACUUUUUAUUUCUGUUCUGGAGGUGUUGCUAAAUAUGAUUAGAGAUGACCAGCAGGUUAAAGGUGUACAGGUCGGAGCUAAACAUUACAAGUUAAGGGCCUUUGCAGAUGAUUUAGUACUUACUUUACAAGAGCCAGACACUAGUACAAAAAGGGUGUUGGAGCUAAUUCAAGAAUUUGGCCAGGUAGCUGGAUUUAAAUUGAAUAAACAAAAGACUAAAGUCUUGGAAAAAAAUUUAACAGCCAUGGAAAGGGAGAAAUUUCAGAAUGAAACAGGUUUGACAGUGGUAAAGAAGGUGAAAUAUCUAGGGGUUUAUUUGACAUCUAAAAAUUUGAACCUGUAUAAAGACAAUUAUGAAAAAUGUUGGUCGGAAAUUAAAAAAGACCUAGAAAUAUGGUCAAAUUUGAAAUUGUCAAUGUUAGGCCGAAUUGCAGUUAUCAAGAUGAAUGUAUUGCCCAGAAUGUUAUUCUUGUUCCAAACAUUACAAAUUCUAGACAAGAUAGACUGUUUUAAGAGGUGGCAGAAGGAUAUUUCGAAAUUUGUCCGGCAGGGCAAAAACCCAGAAUAAAAUUUAAAAUACUGACGGAUGCAAAAGAAAGAGGGGGGUUGCCCUGCCGGACUUAAAACUGUAUUAUGAAGCAGCAACUUUUUGCUGGCUGAAAGAAUGGAUGCUCCUCGAGAAUACAGACAUCUUGGACUUAGAAGGUUUUAACAAUACAUUUGGUUGGCAUGCAUAUUUAUGGUAUGAUAAAAUCAAGGUGCAUAGGGCCUUUAAAAAUCAUAUUGUCAGGAAAGCACUAUAUAACGUUUGGAUAAGAUAUAAAGAUUUGGUGGAAAGUAAGACUCCUAGAUGGUUGUCACCUUUGGAAGCCACGGCGUUGAAAAAACUUAAUAUGGAAGCCGAAUGGCUAAAGUAUCGGGAAAUUUUGGAACAAGAUGGAGAUAAGUUGAAGCUACAGAGCUAUGAGAAAUUGAAACCCAAAGUACGAGAUUGGCUCCAUUAUUAUCAAAUAAUGGAGGUGUAUAAACAAGACAGGAAAAUUGGCUUCCAGGUGGAGAAAUCAAAAUUAGAAACUGAACUGUUAGAACCCAAUACUAAGAACUUGUCAAGAAUGUAUAAUUUGCUGCUGAAAUGGAAUACACAAGAUGAAACAGUUAAAUCAGCUAUGAUUAAGUGGGCACAGGACAUUGGUCAUAACAUUAUGUUUGCUGACUGGGAAUGGUUGUGGAACACCGGUAUAAAAUUUACGGCAUGUAAUGCCUUAAAGGAAAAUAUUAUGAAAAUGAUCUAUAGGUGGUACAUGACUCCAGUCAAGCUAGCAAAAAUUUAUCAUUUGCCUGAUAACAAGUGUUGGAAGUGUAAAGAAACUGAAGGUACUUUUUAUCACCUUUGGUGGACGUGCCCAAAGAUUAAGGCUUUCUGGGAAAUGAUAUAUAAUGAAUUAAAAAGGUACUUAAAUGUACUUUCCUGAAGAAACCAGAGGCCUUUCUCUUGGGCAUUGCCGCCAAUUGGUAUCAAAGAAAGACAGAACUUUUUUUAUGUAUGCUACGACAGCAGCAAGAAUACUCAUCGCAAAGUAUUGGAAGACAGAAGAACUACCCACCUUGGAAGAGUGGCAGAUGAAGGUUAUCGACUACAUGACAUUGGCGGAGAUGACUGGCAGAAUCCGUGAGCAGGGGAAAGAGACGGUGGAAGAAGAUUGGAAGAAAUUUAAAAUCUAUCUAAAGAACUAUCAUAAAAUUGAGGAAUGUUAAAAUGUCGAGGUUUGGAGAAAGAAAAGGAGAUUACAGCGACAUAAGAUUAAGUUGAAGAAAAAAAAAAUAAGAAAAAUAUAUUUGAUAAAAUUAUUUAGAAUUUGCUGAAAUAAUUUUGGGAAUUGGGAUGUAGGAAGGGGAGGUUUGGGGGAGUCCGAGAAGAGAGGGUUAUGAAAAAAAGGUUAUGAAACUAUACAUGUUUGUAUGUCUUUUUAUUUGUUUGUACUGUAUAAAACUUGUUUGUAAAAUCAAUAAAAAAUUAUUUAAAAAAAAAAAAAUAGAGUGAUGAACUUUGCGUCCAUCUUCACUGCAGGAGAUGUUGGGCAGAUACAGACCCCUGAACCACCUUUCUUUCAGAUAAAGUAUCUGAAGAAUGACAUUGAACAGAAGUGUCAGGAAAUGGCUAAACAAACCCAAGUCAUUGGUUCUGCAUGGUAUAUACUUAAUUUCUCAAGAGUGAAAUUUUUUGUUACUGUUCUACAAAAAAUAAUAAUACAUCACUCAUCAUUAAAUUGGCCUCCUUAUCAGAAUAUUGGUAUAUAACACCAAUUAUAAGCAACGGAUUCCUGGAAGAUAUUACAGGCUCAUCUACCUAAGUUCUAGGUGCAUUGGUGGGGGAAAGCAUUGUUAAUGCAAGAUUUUUUAAACAGAUAGAAGAACAAGCCUUACUAAGAAAGAAUCAGCAUGUCUUCUUCACAAGGAAGGCCUUUGGAGGUGUCAACAACCAUGUAGGUGUCAUGUAGCAGAUAGAAAAUCUAUAUAAAAUCUCAAGUGGGGAAGCAAAACUGCUGUGUGUGUGUGUGUGUGUGUGUGUGUGUUGUAAAAUAGUUGACUAUGCAUCUCAUGUCUUCAUUGUCCAAGAGCAGCACACCUUGUGGGCCAGAGCCACAGCAAUAGUCUCUUGUCUGCAACGUCGCUGCUGUAUACCAAGAACACCUGCUGGUGUACCUGCCCAGUGCUGACCUUGCCACUGUCUCGCCCUUCCCAUUCAGCAUCCCAGUAAGCACCAGUGAUCCUGCUGCUGCUGCUGCUGAAGAAGAGUUUGGAUUUGAUAUCCCACUUUAUCACUACCCUAAGGAGUCUCCAAGCGGCUAACAUUCUCCUUUCCCUUCCUCCCCCACAACAAACACUCUGUGAGGUGAGUGGGGCUGAGAGACUUCAAAGAAGUGUGACUAGCCCAAGGUCACCCAGCAGCUGCAUGUGGAGGAGCAGGGAUGCGAACCCGGUUCACCAGAUUACGAGACUACCGCUCUUAACCACUACACCACACUGCUGGGAGGCUAUUGCUGUGUCUGUGUUCCACCGGGUGAGCUCUUCCUCCUCAGCAUUCCCUUUAUGACAAACUGAGCCUAAAUCCGACCAGCCAUCUUGUUUGAGAGUGGGUGGCUGCCUCUGACUCCUCACCUGAGCCAGGUCUCAAGAUGAACAGUAUCUUUGGGAGCCCAAAAUGAAACAAGCCCAUAUAAAGUAAGCAAAAUCAAAUAUUUUUUGGAUUGAGAAUUUCCUACUUUUUCUUUCUUUGGAAGGGAGAUUCUUCUGAUAUUUCUGCACCGUUCAUUAUCUGCUGACCAAUUAGAGGCUUUGUCGCGGAAAUGCCAUCCUGAUAAUGAAAGCCAAUGCAAAGUGAGAAUGUGAUUAUAUUGUCAGUUUACAGGUACAGUAUAAAUAGAGUUUUUAACAGAUCUCCUCCUGCUCGCCGGGCUCCUGCUGCUUGGUGGUGAUGCCUCGAAAUGUUCAUUAAACUGACAUGCCGUGUUGUUUAAGCCCAGCGCCUCACACAGCCAGCCAGGUUUGCCGCUAUUUUCCAUUCACCGUAUCAAUCAGGUUCUACAUUUUAAUUUCUUCGGCAUCAGAAAUGACUUUGCAGACUUGUUUGUGCACCUCGGUUGCAUAAAUUGCCUUUUCGCCUGUCAAAAGUUGGUAAUGGACUGCUUUGUAAGAAGUCCAUGUUUGGGAGGGUGUGUGUGUGUGUGUGUGUGUGUGUGUGUGUGUGUGCAGAAAUCCAGCAGCCAAGAACAAAGUACAAAGUGGACCUCAGCUAUAUCCUGAAGCUCAACACUCGUUCUUUUCUUAGAUGAAAAUUCUGUAUGCGAAGAAUUUUCAUAAGCAGAUAGCAUCUUGCUGGAGGCUGAGUGCUGUUCACUGGGCUGACUUGAUUUGAGCAGGUAGUCUCUCCACAAAUAUCUUAGCCCUCUGGUUUCUACCUGCAGAAAAUUAAAUGCUGUUUUAAAUGUAAAAGCAACUCGCCCUACAGGAGUAAAAUUUCUAAGGGAUCUAACCAAAGCAAUUAAAGACAUAAUAGGCAUUUUCUCACUCUCAGGUCUCUCUGCUUUGCUACUGGGAUUUCUAAAGAACUUGUAAGGCAUCCAAGUGUAAAGUUUGUCUUGAAUCUUUCAGCAGCAGCAAAAUUAUUGAUGCUGUUUUUGAAACAUCAACAUGUUAAAAUUGGCAUAUCUGGGAUAUGGAGGAAAAAAUGAAAAUGGUGGCAAAUGAGGCUUUUGGCCUGAACCAGCAGGGCUUUACUUAGAUACUUACAUUUUGACAUCCCUGGGAAUAUUUUGCUACAUCAUUAAUAGCAAACUCCAAUUCAGCGUGUGAAUAAUGAAAGAUGCACCCAGUCUGAGGAAGAAUUCUUAAAAUGGAAGCGGGGUAAGUGAUUAAGGCAAUUCCUGCAAAUACUUGCAAACUUUUCCUCUUUUGCAUGCCUGAUGAUGACCCGAAGGUCCCUCCAGGCACUCAUGACCCUCCUGCCAGCUCACCUGCUUUGCAUUACUUUGCCAUUGAAGGGUGGAGAUUAAAAAAGGGGGGGAAGGGGAAAAUCAAUUUAUUGAUGGAAAUGGUAUUUCUUUGUUUGUUUUAUUAAAUUUGCAUCCUGCCCUUGCUCCCAAAGGGCGCCAGGGUGACAAAUAUCAAAUUGUUAAAACAUUAUGCAUGAGAGAGGGGCCCUGGCCCAAAGCCCUCCCUGUCUUCCUAUUCCUGCUUCCAUGUAAUGUUUUGACUGUGGUGUAUUAAUUGACUAUUAAGCUGACUAUGAUUCUAGUGCCUGAAGAGAGCCUGGUGCUAGAGCUUUGAGGAAUCCCUCAUUUUCUGAAGAAACUGGAGGAAGAAGAGAAUUAAUUGCGUUGAGCUGCCAGCUCAGAACUGGCUACGGGUUCUCAAGAGGGAAAAAAGCAUAUAUGAGUGCUAAAAAUUCUGUUUCCAGCAUGAACCCUAAGCAUCCCCAAAUGCCUUUAUUGUGUAUAGGAAUUUAAUUUCACUGCUUGAAUUGAGCACUCUUGAUUUGCUUAUGGGAAAUGGUGAUGCCACCACCAGCUCGUCUACUGUGCCUGCGUGUCUCACUGAAAUCUUGUUAACUGCAAGGAGUCGAUAGAACUGCACAAUUGAAAUAUGAAAGGCCCUUCCCUAGUGUCUCUUUGUGUGCAUUUCUAUAAACUGCUAUAUGUUUGUGUUUGAAAGGCAUAUGAAUAAUUGCUUUCUAGGUUCCUAGAUUAGUUUUUCUUUGAAAUUUGCUAGGUCCCAACUUUGCUCCAGGGACCUUUUAGACAACAGCCUUUAAUGCAUAAUAUUGUAUGGGGCAGCUCUUUGGAUACAGCAGGAGGUGGGGAGGAUUUUCCAAGUGUUGCUUUGAUGUGGUUGCCCUUGGUGCUCAGGAACAGCAGGGGACAAAAGGAGAAUGUGAGGCCGGAUGCUAUACAGGGUUCGUGCUAGUCUGUUGUUGCAGAAAUAAUAAAGAGUGUCUUCUGGUACCUUAAAGAUUGACAAAUUAAUGGUGGCAUUAGCUUACUUCAUCAGAAGUAGGAAGAUGCUGGGUGCAUGCCUCCUCAGAGAUAUACACGCAAGGGCAAAGUUUUAAAAGAAUGAGCGGAACCCAAGAUGCUAUGAAACCAAACCAGCGAUGAUAAUAGGAGUUUGGUGGGUUCCGGGAAAGGGAUGAUGUGUGUCUUGCUUAACCAUUUGUGAGGAUGUGAGCUGGGAUCUUGGAGAGUUGAUUCUGAGUGUGGGUAAGUGUGGCUCAAUGCAGCCUGCCACGGCAGAGAAAGGUUUGGGAGGCCAACUUGGCAUCUGUGGCCACGAUAGCACCCUUGAGGUCUUCCCCUGAUAUCGAUGAAGCCUCUGAUCCCUGCCCGCCCAUCACCAUCUCCUUUGAAAAGCUCACAGAGCCAAAGGAGGAAACUGCAAGUGUAAACUCUCCUUCCCACUUCCUCUUUUAGGUUCAAGCGAUUUUCCAGGCUCAGGUUUAUUCUGCAGGAUCCAGCUUUUAUCUAGAUUCCAUGGAAAAGCAAUGUUUGUGAGCAGUGCUUUCUCGCUUUGUGUCUCUUGCAAGGGGGGACUGAUACAGGGGAGGGAGGAGAGAAGUGACUAGCAGAGUGGUGCCAAAAACACUCACUCAAAAAUCCAGUGGCCACCACAGGCUCGUAAAGGUUGGCAACCUCUGGACCAGAGUCUCAGGAUAAAUGAAGAGUCAUGAGCAUGUGAAGAUGCCUUACACUGACUCAAACCAUUGGCUCAUUUGUACCAGCAUUGCCUACUCUGGCUGGCAGCAGCUCCCCAGUAUCUCUUUCCCAGGCUGUUUCUUGAGAUUGUUUAACUGGAGGAUUGAACCUGAGACCUUUUUACAGAAAGUACGUCUUCUACCACUGAGCUAUAGCUCAGCAUUUAAGCAGGAGCAUCUCUGUAUACUGGAUGCUCUGCAUUCAAAGCACUGAAAUCUAGUUGGAGAGUACAGUGGUACCUCGGGUUACAAACACUUUGAGUUACAGACUCCGCUAACCCAGAAGUAGUAUCUGGGUUAAGAACUUUACCUCAGGAUGAGAACAGAAAUCGCAGCCGACGACAUGGCGGCAGUGGGAGGCCCCAUUAGCUAAAGUGGUACCUCAGGUUAAGAACAGUUUCAGGUUAAGAAUGGACCUCUGGAACGAAUUAAGUUCGUAACCAGAGGUACCACUGUAUAAAAAUGAUUAAGGUAAAGGGACUCCUGACCAUUAGGUCCAGUCAUGACCAACUCUGGGGUUGCGGCGCUUAUCUUGCUUUAUUGGCCAACGGAGCCAACGUACAGCUUCUGGGUCAUGUGGCCAGCAUGACUAAGCCGCUUCUGGCGAACCAGAGCAGUGCACGGAAACGCCGUUUACCUUCCCGCUGGAGCGGUACCUAUUUAUCUACUUGCACUUUGAUGUGCUUUUGAACUGCUAGGUUGGCAGAAGCAGGGACCAAGCAACGGGAGCUCACCCCGUCGUGGGGAUUCGAACCGCUGACCUUCUGAUCGGCAAGUCCUAGGCUCUGUGGUUUAACCCACAGCACCACCCGCGUCCCAUAAAAAUGAUUAUGUAUGUGUAAUUAGUUCAGAGUUCAGAGCUUUGUCAUUCUCCAGCCUGUGACAGGUGUUGUCUUCAUUAUGCAUAGUUAUGCUAUCUGCACUAACCAUGAGGAGGGAAGCUAUAACCAUGGACGGCAAACUGUCAUGUCCCAGGGAGAUCACAGGCAGAAAGCAUAGGCCAAGUGAAGUGCAGAUCAAAUCUAGAAGCAACAACCAGAGGUUCCAAGGGCUACAGGCAGCUAAGUGGCAGGUUCUGGGGCAAGCAGACAAAGCUCAUAGAAACCAGGGGCAGGUGACUUACUCUAGUGGAGGCAAAGGACCAGAUUCUGGAAGAGAGAAGUGGGUACAGGAGUCUGUACUUGGGUGAGUUGCUCAGGCUGGGAGGCCAAGCUAGGACCGUUUCAGUGUUAGGUCAACAGACUUCUCCAGGCCACCCGAUUCAUCUGGGCUGACCAGCUCCAGUCUUUUUUCCUGCCAUUCUUUGGAUAGUGCCAUGAAGCAGCAGAACUCUGGUGUUCCUGCCAUCCUUCAAUCUAUCUGAGAGGUGCAGAGAAUAAGCUACCUGGGCUGUGAUGCCAGGUUCCAUGGUUUGAGCCUCCAGGCACCUUACUUCACUCUUCAAAGUGGUUGCCACUUGCUCCAUCUAAAAUGGGAGACAGGUUGUAGGGCAUGAAGUGGGAGCAAAAGGUUCCCUUGCCUGUCUCACAGGCCAUCAUUUGGGUUGUUGGCGCUGCAGCAGAACAAGUUGAGAGGUCAGGAGAACAGAGCCUGUCCCUGUCUCACCCAAGUACAGACUCCUUCACCCCAUGGCAGCAACGAUCCUGGUGACAGGUAGCAGGAUGGCAGGUUGAGAUGAGGAGACUGCCCUACUGCCCCAUCCUCCUGUUUCCUGCCGUAGGGCCUCCACUGCCCCUGCAGUGCUUUAGCAGAGCUGAGCUUGAUUCUGCACCCUUUGAGAGGCUUCUCUGACAAUGCCAAGCUCCCCCAAAUAUCAGAAGUCACAGUGACUGGGAGUAGGGCUUUCAGUGCAGCUGGCUGCCUCUCUUUUGUAGAGCAGCAUCCUUGCUCACAUUUGACAGGUGCCCACUAUCUGUAUUUUCCGUAAACAAUGAAAGGCGUUUUUGCUUUGACAAGCUUAUCUAGUUGGAUGAAAAGCUCUCUGCCUUCGAUGUUCAUUUUGCAUUGUUUUUCGACCUGUCUUGUUAUUCGUAUGGUACCGUUUUUUAAAAGAACUACUAGCCAUUUCUGCAAAUCCCCUUGAUGCACAUGUCAAGGCAACCCACAAAUUAAUUAAUUGAUUUUUAAAUUAAUGAUUAAUUACGGACGGGCACUGGCUAUGCUUACCUGGACCCAAGCAGUAAAAUGCUGUGUCUCUUCACCUUCUUAUUCCAAGACAUCUAUUUAUUUUAGAGCAUCAACAGCAAUGGCAUUUUCUUGCUUGUGUACAGGUAAGUUUUGUCAGCCUGGCUGGUUUCUGUAAAAGGGAAUGUUCAAAAGACAAAGUGCAGAGCAGGUCAUGGGUAAGAGCAAGCAUUAAAGGGACACAUGCUGAAUUAAUCAAUCACUGACGGCCCUCGUUUUGUUCUUAAUAAUCCAUCUCGCCAGAAGAAAAACUUUCAGGGCACAACCUUGAAUUAUUUUACAUCUAUCUUGUUUAGCAAUCCUGGCACUGCCUCAGAUGCUGAUUUUUCAUCGUCUCCUUCAUCUCCCAGGUAAAUUAAAUACUGUUGAAACAGCUGUCUGUUGCCUCACAAGGUAUUGCUUGUGUGGGGGAGAUAGCAGCUUCUACUAGGGCAGAAAUCAGAUAGGUUUCUCCAGGGGGAAAUAUUUGCUAAGUUGAAAAUGUCAGGCAGUUGAGCAUAGCACCCUGGUUGUGUGUGUGUGUGUUUUCUCUGCAUCGGUGGUACCUCCGAAAAAAUAUAUAUCCUUGGCUUCAUCAGGUACCUGUGAAGAAGCGUCAGUUCUCCCUGUGUCACAUUCAAGUUAAUUUUUCACAAAAGACUUUGAAAGAUUUCAUCAAAAGGGAAAGAACUUGAAGCCUGUGUCCUGUUGAGUCUGCAGUUUAACAAGACAAAGAAGAUGAAAGGUGCCAAGAGAAAGUAUUAGUAACUCCUCUCUCUUUUUUUGCAGAGAGGGAAUUUGUGGCACAGAUUAUCAAGUGAUAUGUUCAAGGUCAUGCAAGGAAUCUGCAAGAAAACAGAACCCUGGUCUCAAGAGUCUCACACCAAAAAGGCCUCAAAUGUUCAUUAACAGCAUCUUCUGAACUUCUAGCAAAAGCUUUUUGAAAAUGCGAAUGCUUGACAAUUCCACUUUUUAUGUUCCAGCUGUAUUUUUAAGUAAUAAGCUGGGGGUGUAAAUAAAGCUGUUAUAUAUUCCAG